UCGUAGUUUCACGGUCGUUUCUUGAAUACAAUACUCCGUUUGGAUCAGGAGUUGGUGUUGGACAUCGCAUCUUUAGGUAUUUGGCAUAUUCUGGAUCGAUGGUGGGAUCGACAGUUGGAUAUAGUCUUUCGACUAAGUUUACGCAAUGAACUCGACCGACUGAGUGAGAUCCUGAAAUUAAAUUAAUCAACAAACAUAAGCUAGUGAAGUUAAAAAUUGUAUAUAUAACACAAAAACAGUAAAAAACUAAAAUACCUACGUCCAAUCACCAUUUUAAAUGUUUUUUUUUUUUUGUCAAUUUUCUUAAAUUAAAAACUAUCACCGAUGACAUUUAUAAGUGAUAACAACUAUCAUUUAUAGCAUAGGGAAACGAGAGGGCAUAAUUAAUAUUUUUAAAAAGUUUACCAUAUGAUUAUAAAAAUUACUAUUUUUACAAAUAUUAUUGUCUUGUGCAUUGUGCUAUUCGGCGUCGUUUUCCAAAAAUAAAAUCAAAACCCAAAGGAAGGCCCAUUUACCCAAAGGAAAGCCCAAUUGAAGAAGCCUCUUAUGACCUAUUAUUACUCGGCCCAGUUAUUUGGUUCACCUAAUUACCCAUUUAAUAUUAGAGAUAGCUAUACGAAUAGCAAAAAGCGAUUGGAAUAAGAAAAAUAAGAAAUAAAUUUGGUCAAAAUUAAAAUGAAAAUUAGAUAUUACAAAACGGCUUAUGAUUUAUUUUUCUUAUUUUAAAUAACCAAAAGUGUUAUUUUUUGAAGAUUACAACUUUGAGUUUUUUUUACUCUUUUAAAAUUAUCUAAUAAGUUAUUAAGUUAAGUUUGAGGAAAACUAUAUGUAUUUGUCUAAUAAAAUCAAGCUCUAGUAAGUCAAUCAGAGAAUAAAUAAAUGUAACUAACUCAAAAUUGUAUGAAGUAGACUUGUAAAUUGACGAACAAGAAACAAAAGAGUUGAAAAGAAUAAUAAUACAAACCUAAAAGGGCGACUGUUGCUUCAGUAUCAAUACCAAUGGAGUUAAAACGAGAGAGAACAUUUACAAGAGAUGCGUUGUGCUGUGGAACCAACUCCUCAACCAUAUUUGAAUAACUCAUUUUGCUGUCUUUUCUUCCGGUUUUCAAAUCUAUAUGAGGUCCUUUUAACUGUACAUCAAUUUCACCCCAUUACAAAAAGAACAAACACAAAUUUUAUGGAUAAAAGAAUAUAUCUUCGUCAUUGAAAGAGUUACGAGUUAUAUAGUUUGUCUUUUUUAAAUAUUUUAAAACUACAUUUUGGAGUGGGAAUUCAUUAAAGCUUUGGACAAAAGUUGGAGUAUGAAACCAAUAUGUGAUGGUUAUUUGAAAAGAAUGUUGAAACUCGAACACUGUCACUCUCGUUUCAUGUCUCAAUUUUUAUAUAAAGUUUGAGUGGAUUCCUACAGUACUAGAGGUUGUUGUUGCAAUUUUUUUUAAAUGUUUUCAAAACAAACAACGACAAAGUUUGAGAGAAAGAUGAUGGAAUAAUAUACCAUAACUAUGCCAUCUCUAGCAGAGAGAGCAACGAUGUCAGCACAAGAAACAGUGAGAGGGCACUCUUUCUCAACAGCAGCUUUAAUCUUAUUUACAUAUUUGAAAUUUCUCAUUCCAAAGCUUCUGCUUGAAUCUUUCUCUGAUUCCACUCCCACCACCGUCUCCAACAGAAGUGACGCAUCACAAGACUACAAAUACCAAAUCACACCAAACACUAUUAAUUUCAAGAUAUAAGUUCAACACAAUUUGACACGAUGAUGUUACAUAAACUCAUGCACGUCUGUAGCUGACGUUGAAUUUGUAAAACGAGUUACUUAAAUAUUACGUCAAUUCACAAUUAAGGUUAAAUUAUAAGUUUAGUUCUUAAUACUUAAUAUUAUCUUCAAACUGUUUGAAAAGUCGAUGAAUUUUUAAUUUUGUCUUAAUAUGGUCAUCAAGCCUCCCAAAGUGCCUAAUUAAGAUUAAUUUCAAUCUUAAUAUGUACAUAAUUGUUUUUAUUUAUUUAUUUUUAUUUCGUGGUGUGAUAUUUUAUUUUUAUUUUAACAAAUAAGCACACACACAAAUACACAAAUAGUAUACUCUAUAGUAAAAGCUAUAAAUUAUGUUAGAAUAGUAUACCGAGGGGACAUAGGUUUAAUUUGUAGGGUUAACCAAAUGAUUAAUUUGCAAACACUUAAAGAAAAUUAAUUAACAUAUAAUAUGUCUAUUUAUCUUGCUUUCCAUCCGUAUCCAAAAGGAUUAAAGGAAUUAAUUAAAAUAUAAAGUUUAAUUAAUUACCUUAACAAUGCAAUCAUGGAAGAGAUUUCUAAGCCACGAAACAGCAGUGUUUCCAUGUUCAUAGUAAAGAUCAAUGACUUGCUGUUUUAUAAUCUCUUCAGCUUUUGGACAACUUUUUGCAUAGUAAUUCAGUUGCAACUGGCCCCUUCCUAUUUUCAUUUUAUUUCAAAAUUUCACCCAUUAAAUUAAACAAUACAUUACAAUCUAUCGUUAUGAAAAAGAAGAAGAAGAAGGGAACUAAAAUCAGACCUGAAUUAAAGAGCUGAAAAAGAACAAGAAGAAGAAGAAAGCUGAAAUGGGUUUUGGCCGCCAUUGUUGAGCUUUUGAAGCUUCCUGGUUUUUAAGUAAGUAUGGGCAUUUUUAUGGUCCUUUUUAUAGUGGAAGAAGAUGGAGAGUAGGCUUAAUUAUUUAUUUGCUUAAUUAAUUAUUUUGUGUAUAUGUGGAUUUAUAUUGGGUCACCGCCGACGCAAAUAGACAAUUAUUGGAGAGCAUGAGAAAAUAUUUAUUUGUAAUUAUCUUCAUUUAUUUUUUAGGAUUUUUCAUUUUCAAUGUGUAGUUGAUUGAUAAUUGAAUUUAACUACAGUCCCUCAAACAAUUUUAAUUUUUUGUUUUCUUCUCUAUAUUGUUUCAAUGAUCUUAAUCAAGUUGUUGAUGUGAUGUUAGCAGUUAAAUUUAAGCAUAAUUGAAUUGAUUAAGACAUCUCAAUUCUUAUUUAAAUUUCCUCCUUAUGAAAAUUACAUCGUACUAAUAAUUAUAUAUACAAAAUAAAUUGAUGAAUUAACCUCAAAUAAGUUGACGAAUUAACCUCAAGAAUGAUCAGAAUUUGGUUAUGAGAGUUUGAGGUAUUGUAUUGGAGGGUUAUACAUUACUGAUAUGCCAAACAUUUUGACAUAUAUUAAACCUAAUUUUUGUUAAUUAAUCCAAUGAUUUUGGAUUUAUGUUUGAAUUAGUUUGAAACAAUAUAUAUUUUUUCCGAUAAAAAUGACUUAAAAAUAUUUCGAAAUUAAACCUCUUGGAGCCAUUGAAACUAAAUACUCACAAGAACCCUACAUCGAUGCGUAAAUAAUUAAAAAUUAAAUUGUGUUCAUGUUGUUAAGAUCAAUUUAAUAUUAAAUUGUGUUCUCUGCCAACUUUUAUGGUUGCUACCAUUAAUAUGAUAUGUCAAAGUCAAAUAUAGUGGAAAAUUGGUGCAUUAUUAAUGUGACAUGCAAUUUUUUUGUUUAAAAAGAUAAAAUAAAUAUAAUUAAAAUAACAUAAAAUAGAUAAGAUUAUCUUUGGAGUAUGAUGUUCAUAUUUUCAAUAUUUAUUUGAUCAAAAAUUUUAUUUGUUUAAAAUAAAUGUUGGUCUAAAUAAUUCUAUUAUCCAUCAUUAAAGUUUAAAUUUGUAUUUAAACGAGUGGUUUGAUUGUAUCUCACAUAUUUAUAAAGCAACCAUUUAAUCUCUAACAAUAAAUUUUUGUUAUUUUUAAAACAAAAUUCAUGAGUUGUUUAUUACUAACUUUUCAAUUCCAAUGAGCUUUUGUGUAUAAAACAAGGAAGAGGUAGGGUUUUAUGGAAAGAGUACCAUUAAUUGUAUAUAACAACAAAAAAUUUAGGGGAAUAAAAUCAAGUUUAAUUUGUCAAUAAAUUGGAGAGAUCCAUGAACUAAUUUGGGAUCCUAAACUUUCUAAAUUGGGCUAAUUAAUUUGGAAUCCCAAUAUUAUUAAAGUUGAAUGAACAUGCAAAUUUUAAUUAAUAAGCUACUUAAUUUCAAUUAACCAAAUGUAGAAAUUAAUUAUUUCAGUAACAUGGGGAUGGUUUGACUUUUCCGUACAAUCGGUGCUUUAAAAUUGGUAAGUUGAAUUGAACAUUAUGUAUUUAUUAUUAUUAUUUUUCCUUUGACUAAAUAAUUGAGAGAUUUUAUUUCAUAUUAAAAAACUACUUUUUAUUCUUUUUAAUAUAACUAAUUAACUAAUAAACAAAGAAGAGACUCAUCACACCCAAAUUAGGGCAAUUAGAUAGCUUUUCCAAUUACAAAGGGAGAGGGAGGAGGGGUAACGAGACAAUACAAUUAUAUUUGUGGUAUCAUUUGACGAGUGACAUUAAGAGAAACUUCAAAAACUUUAUUAGUUUCUAUUGAAUUUAUAAACGGUUUAUUAAGAGAACAUAUAAUGUCUACCCAUCGAAUUUAAUUAUCUUAUCAAAGAAUAACUUGACACUAUUUUUAAAAGUAAUAUAACAUACACGAUAACUCUAGCUUGAUAACGGAAUUAGAAUAAUCCUUUAACAUGUGAAAGUAUUGGAAAAUUUUGUUGUUUUAGAUGUUUGUUGAGAGUAUACUAUUGGAUGAUUGAGUUAAAUGUAGUUUAUAUUGUAAUUGUUGGUGGACAGUUUACUUUACCUUCAACUUGAUUUAUUUAAUUAAAGGUUUAAUAUUAAAAUUAAUUGGGGGUUUAUUAUUUUGUUAAGAAAUGAAAAUUUCUUAUUAUAUUUAAUUAGUUAAAGGGUAUUUCACAAAAUAAACUAUAAGUAUAAUUUUAAAAUAAUGAAUGAUUAGAUAAGGAAUAAGUAGUUCAAUCAUUUGUUCAAAAUCAUUAGAGACUUUAUAUAUUUUGUUCGUUAAACUAACGCUAGGUUUAAAUCUUAGUCCAUACCUCAAUAUAUUUUAAAUUUAUUAUAUCUUUAGAGAAGAUGUAGGGAUGAAAAGUUGGAGUUUAAAUUUACUUUAUCAAAUUUCAACCGUUCAUUUAAUCAUCACAUACACAUCAUUUUACUAACCAUUUUAUCAAUUGACAUCUUCAAUUUUUAUAAACUUUAUAAAGGAAGUAAUUUAGGUUCUUAUAAAGAAUUUUCUUUAAAGAGCAAGUCUAUACGUUUACUCUAAUAACGAAUUUUGUAAAUUUAAGAUUCCAAAAAGCUUAUACAGACGAUGAUGAGACUAUAAAUUUGGUAAAAAAAUCAUAAAUUUAUAGGUUAUAAAAAGAAAUUAAAGUAAAAGAAAUUGAAAAUUUGUAGGUAUGUGAAAUGGAUAUUCAUGGGAGAAUAUAAAAGGUAUGAAAUGGAAGUCUCCCAUCGGCCAUCCCAUUAGACGCCACUUUCUUUGACCACACAAACACUCUUUUCCCAUCACGCGAGCACCCAGCGUUGGGUCCCGUUUUUUUAAUUUACUUUUACAAGUUUACACCUAUUGAAAAUUUGUAUAUAAUUUCAUUUUGGUCAUAAUAUUUUCUUACUUUAUCUUACUUUUAUCAUCAAUUUGGUAACAUAAUAAUUAAAGAUUUGAGUUGAGACUUAGACGUGUAAGAUUGAUUUAAUUAAAUUAUUAUAAAUACAUCAUUUUACUUCUUUCCUAAGCCACACACACACAUAUAUGUAUAUAUAUAUAAAGAAAAAUAGAUAUAUUUAUUGGGCCACUGCCUAACUAAGUCAAUAGGAACUUGACAAAGUAUGAAUAAAUAAUAAUACAAAGUUCGGUUGCCACAUGCAUUUCAAACGUAUUAUUUUUAUUUUUAUUUUUGUAGAGUUUUAUUUAAUUGUUAUAUAAUAAUAAUGAUUAUGAUGAUGAUCUUUUAUUGUCAUGGAUUACUAAACAAAAGGCAUUUUGAGUCUUGACUUUUCUGUCCUCCAAGAGUGUUGUAUUUACACAUAAUCUUUUUUUAAUAUUGGAAGAUGAGAUACAAAAGAAUAUUAAAGGUAUAAACGUUUGAUAACUUUUAUGUUGCUUCUCUUUAUUAAUUAACAUUUUAAAUGACUUCAUUAGAAACAUAAAUAACAAAAAUGUAAAAAGAAAUUGAAUUGUAUGAAAUAGAUUUGAAAAAUAUUGGUAUAUUCUUAAUUAUUUUAAAUGCUAUUUUUUAAAAAAAUAUAGUUAAAAAAUGAAAUUAAAUAGAUUAGGGAUAAUUUUUAUUUAAUUAUUUUAAAGAUUUGGAAGAUUAAUUUUAUUAUAAUUCUUGAAGGAAAAAAAAAAGCAAACUACUACAUUUCAAGUAAUUUUCUGCCGUGAGUGAGGUAACUCUUGGAUUCUCGACUUCUUUCUUAUACUUGUGUUUCUAAUCUAUCUCUAAUAUUAAUAAAAAAAUAUAUUCUUUUUGCUACCUAGUCACAUAAUAUGAUACCGAUAUCCAUGCUGUCUCAACCUUGUUUCAAACAAAAAAGACAACGCUUUUUUUCAAUUAGAAAAGAGAAAUUAGGAGAAAGAUAAAAUAGGAGCCAUCGUAUAUUGUUGUUUUCUAAUGAAAGAAAAUGUCAUUUUAAGAAUAGACGGGAUAGGAAUCUCUUACAUACCCAUAUUGAACUCGUAAUUCACAUUUUUAAUUUGGAAUGAUGAAUCUUGUAAAGUCGUGUGAUCCAUAUAUUAUAAAACGACACUAAAAUAAUAUACAUCCAAAUACAAACUAGUAUAAUCUAGAAUGUGAUAACCAACAUAUUUAAAUAAUCGUUGGAGAGAAAAACAAAGAAAAGAACAUUAAAAAAUAAUUUUGAGAAAAUAUUACUUUUUAAAUAUAAAUAUUUCUUUUAUCAUAUUUCAUAGAAUAUUACAUAAUAUAAAGUUGAUUUAGAUUAGCAAAUAUUGUAAUCUUAAUAACAUGUUUUCUUCUUUUAAUUUUAUGAUUUCUAAAAUGGGUUAAUUUGGAAGGUGCAAUUAAGAGAAAAUUUGAAGUGAUAUUAUGUUAUCCAAAUCAUAUUUAUAAUGAACACAAUCACUUUCAAAACCAAACAAUUUUUUUUUUUAAAAUCUAAAUAACGUAAUAAUUAAUUAUACAAUAGAAAAGAUAUUUUCUAAUUUUCUAAAAAAAAUGAUUAAAAGUUAUCCAUUUCUAACAUUACUUUAUUUCUAUUUUUUUAAAAAGUCAAAUUAUUAAUAAUUUCCCCAUUUUAUUUAUUUGUUAAUCAAUUGAGAGAGAUUACAUCAAUAAUUGAAAAUAGUUUUUAUAAAGAUAAAUAAUAAUAAAGUAAUUGAAAAUUGUGAUGAGAUUGCAAACAUUAUCCCUUUGAAGCUAUCCAAUUUGGUGUCAUUUUUUAGAUUUUUUCCUUAUUUAAUUAUUAAAACAUAUUCAACAUCUCACAAAAUAUAAAAUUAUUUCAAAUAAAUUAGAGAUCAUAAUUGAUUUUUUUUUAAAAAAAAUACUUAUUUAUUCUUUUAUGUGUAAUAUCUAAUAACCAUUUAUUUGUAGCAUUUUCAUGUGAGGUUCAAUAAUUCUAUAACUUUCAUUGGGAGUCUUUUAUUAAUAUUGACUUAGCUAAACCUACAUGACAAAUCUGACUUUCCAUUUCCCUUUAUAUGUAUUUAUUUAUUUUAAACAUUUAAACUUGUUUAAUUUUAUUUAAUCUAAUUGUAUUUUCGUGCCAUUUUUUGUCGUAAAUUUUUGUAUAACAUCUAUUUUGGUCAUUUGAUAUAUACGUUUUUUCCUUAUCUACCUAAAGUUUGUCUUUAAAUUUAUGUGGCUUAAAUUCAUGCAUGCUUGCAUUAAUAUGCUAACAAGCAUAACAAACACAACGUCAUGAAAAAUAAUGUUAAAAAACAAAAUUAUCGAUCAAAAUGAUUAUUCUUCUAAAACUUUCUAAACUAGAAUAUUACAAAAUUUAAAGUUAAAUAAUCAAAAUAUGACGUUGUAAGUUCAAUAAUAAAAACAAUAUAUAUUUGUAUGUAUUGGAUAAACGUGUAGUAUGUUCUUAAAACUUAGAAAAAUAUCUUGGAAGAUCUCUUAUAUUUACCACACGAGAUUUUCGAUAUCUUAUACUUUUUUAUUUUUUUUAUGUCAAAAGUGUUUUUAUUUUUCUAAAUCUAUUGGACAAUGAAUUAGAAAAAAGAAAAACUUUAUGAUGAUUGUUUUUUUCUAAAUGGAAACGUAUGCUUAAAGGAAAUCCAACCUCAUAUAUUUUAAAUAAAUUAAAAUAUCUAUUUUAUAAAAAUCGAAAAUGACAUAUAUUAAAAAGUUUUCUUAGGUGUCAUGCGUCAUAUCAAUUAACGAAAAGACAAAUUAAAAUAUAACGAGGCCCAUUGCUCCAAAGGUUUGGGCUUCCCAAUUAUACAACCCCAUUUUGAUUGAAGCAACCACCCAAAAUUUCCCUUGGUAAGGGAAGCAUUUUAAUUUGUAAGAUUCUUGAAUGAAAUUUUGUUAUAUACCUGUAUUAUUUAGAGGAGUUUUUUUAAAAAAUAAUAAUAAAACAAAAAAAAAAAUAUUUGAAAAUGUUUCCUAUAGUUUAGUAUUAAUUUGAAAAUAGUGUAACCCAUUUUUAGAAGCAAAGGAAAAAUUGAAUUCCCCACUUCAUCUUGAUGUGACAAAAUUUAAAUUGACAUUGGGAAUCUUCACAUUGUUACGAACUCCACUUGCUUAUUGGCUUUUUCUCAUUCAUUUAUUAUUCGCUUGUCUUGCAACACUAUAAUUUUUCCUUUCCUUUUCUCUUUUUAUUUGUAUUCAAAUACAAACUUAAAUAAAUAAAUAAAUAAAAUAUUAUUUUAGUUCCAUAUUUACAAAUUUUGUUCCACUUAUAAAUUAUUAUUGGGUUUUAAUUUCAACCUUUCCAACUAUUAGAUUUAAAGAAGUUAUAGAUGAAUCAAUUUAAAAAUAAUUAAUUAUUUAAAAGAUAAGAAUGGAUGACUCGAAUAUUCAUUUUAAUGAUUCACUAAAAAACGUGUCAAAAGCAUUCAAACUAGAGCAUAAGUUCGCUUGUUUGUAUGAUUAUAUGUUUGGAAUUCACGUAGUUUAUAUAAAAAAAUACUGUUUAAAUUAAAUUAAAGUAAAAAGAUUUCAAAUAAUUGAGUCAAAAUAUUUUUAUUGAAUUUCAAAAGCAACAGUUUUAGCCCAAGAUCUGAGGUGUUUCUUCAUGUCAGAGGUUGAAGAAACCUUAGGCAUUCUUAGAUCUAAAAGAGGAGAAUUUGGUCUUCUUAUUAUCCAUGCCUCUGAAAGAUAUGGUCUUGCUAUCUCUCUCUUCUUAUUUUUAUCAUCAUCAUCAUCAUCAUUUUCUUUGUCGUGGUCACCGUCGCCAUCCUCGUCAUCUUCAAGAUUUUGUUUGUUUAUUUGAGUUCUGAGCCUUUGCAAACCAGGUACCAACUUCACCAUUUGAGGGCUCAAACUUUCUCUCUUAAAUUCAAACCCUAAAUCCAUAAACCCUUUCACUUCUUCAAGCUCCAACUCCCCCAAGCUUUUGCAACUUGUAGAUUUGUUCAAUUUUCUUCCCACUACACACACAAGAAUUCUUAUCAAUGCCCAUCAAUUAUAUAUAUAUACAUACAGUAACUCAAUGGGUUUCCAAAAAGCUUAAAUAUGAUAAUAAUUUUAAAAAGUUUGAUUCUAUUAUUCAACCUGAAAAUUUGAGACCGUUGAGACUUUGAUCUUCACUUAACUCUCUCUUUGCAUCUUGUUUGUUUUUGUCUUCCUCAUUACUAUAAUUUUCCUGUUAAGACCACAAGUAAAUGUUUAUACAUAUAUAAUAUUAGAUUUACUUUUAAGAACAGCAAAAGUAAAAUGGGUGGUUUAAGAGGUCAUUGUGCAAACAACAACUUAUACAUUGUUACUUUUCUCACCUAUCAAUAUCGAUUUCCACUUGUUUGAGUAUUCUAAAUUUUCAAGCUUAACAUUAACAUGAUAUUAGAGCAAACACGAGGUCAUAUAUGUUCAAAGUCUCAUGAUUAAUUCAUUAUUAAUAUUCAAAAUCAUUGGGCUAGCUUGUUAUUCGUGUCUAUUUUUAAGUUGGCCAAAGAGGAGUAAAAUAGUACUUAUGGAUUCCAGUGGUGGGGGAGGGAGGAGGGGUUACCUGUGAGACGAGGGAGAUAUUGUCGGAUGAGGACGACGAAGAGGAGGGAAGAAUUGUUUGAUCCACUAGAGGUGAUAAUGGGGAAGAAGGGAGGAAGUUUGUGAAAGGAAAAGAAGAUGUUGAGUUAAGAAGAUUGGGAAAAUGGGAAGUGAAUAAUGGAUCGGAGCUGCAAAGAAUGAUUUGGUGGUACCAAAGGCGAUCCAUGGCUGAAACUAAACAUAAGGUAUUGUUUGUGUUCAUAGCCAUUGGAGGGAUAGGGAGAAAGAAAAUAAGAGCGUGGAAGAAAGGGAGAAAAAAGAGAAGGAAAGUUUGGGAUAUAAGAAACCAUGGAAGAGGAGAGAGUUGUGGUGGAAAUGAAAUUAGAAUAUGGAAUGAGUGAAAGCCAAAGAAAAAAGAGAGAAGAAUAAGUUUGAGUGGAAAUGAAUUCCCUUUGGAGGAAUAUUGGAGGAUGUGGUUACAAGUGAACAUUAAUCCAUAUCUUUAGUUUCUUUUUUUCUUUUUCAAUUUUCUGUGCUUAAAUUACUAUUUUGCCCCCAUAUAUAUAUACACACUCUUAACUUGACUUUAGACUAAGCAACUAGAUGGAUUGUUUGUUGAUUAAAUUACAAAUAUGAUUUUUAUGGUUAGGAGAAAACUAAAAUUAUCAUAUAUACACACUCUUAACUUUUGAAAGGAUGAAAUAAAUACCAUUAUUAAUACAAAUCUUUGAACGAAAAGAUAAUUAUUUUGGGAAAUCAUAAAUAUUAAUUUCAUACAAAAAUUAUUUUAAAUUUUUAAUUUUGUAGUUAAUAUUUUAUCAACAAAUGGGCAUUUGGUCUAGUGGUAUGAUUCUCGCUUAGGGUGCGAGAGGUCCCGAGUUCAAUUCUCGGAAUGCCCCUUUUAAGUGCUUUUUUAUUUCUCUUUUCCAUUAGUUUCCAGCCCAUAAUUGAAGUGGGCUGCCCGUCUUCAUACCAGCCCAUAGUUCAAUUCUCGCCUUUCUGCACGCAGUCGCCCCAUCUUCUUCAAUCUUCUGUUCAGUUUCCACGCUCGCCUUUCAAGCCGGUCACCCUCUCUCUGCCGGUGUUCAGUUGCUCGCACUUCUUCAACCCAGCCACCCCCACCCCAACACUCUCCACUUGCCCUUGAAACGGACGCCCUCCUUGUCGUCCGCCUUCCCGCCACACUUUGGAUUUGGUGUUGAACUUGUUUUCUGCUUAUAUUUUGGUAAGUUAAAUAUUUUGAAUUUGUAGUGUUGAAAUUUGUUAAAUUUGUGUUGUUGAAAUUGUUUAGUUAAAAAAUAAAAUUAGUUUCAAUUCCAAAAGCCUUGAAUCCCAACACAAUUAAAAUAUAUAACAAAGAUAUCAAAUAGCCCAGUGUAUGAGUCAUUACACGUCUUUUUUGCGCACGACUUCUGUAGAGAUUGUCGGAACCACUUUCACCGCCGUUAGUCACCGGAAACCUACCGGAGCGCGGAGGCUAAGGAUCGAAGAUGAGCGUGAUCGACCUUUUGACCAGAGUAGAUGCGAUCUGCCAGAAGUACGACAAAUAUGACAUAGAAAAGCAGAGAGAUCUCAAUGUCUCCGGCGACGAUGCCUUCGCUCGUCUCUACGCCACCGUUGAAGCUGACAUUGAAGCCGCUCUACAGGUUUGACUCUGAUCCCUCAGUCAAUUUCUCAGUUUCUUCUGCUGCUGAAUAAGGAAAUGAAUGUUUUAAUUCUGACUUAGUAGCCUCUUCCGUUUCUGAUCUAGGUUUAAUUCUGUGGAUAAAUCUUGGUUUACAUAGAUGAUUUAGCAUCUUAAUUUGCUGGUGAGGAGGGCUGGGUUCUAAUUUAGGAGUGUUUUGUGUGUGCAGAAAGCGGAGGAUGCUUCUAAAGAGAAGAAUAGGGCAUCCGUGGUGGCGUUGAAUGCGGAGAUUCGUCGUACGAAGGCUCGAUUACUGGAGGAAGUUCCCAAGUUGCAAAGGUUGGCUGUAAAGAGGGUUUGUAUUCACUGUCUUCACUGAGUUUAUUUUGAAAAUUCACUCUAGUAACUCCACUUCCAUCUUAGAAGCUGUACGUCUCAUAUGAAUUGAUGAGAGGAUUGUGAAUCUAUGACGAAAGGAUUAGGUUCCUAAAUUCAUUUUGGAACUUAGGAUGGUUUUGCAAUUUUUAUACUCAAUUGAAGUUGAGCCACUGAAUUUGAACUGUCUAGCUUCUACCUAUAGAUUGCAUUGGAUGUUCACAUAAUCUAUUGACAGGUUAAAGGGCUAUCAACUGAAGAUCUUACCACUCGAAAUGAUUUGGUGCUUGCAUUACCGGAUAGAAUUCAAGCUAUACCAGAUGGAACUGUGACUACCACGAAGAAUAAUGGGGGCUGGACAUCCUCAGCUUCACGGACUGAAAUCAAAUUUGACUCAGGUGAUGUAUUAAAUUCGGUUGAAUUGUUCAACCGUCUUUCUGAAACUUUCUUUCUACUUUAAGUUGUCAAUACCAUGAACUAAUCCUAUAUUUGAUACGGACAUUUAAAUUAAUAAUAGAUGGGCGGUUUGAUGAUGAGUACUUCCAACACACCGAGCAGUCCAGUCAGUUCAGGCAGGAGUAUGAAAUGAGGAAAAUGAAGCAGGUAAAUUAUAUAUAUCCUAGUGUAGUCUCUUUGUUGAAGAAGGAAGCUUUCGUGCCUAAUGGCCAAUUGCUGUGGUUUAAACCCUUCAUUUUGGUGCAUAUGCAGGAUCAAGGAUUGGACAUGAUAUCAGAAGGGUUAGAUACUCUGAAGAAUAUGGCACAUGAUAUGAAUGAGGUUAGUCAUCUUCUAGGCGGGAGAUCUUAUUGUUAUUAAUUUUUUUUCCCCUUACCAACGUAUUAGUUGAUAGUGAUUGUGGUAUGUUAUUUGCAGGAAAUAGACAGGCAAGUCCCUUUGAUGGACGAGAUUGACACUAAGGUAAUGAUAUCUCUCUCAUUAGAUUUUAUAUCUCUAAUUACACAUAUGUAUAUGUAUAUAUGUUCUUGUAGUCUCGAUGUUCAUGCUUAUGACAACCACCCAAUUUUCUUUUUGAAUCAUGGCAGGUGGACAAGGCUGCAUCUGACCUUAAGAACACCAACGUUAGAUUAAAGGACACAGUUAACCAGGUUUUGCUCUGUUCCUCCGAUCUCUAUUUAACCUUUAUUGUCAGUUCUUGUAGUGUAUAUUCCUGACCCUUGUGUACAUACGUGAUUAUCCUUAUUCCUCGUGCAUGCCAAAUACCUAGAUUUAUAUGUAUAUUUGUAAGAAGUUUGCAAGUUUAUCUAACAUGAGUUUUAUUUUGCUACAGCUAAGGUCCAGCAGAAAUUUCUGUAUUGAUAUCAUUUUGUUGUGUAUAAUCUUGGGGAUUGCUGCCUAUCUAUACAAGUAAGUUUUUACAUUCUACCUGUCUCCUAAAAAACGAGAGCUGUAAUCGUUUAGCAUUUCUAAAUCAUUUUUAAUUCUCCCCAUGUGCCAUCUUUACCAUUUUCAUCAUGUACUGAAAUUUGUCAUUGGCUAUUUUAUGGGUGGCUGACUCGGAAGGGAAAAUAGAACUUUUAGUGUUGGAGAUGUUAUUUGAUGAUGUUUGGGAGUUGGUGAAGUUUGUUUCCUUGUGGGCUUCAUUCAUGUGGCCUUUUUGUAACUAUGACUUUAGUUUGAUUUUAUUGGAUUGGAGAUCAUCUUUUGUAGUUUUUUGGGGUGCUUUUUGGGCUAGUUUUUUUUGUACGUCCUGUACAUUCUUUCGCUUCUCUUCAUGCAAGCUUGGUUCUUACCAAAAAAGUUGAAAGAAAGAAAGAAAGGAAGAAAAAGGAUUCAUGUUUGGUAAACUGAUGUUAGACCUGUAUUAAGUCACUUUUUAAAAUUGUUCGAGGAAGAGGCAUUUGGAAAGACUAGAGAAACCUGGAUCUCUGGGCCCUGGGGUAUUGGUUAAUUGAAAUUUAACGUGCUUGGUUUCUUAUAAAAUGCGCAAUCAAUCGGGAUCCUCUCUUUUGGGCUGCGAUGAUGAAUGAGAAUAACAAUAUUUUCCUGGGGAAUGGCCUUGAGAUAGGUACUAACUAGCGAGUGGCCCAUAAAAUUUCAUAUCCAUAAGGUCUUAACAACCCGACCAUUCAUUAUCUUAAAAAUUCUAUUUAAUUUUGUACGUUUCAACUUAGCGGUUCUUUAGGCAAGUGCAACUGAAAUUUGUUAUGGAAUGUGGAAAUAGUACUCUAUCUUUGCAAGUUCAUGAUUCAGAUCCUAUCUAGUUGAUCGAGCUUCCAUUCCAACUGUAGUACUAUUAACUGAUUGGGAUUUCUAUCAGAUCUUCUAGGGAAUUGUUGAAAGUUAUGCGAAAUUCAAUUUUUAUCGAUUCAUUUUAUUUAUUGAUUUACGUUGAUUAACCUCAUAUAUUAUAGAAAGUGAGAAUCCUGUUACCUAAGGAGGUUCUCGAAUAAAGAGUUUGGGAUGUCUAUAAAUAACCUUUGAAGGGUCUAGGCACAAUCUUUUAGGCUGGGAAGCCUGAACUUAAAACAAUGUCUUUGGACGUGUUGCUACACCUACAAGGUUGAAAGGAAUAAAAGGAAGUGUCUUUUGUUUUUUUGGGAGAUUUUAUCUCAUAAUUAUAUCAAAACUCGAAACUGUUGAUAUGUUUGCUGAAGUUUUUAUGUUUCGUUCCGUUAACCAUGUCAAAAUAAUUUGAAAAGUUCUAAAAGAGAUUGUCUCUCUCCGCAGUGUGUUGAAGAAGUGAGCUAACAAAGGGGAGAAAUCUUCAUGUUCUCGUGGAAUAUUUGUGUCAAGUUUGCUAAGAAGAAUAUCUGUAUCCAGUACAUUAUCUGAUCGUGUUUGUGUUGUUUAUAAUAUUUGUAUGUCAUAUUCUUUUACACCGGACUCGCUGUGUACUAUCAAUUCUUGGUUAUGUUGCUUGAUUCUUUAAUGUUGCACUUGUAUAACCUGUCCUUGCUUUUGGCUUCAAAUUUGAAUACUGAUAGCCCAUGCUUGACAUUUUAGAUCAGAUGUAGAAAUCAAGACAACAUGUAUUGAAAUGUUUUGUGAUAACAGCCAUCUGAUCGAUGAAUGUCGUUGCCAUGUAAGCUCAUCCUUCCCUAAUGGAUUGUAUACAACCACUGCUUUUGUUUAUGAUAUCAAUUUGGACAUGCAUCUCAAAGUGGAUCAUGAUCAAAACUUUGAUCAACAAAUCGAUUAAGAUGGGUAGUCCUUUUGGCUUCUCUCGACUACCCAUUAUAGCCCAGGAGAAAAUGGAGACGACGAACGAGAAUUGAGACCCCUUGUUUUACUAGAACUAUGUAGGUUGUAGCGUUGUAAGUUUGAGCCAAAUAAGCACUCUUAGUCCUUAAAUAGUGUUCACAUCAGCAACAAUUUUGCUCUAUAAUACUCAAAGGAAUAUAUAGGAGUCGAUUUCCCUCUUAUUUAUGAACACAGUAAAUCAUGACAAAUGGAAAAAAAUAACUGAAAUAGUUUGAUUCGAAAAAACAGUUUUUCUUCUUUUUCAUACAGUUCUUUUUUUUUUUUUUUUUGCGUUAAAUUAUCAAUUUAUUUUUUAAAAAAUUUAUUGAUUAGCUGAAGCUAUUUUCUUUGAAUAGUAAAAAAAAUUAUUUGAUUAUUCAUUUAACAGAUCUGAUCAAGACGGUAAAUAAGUUUAGAUAUAAUAAUUAAAUCCAACUUGACCAUUUGAUACCAUUUUAUGUCAUUUUCUUCUUGGAUUCCUUCUUUGUUUUAUUGAUUUAUUUACUAUUAUUUUAUUUUAAAUGCAUUAAAUAAUGUUAUAUCUUCAACUAAUUUGAUAUAUACACAUUUCUAAUCCAACAUGUUUGACAAUACACAGAUCAAAUAUCGCAUGUAUUUUCUCUAUAACGUCACUUUCUUUUUCAUUUCAAAAUUAAGUACUACUUAAAUAAACUUUUCGUUAAUUAACAAGUAACAUGUAGGUUUGACGCGAGAGACGAGAGGGAUUAUUUAAAGGAAUACAUCAUAUUUUAUAUAUCAAUCUUAACCUAACACGCCCAUCCUUUUAGACUUAAAUAAAGAAAUUUAACCCGACUUUAUCUCAAGUUUGUUUUCAAUUUAGUAAUUAAAUUAUUUAUUUAAUAAUUUUCGAUCGUCUUAUAUAAUAGCAAAUUGAAACAUUUUUUCAGUGAAGACAAAAGAACAUUCUAUGGGCAUAUAUAGUUAAAACCAAAGAACCAUGAUUAUAAUUUGUCAUUAAUUAAUGGCUCAAGGAACGUUAAGCCCUAUGUUUUUCUUGUGGAAUUAAACAUUGAUAUUCUUUGGAAGAAUCUAAUCCUUAAGAAAUGAGAGUAAAUAAUUAAUAUAAACAAUAUAUUAUACUUCCAUAAAACCCUAACUAUGUGUAUCUAUAUAUAAACAUACAAUAUUUAUUAAGACAACUUGUCACCAUCCUCAAGGCGACAUGGUAGCUAAGGAAAAAAAUUUGGGCACAUGAGUGAAGAAAAUUGUUUGAAAAUAUUAUAAUCUACUUAUGUAAUUAAUUGUGUAAAGUCAUAUAUCUAAUUAAGGAAGGUUUAGAAGAUUAAUGAAUUGAUUGGAUUGAUUUUUAAAUGUUUAAAAAUAAAAUUUCACCUAAAAACACUACUUUGUUUAAAUGUUAAAAUGUCAUUUCAAAGAAGCCUUAUGUCUUGUCAAAACCAGCACACUAAUUAAUUAAUAAAAAUAGUAUAGAGCCUUUGAGUAUAAAUUAAUUCAUAUGGCUUUAAUUUGUUGUUGUUAUGAUAAUAAUAAUUAUUAUAUUAUUAUUUUGAGGAAAUAGAAGGAAAAAUUGAUUGACUAGAAACUCUAUAAUUUUCUUGAGCAAUGUGUAAUUAGAGAUAUAUUGGUUAUUGUAAUACACCUGAUUUUUUUUAAGAAAUAAUUUUGAAUGCAAAUGUUUCCAGAAAUAAAAUACAAACUUGUUCUGUAAAUAAAAAAUAAAAAAUCUCAUUCAAAAAUUAAUUUGUUUUAUUUUGAAAUUAGUUUUCAUACCAUUUUAAUCUUUUAACUUUUAUGUUUGAUUUCAACUUUCUCAUAUAUAAAUUUCAAAAUUAUACAAAAUUAUGGUUUGAGUAUUAAUUUGAUCACUAUAUUUCAAAAUUUAUACUUUUAACUUUGAUGGUUUACUAAUUACUCAUUUUAUUUAUUUAUUGUUAACGUCUAUUAUUUAAUUUUAAUAUAGUUUUGUUAUUAUUUUUCAUCAUUGAAUUCAAGAUAAAACCCAACAUUUAAUUUCUUAAUUGUUUUAAAUUUGACGAAUAAACAACAAUUCCAAUAACUAAAUGGCUUUGAAGAAUAUUCUUCUUGAGAUUAUGAAAGUAUUUAAUAAUUUUUUUAACUAAGUUGUACUUUAUUAAUUAUAUAAUGGGUAAUAAUUAAAUAAUUAAAAGGAGGAAUGAAAAUGAGAUAAUAUAAUUCAUGGCUAUCAAAGGGCAACAUUAUUGUCAUCUCUUCCUCUCAUUGAUAGAGACUCACAUGUGAGUAUGUAUUAUUAUUCCCAAUUCCCAAAGCACUUAUUCCCUUCAAAAUCCAUUUGUGUGUGUGUGUGAAUUUAUUUUAUUACCACAUUUUCAUAAUUUUGGGUGUAUAUAUGAAAAUGAAAUCCACCUUUUUAAUUAAUUUGUUUUCUUUAAUUUUAAAUCACACAAAAAUGAAAAAAAAUAAAUGGGUACGAAGAAUAUAUAUUAGUGAAAUGAGAUUAGACAUAUCAAAAUCAUACAUAUUCAUGACAUCAUGUUUUUAUUAUUUGAAAUCUCGAAUUUAUUUAAUUGAUGAGAUAUUGAUGUAUCAUCUAUAACAUGUCCUUUAUGUGGAGCAUACUGUUGUAUAGACAAGUCAUCUAUAACGUCAAUUAUAUAAGAUAUUGGGUUCAUAGUAUCAUAUCAUAUUAUGAACUAAAUUAAAGAUAAAUAAUUACCCAUUCAGUGUAAUUUUUUUUCUCCUUUUUAAUUAACCAUCGUAAAACUAUGUUUACAUCACCAACAAGUAUGGCAAAUAUAUAUGUGGAUAUGGGUAGAGAGGUUGAGGUGAUAUAUGUGUAGAGAGUCAAAUCAAUCAUAUAUUGACCCUAUCACAUAGUAUAUAUUAAAAUGUACGAGACAAUUUUACGUGAGAUUCAACGCAAAACAAUUCAAGCAGGGGCUAUUUUUAAAUAUUUUUAUCAAACUAUAGAGAUUAAAUUAUGAUUAUAUAAAUUACAAGACCUUCUAAUUUGAAAUAUAACUAAAAACUAAUAAUUUUUUUUUUUUUGUUAAUUUUGUAAAUAAUUUCAAUAUUUUGUUAUUGUUUAGUGACAUAUUAAAAAAACAAAAACUAAAUUGUUACUCCUAUGCAAGGUCUAUUUGUUCAAAAAAUAAAAUAUCGAAACACUUUUUUUCUUAAAGAAAUAAUAUGUGAAGAGUUGAAGGAUCAAAUCUCUUACGUUAAAAGUUAAUAUUAUAAUUUUGUACUCGUUGAUUCACCCUGAUCAUGUUGAUCAUCAUAAUUAAUUAACUAUUAAAUACAUUUUUUUAGAGAGGAAGAUAUCGAAAAAUUCUUUCAAGAAUUUUUUUUCCCCCCAAGAAGUUAUGCAUUAGGACAUAGACAUAUAUAAAGAAUGAUAAUAGUAAUAUUAAAAAAAAUAUCACCAAAUAAUCUCAUAAGACACACUGUGGAUUCCAAAGCAAAUAUAUAUAUAUAUAUAUAUAUAUUUGGAAUUUUGGUUUUGUUAUUAUUUUGAGAUUCUCAAAACAUUACUUAGAAAAUACCAUACAUUUGGAUGCGUUUUACUUAAUUACUCCUGUGUGUAUAUAUAUUUUCAUACAUUUUCUAAUUCUCUAGUUAAUUAAUUAGUUUGAGACAUAUAUAUCUAAGUAGCUGGAGAUGCAAAUUUCUUUACGCUCUACAUGGAUCAAACUAAAAAUUAAACUAUCAUCAUCAUCUUCAACAUCUCAUACUUAAUUUUCUAAAAAACUAAUUAGUCGAUAAAAUAGUAAUUAAAAUGAAACUACACCACAUAUCCUAAAAUAUGAUAUACUUUCUAAUGUUAUCAUGGGACAGCCACAUUGUUCAAUCAAUCAUACUCGAUAAAUUUUACGUUCGGAGACGAGAGAGAGAGAGAUAGAAGGAGAGAUGGGGGGAAUCUGUUAAUCUCUCUCAUCCAUGCAACAUGUACAUUGGAGUGUGUCCUUAUCUGGUCGGACAUAUAUAUCUUUAGGGCUCAUUCUCUUCCCCACCUGUGUGUCUUUAAAUUAGGGUUUCUUUUUCUUAUUAUUAUAUAUGAGAGAGAGAGAGAGAGAGAGAGAGACAUAGGGUUUUGUGUAUAUUUCUUAUAACUGCAUGUGUUAGAGAGAGAGAGAGCAUUGGAUACCAAAAUAGGGAUGGGAAAAAGCAUAUGUGAUGUGAAUGAAAAUCCAAGAGAAAACAGACAAAAGUGGUUCAUAUCUCUCCUUGUGUAUUUAUAUAUAUAUAUAUGUAGUUUUCUUUACUCUUUUUUUAUUCCACAAAAUCAAAAUUAAAUUGUCUGCCUAAUUAGGCAUCAAUUAAUUAUUAAUAAUAACAAUAAUGGUGUCUCUACAUUUUGGAUUAUGAUUCUUUAUUAUUCUUUUUUUAAUUCAACAAAUGUAGGGGGAAAUUGUAAAUUUAUGAGAAUAAAAUUAGGAUAAUAUUUUAAUUGUUUAGUUAUGUUCAUGCAUGCUUAUGAAUAUAAUUACUUUUUUUUAGUUCAUCCCUGUUAAAAUUAUUUUAAGAAUUUUGUUUGCUCCAAUUCGAAUGUAAUAUAGAAGAUAAAAUAUCAACUAAACUUGAAGAUUUAUAGUUUUUUUAUUUAUUAAUAACAAUGUAUUGUUAAUAGUGUUAAUUAAUAAUAUAAACUGAAAUUAACUAUAUAUAUAUAAAAAUCAUGACUCCUUAAAUCAUGGGUUCAUUUUCUUUAGUCUCCUUUAAACAACUAAUUAAAACAAAAUAGAGCCCACUUAAUUUUCAUAAAUACAUUUAUUAUUUUAUUUUUAAAACAGCAAGUUUUUUUAGUGAUCAAAAUCCUCUAUAUUGUAAACUUUUAGGAAAUUAAAAAAAAGUUUUGCAAUGAAAUUAUCUAAAAUAACACGUUAAUACAUUAACAAUUGGGUUAAUUAUAACCGAUCAAGAUCCACCAAAAUCGAUCUAUCAUUAUCAACAUCAAUCGAUUUUUAUUAGAGAAACGAAUACUCAAUCACACGACAAAUAAAUCUUCUCAAAUCAAUUUAAGUGAUUCAAACUCCAUCAAAUUCACCAACAUACACACAUGAAUCACAUCCCUACGUACUCAUGAUUCACAUCAAAGAAAUCUUCUUCUUCUUACUCCUCUUCUUCUUCUUUUUCUUUUUGAACAAAAAAGAGUUGUGAUUACAAAAUAGAUAGAGACAAGUAAAGGUAUCACGGACGGAUGUGUGAAUUACAAAGCAAAAGCAUAUGGGGAAAUGUAAAACUAUAUAUCAUAUUAUAUUAUAUGAUAUGAUAUAAUAUAAAUCUAUUCUCUUUCAUCUGUCUCAAUGUCUCUGACCCUCUGAUUUGUUGUACUAACAUUACAAUUGCCCAAAAUUACCCUUUAAUAAUAAUUAUUACUUAAUCAUUCUUUUCCAGAUUCACCCUCAUAAAGUUAACUUACUUUUUUCUUUUCUACCAAAAAGAAAAAAGAAAGGUCACAAGUCACAACUCACACACCCUUUAUUCUUUCUCUUUGUUUUCAUUACUUCUAGGUAGAUUAGGUACUUUGUUUUGCUAUACAUUACAAUCCCCCCUUUUUCCACAACCUUUUUCUUUCACCUUUCCUUCCUUUUCCAUUUGGUUAAUAGAUAUGUUCAUUUCUCAGGUGUUCAAAAUUUUCGUCUAAGUAGUGAAUGAAAGAGGAAGAGGAAGAGUUUCUUGAUUUUUACACGUAAAAGCUAAAAUUUAUUGUUUCUACCCGUUUGUGUUUCUUUGAUUUAUCUCGGAAAGUUUAGAUUACCUAUAUAAUUAAUAAAACUUUUGCUAAAAGAUUAAAAAAAACCCUAUAAUUGAAGGAUAAUUCUUCAUGGAAACCAUAAUUUUCAUUUAAAGAAUUAUUCUUACUUAGGUCCCUACAAAAUUAAAUGAAAAAUCUUGCAAGAUAAAGAAUGAAACGAGGAGCGAAGAUGGAAUGGCGAAACCAUUCUCGACAUUGUCCCACCACCUCGUGGAUAUCUCUAUCAUUUAUAAACACAUAUAGGUCCACUAUUUUUCAUCUUUUUUCCUUUUGUUUAUAUAUAUAUUUAUGAUGGGAAUUGCUUUGAUUGGGUCGUUGGUGCUAGUGUUUUAAUAACGGUGUUCGUGUGUUUAAAUUAAUUAGUUUGAAAGAUGGUUUUUGAAGUUUGGAAAAAGUGAUUGAUUGAUAUCAAAUUUUCUUGAAAAUGAAACAACAGUUAUUAUUGGGUUUUGACUUAUGCCUAUAGAAACUUAAUUACCAAUUGAAGUUUUAGGUAAAGCUGUUGUUUGCUUAAUAGUCUUUUGUGAAAGGAAAGAAUAAUAAUGGUCUUCUUUUUUUCUAAAAGUAUUCUAUUAGAUAAAGACAAUCACAUGGUAGUUAUUGGACGUGUGAUAUGAAAAACAUUUUUGUUGUUGACCACAAGUUUAAACCUAUAGGUAUAUUUUGGGAGGAGGUUUUUGACUUAUGAACUUGGACUAUUGUGUAAACUAUAACAAAUUAUGAGUUCAACAUCAUUCAUUAUAAGAAAGAUAAAAUUUUCCAAUGCAAAGAAACAAUUGUCGGGAGAAUAGUAUCAUGGAUUGAUUUAUCGUUAAAACACAUAUUACCUCAUUGAAUCCAUAUAUACCUUUUUAGUUUCAAUUCCCCUGUACUCAUUAACACAAUGAGAGAGUCAAACAUCAACAUAUAUUUAUUUCAUAUAGUUCACAAGACAAAAGUUGGUACAAACAGAGAGAGUUUGGCGUAGUUAGUAAGUUUACAUCUAUCUAUCUAUAUAUAUAUAAUUAAUUAAUAUUAUAGCUUUGAAUGUAACUCAUCACAAAUGGGUCCCUCCCUUUUUUGUAUUGAAAAGUUUGAAUGUACUAUUGAAGUUUGAACCUAAAAAAAGUUGAAAAGAAAUGAAGAAAUAAAUUAAACUCUAUACAUUGUGGUUACAAAAGCAUAUGUAUAGAAAGAGAGAGAGACAAACAGAAGAGAGUUGGUUGUCCAUUCCAACAUAUGGCUUCCAAAAUUAAUGAGAUAAAAAGAAUAAUACAAUUUAAUAUUAUUCCUAGUAUUUUAAACGAAUCAUUUUUAAAGAUAGCGAUGAAUUUGGCAAAGUUUCAUAUCUAACUUAUUACCGUAUAUAAUUGAUAAAAUCUAAAAUUUUGCUAUAUUUUGUACAUAUUUUGGUUCAUUUUAAUCAUUGUAGUUCUAAAAUAUUCAUUUUGACCUCUAUAUAUACUUUUAUUUUUCAUUUUAGUUUGAACUUUCAAAAAGUGAUAUUUUUUAUCUCUUAAAAUCGAAGCAAAAUGAACAUUUGAAAGUAUAAAAACUAAAAUGGACCAAAACUAUAAUCUCGAUGCUUAGUACAUACACGAGGAAUGUGAGUUGAGUUAAGUCGAUGGUUGGACUAAAAUAGUGUUAAAGAAAAAUAAAUAUAUUUGAAAACAGGAGAGAGAGGGAGGGAGGGAGGGGGAAAGAGAUAUAUUCUUUUUCCAUAGAGAAAAACACGUUGGUUUUUGGUGUUUUCUUAAAAAGCAAACAAAAGAGGGAAAAACCACACUUCAGAUCUCAAUUACAAGAAAAACACACACUCUCUUCUCUCUUUUUUUCUUCUUUUCUCUUCUCUUCUCUUCUCUUCUCAUCAUCACAGAUAUAAAUUUUCCUUUUUUUUUUUUAAUUUUCUGUUUGAAGGUCUUUUGUUCAGAUUCGAAGUCUUCAAAACUUCUUUGGUUUUUACUGUCUUUUGGCAUAACCCUAACAUUUAGUCUUCUUCCAGCUGAUAUCUUUUUUCCUUUGUCAACAGAAGAUCAUCAUCAUCAUCAUCAUCAUCAUUUUAAACACAAACCAAAAAAAACCCUUAAGUUUUUUAGCUGUUUGUCUGCAAAUUAACAAAAAUUUAAAAAUCCCUUGGUCUUUUCUUGUUUGUUCUUGUCUAAACCGUUCUUCAAUCCUUUCCCAAAUAAGAAUCCAAAAAACAAAACAAAAUUAUGUCAACUAAUCCUUUUUCUCUUCUCUCUUCUACUACCACUUCCUUCCCUCACCCACAAGAUGCCAACCCUAACCCUAACCCUAAACCGAAACCCUCCGCUGCUGCUGCCAAGAAGAAGAGAAACCUCCCCGGAACCCCAGGUGAGCAGCUUAUUCGUUCUUGUUUUCCUUUUUUAAUAUUUAUAUUAGGUUUUUUUUUUUCGAUGUGGAGCUUCAAUAAUCUGUGUGUUGUUGUUGUAGAUCCUGAUGCGGAGGUUAUCGCUUUGUCGCCGAAGUCGCUCAUGGCGACGAAUAGAUUCAUAUGUGAAAUUUGUAACAAGGGGUUUCAGAGAGACCAGAAUCUGCAGCUUCAUCGACGAGGGCAUAACUUACCGUGGAAGUUGCGACAACGGACGAACAAGGAACCGAUUAAGAAGAAGGUGUAUAUUUGUCCAGAAAAGACAUGUGUCCACCAUGAUCCGUCGCGAGCUCUCGGAGACCUCACCGGAAUAAAGAAGCAUUUCAGCCGGAAGCACGGCGAGAAGAAGUGGAAAUGUGACAAGUGUUCUAAGAAAUAUGCAGUUCAAUCUGAUUGGAAAGCUCACUCCAAAACUUGUGGGACUAGAGAAUAUAAGUGCGAUUGUGGAACUCUUUUUUCCAGGUAAAUUUUCCCUCAUCUUUAAUAUUCCAACCAAAUUCAAGAAAUAAUGGGUUAGAAAUAGAAUCCAUUUUUUUCUCACCAUCGGAAAGAUUUGAAGAAACGACUAUGUUUGAUACAAAGCAGUUUGAAACUGUAGUAUCACAGAUCAGUCAGAAUUCGAUAUCCAAACACGUUUUUCGAAUCAAUGGGUAAUUUUUGAAUGAAGAAAAAGGCAAAAACUUAACUUUUUCACUUUUCUUUUCACUCUUAUUGUUAAAGACAGAAGUAAUUAAUGCAAGAUUAUGUCUCUGACCUAGAAAUUGAAUUAAUGACAAAUGAUUGGACAUUAAAAUUAAAAUGUUUUGAUUCUUGUUUUUUGUUUGCAGGAAAGAUAGCUUCAUAACUCAUAGAGCAUUUUGUGAUGCUUUAGCUGAAGAAAGUGCAAGAAUCACAACAGUUUCAGCUACAAAUAUUCUCAAUAAUCUAAGAAAUGAUUCAAAUAAUAUCAAUCUUCUUCAUCAACAAGCUGAUCAUCAUCAAUCUUUGAUUGAUCAUCAUCAAUCUCUUGGAGAUAUUUCUGGACUUUCCCAAUUCACUAAUCAUUCAGAUCAUUUCUUGAGAGAUUUUGAAGAUCAUCAACAAAAGAACAGAUCUCCAUUAUCACUUUGGUUGAACCAAGCUUCUGCUGAAAAUGCAAUCAACAGCAACAACAGUAUUUCCAACUUUUUUGGAGCUUCUUCUUCUUCUUCCAAUCUUUUCGGAUCGAUAACCGAAAACGGGCUUUCGAUGUUGCCAGUGAUGGAGAAAGAAGAUGUUGAGAAUAAGGGAAGUAAUAAUAAUUUUUCUAAAGCUACAUCAUCGUCGGCAGCAGCGCUGUUGUCGGGUCAGUCUUCUCAGUCUGUUGUUUCUUCUUCUCCGAUGUCGGCCACUGCCCUUCUGCAAAAAGCUGCUCUUAUGGGCUCAACUAGAAGCGGCAAUAAUAAUAAUACCCCGCUCUUUGGUUCGGGUGCUUUCGGAGUCAUGAGUUCUUCGUCGUCGUUGUCCUCAUCGUCGUCUUCCAAUGCAGUAAGCAGCUUGAACUCUCUUAAUAAAUCUAGAAGCUUGACAAUGGUUGACUCGGUUCAGAUGAUCGGUAGCAACUCCGACUUAAGCUCGAAUUGUCUCAGCCAACUUCUAAUUCCACCAAACGGUAAAUUUCAUCUUUUAUCCAUAUCCUUAAUCCCAUUUUAGCUAAUAUACUUCGAAAAUUACCGCUAAAUUAGAUUCAACAAAUGACGACUAUCAAUAUUAACUGAGAAAGAAAUACUGAAUUAUGUUCAAAUCAAUCAUAUAUAUAUAUAUAUAUAUGAAAUUUUAAAAUCUUCGACUAAGUUCAAUGUGACUUAUAACAUUUCUCUAAACUUACGUUGACCUUAGAGCUUAAGAUAAAUUUAAUCAUUUAUUCAUAUUCGUAACGCAGGUAACAACGCUAUGAGAAGUAGUGGACAAACGAGGGACUUCCUCGGAGUCGGAGGAGGAGAAGCACCCCGACCGCCAUUCCUUCCACCAGAGCUAGCAAAAUUCACCACCAUAAACUCAACAAUGGGACUAAGCCAAUUUGCCGCCAACCACUAAAAUCUCAUCAUCAAAAACCAUCAAACUUAAUCAAAAAUAUCGGAAAAGGUCAGUAAAAAAAGAAAAUAACCACUGUCAUAUUUUAAACCAAAUUACAUUUUUUUUAAAAAAAGGAAAAAACAUAAUGAUGCGGAAGCUAAGCCAAAUUUCUUUUUUACAGUGCAGGGCGGCGGAAACGGUCAGAAGGGGCCGACGGCGGGGCCACCGGUGAAUGUUUAAAGUUUGGCAGUUCCAGAAAGCAGUAAAAAGAAGCCAUGCAAUGCAAUGUAAACUUUUUUUUUUCUUUCUUUUUUGUUAUUUUCUAUGUUGUCGUUUGAACUUUUUAAUUUUUCUCCCCAUUUCUUUUCGUAAUUUCGCUUUCAAAUUAUUGCAUUUGCCAGAGAAAAGAAACUACUUCUAUAGUUCUACAUAUAUAUAUAUAUAUAUAAACUUAUAUACAUGACUACUGGUCAAACUAAUCUGGCCGGCAGCCACCACCAGGUCAACGUCGGUACCCUUCAAAUAAUAAUAGUACUUCAACUUGUUUCUAAUUAAAAUUAGUUAAUGAUAAAAAUAGUUUUGAUGCAACUACAAAAAGGACUGAAAAUAUUAAAAUACUAAAAAAUACUACAUAAUUUCUAAGUUUAUCAAUAAAAGAUAUUAGUAAACUUAUUUAUAUGUUUUAGAUUUGAAUUAUAUAUCUAAACUUUCUAGUAAAAAAUAGUGUUGUAUAUAUGUUAUAAAAAUAUGCUUUGUUGUGGGAAUUUGUUCGUUGUCAUUUAUUUAUUUUAGUUAAUUUUAUAAUCAAUGGGAUAAAAUUAUAUAUGUGGAUUAUAUAUAAUCUUGUAUAACACAAUUGACUAAGAUGUUUUUUUAGCACAAUAGAUAUCUACACAGUUAAAUAAGACUUAUACUAAUUAGGUUAAAUUCCAACCUUCCAUUUGAUCACUUGGUUGGAACUCAAAGAAAAAAAAAUGAAGUCUCAUAACAACUAUAUUAUAAAAUUAGAUUAAAAUACCAUUUUGGUGUCUCUAUUUUCAAAUUUGUUCAUUUUUAGUAUUUUCACUUAGAGUAAAUCUUAAAUUUAUUCCCUUAAACUUAAUUUUAAUUGAAAUUGAUUAAAUACUCAUAAUAAUGUUUAUAAAAAUAACACAAUAUGUGAAUAUAUUUUAAAAUUUUAUAGUGAAAAUGCUAAUAAAAACUUGAAAAAUAUACAAUAAACCUGAGUUAUAGUAAUAAGAACUAAUUAAAUUGGGCAUUUAAGAGUACAUAAACUGAAGUUAAACAUAAAAAAUGAUAUUUUAACCUAAAAGAUAAUUGCAAGCACAACUUGAAAAUUAAACCAGAGUUCAUUAUAUAUAUAUAUAUAUUCUUAGAUUAGAUAUAGUUGAAGAGUUUUAGGGAUAUGGUUUAAGUUUCCAAUGAUGUUUAUAAAUUGAGAAUCUCAAGACCCUAAUUCAAGAGAGAAAUAUGAGUUUAAAAUGUGAAUAUUGGAACUAAUAUUAAGAUGAACAAGAAUGAAUGUAAUAGGGUACUAGGUAUGAUUGUAGGGCACUUUUGUUCCUAGGGAAACCACUUGCUUUGGGCACUCACCCCUAACACAUUUGACUUUGCCCUAACUUCCUUUUCUUUUUUCCCUUACUUUUCAAGUAAAUUAAAACCCUAUGAAAAAUGGUCAAUGGUCUAUAGGACAUCUCCCUAAAUUCGAAAGUUUUUUUUUCUUUUUGGAGAAGUUCAACUUUUUGAAGUCCUAAAACAAAAGGACUUUCAAAAGGAAAGAUCUAUCAAAAUGCACAAAAAGCGAAAAGGUGGAAAAAGUUUUGAUUGAUUUAUAUUGAAAUUAUAGUGCAAUGAUGUCUACCUUUUUGUGUUAAAUUACAAAAAGAAAAGAGAACAAAGUUUACUUUUAUGUUUAUAAAUAUGUUAUUCAUAAAAGUAAUGCAGUGAAGAUCAACAUCUGAUCAAAUACAAUUAUAAAAUAGUAAUAAUAACAAUUUUGAAAAAUAUUAUUCAUAUCAUUCAUCAAGAUGGAUUCUUUUCAUACAGAAAUGUUUCGGGACAUAAAAUAUGUGAUAUUCAAUACAAUAUUAAAUCGGUUUUAAUUUUAUAUUUGUAUUUAUUAUGGCUAAGGCAACAAAAAUAAUAACCAAAGUGAAAAUAAUUCAAAACUGAUGUUUAUCAAAUAUGCUAAUGAUAUUAUUACAUAUAUAUGUUAAAAAACUUUUAUUUCAAAUGAUUUACUCUAUGUACUUUAUAACUUGUAUUGAAUAUAAGCUCAAUCGUGCAAUCCAUGAUUAAUAUUUAAUGAAAUUGGAGGUAAAACUUGUUUAUAAACGAUAAAGAUCUACUAAAUUAUUACAUAAUAAAAUUUGACACGAGAUGGGACCAAGUUGUCAUAAGUUUGAAAUAUAGAAUACAUGUGGCUAAAUUGUUAUUUCUGUACAAACAUAUAAAUUUCUUCAUUUUGUAUGUAUAAGUAGAAUAGUGGCAUUGUCUAAUAUAGCUUUAAAAGACCCAAAUAGGUUUCCAAAAUAAACUAUAUAUAAGAAUGUAUGAUAAAUUUAUAUAAUAUAUAUAAAUUUCCCAUCGAAAAAUUAUUUACAUAAAUCAGCUAUAUAGCAUCAAGGGGAUGAAAUACACAAAAGUUGGUAAAGCAUAUAUACAAGACUUGAACUCCAUGUCAACGGCUGGGGCAAGGCUUCUGAAGUUCCCAUUUGGAUAUCUUGACCAGGAGGAUCGAUUUGGCUCGGGCGCAAGGUAUCGGGUGCUGUUUCAGACUGCAGUGGGACCUUGAGUUGCCGUUGAAGACCAAGUGGAGGAUCUGCUUGCAUUGGAGGCAUGGUCUGUUGUCAAUGAUCCAUCUGUGGUUUGAUGAGUUGAUUGAUCGAGCCAUGGUCUCGUUCGUCGAAGAAUUUUUUCAAGAAUGGAACUAAGAGCCAUUGUAACUCCAAAGCCCGAAAAUGUGGCAAGAAGAACAGCUACAAUAGCCUGCAUGUGAAGCUGUAGAUCCAAACAAACGUGAUUUACUUGAUUGCUUAAAUAGUGUAUCUCUUCUUCACAUUGCUUCAACAUUGCUACAGUUUUGGACGUAAAUUCUUACCUUUGAGUAGAAAACAUGAGAAAAGGCGAUCACCAAAGAUAACUGGACUGCUGCAUAAAUCCAUAUAUACUCCUUCAAUACUGACAACAAAAUUGAAUAGUAUUAAUGAGGAUUGAUUAUCAGAGAAAAAGCAUCAGAAAGUACUUUCCGUAUAACAUAUUGAAUAAACAAGUUGAGUCUUACCCAUUGUUGCUGCAGUCAUGGAUGCAAGAAGACCAAAUAUGCAAGAAAAUGGAAGAGAAAUAGCUAGAGCACUCGAUCCCAUUUUACCAGCCUGCAUAGGUACUGGUAUUAGCAAUCCGAGCACCCUCGAAAAGAGAAAGACGACCAUUCAUUAAUCCCCACCCAUCUAUUCAUGUUACAUUUUUAACGUCAUCGUCGAUAAAAAAAAAUUAACAUAACUAGGUAGAUAACUAAGAAGAAGACUAGAAUACCAGAAGUUGCUCUAGGAAGCCAAAGUAAGCUAGCAUGUUGACGAUAACGAGAAAAGGAACAUCCUGCCAAACCCUGUAGAAUUUUCACAUAAAAGUUCAGUUUUCAACAUAAACACGGAAACAGAAUUCGUCUUUCUGCGAUCAGGCAAAUAGCAAAAUCAGGUAUAUUUGUAUGUAUAAUGUUAAAGAGAACGGAUACCCUUUUUCUGGAUGCCUUCACAUUCCAGUGGAGAAAUGGUUUACUUGCCUGUAUCUAGUAAUGGCAACCGGAUUGGCUUCACUUCCUUGGAAGUUGUAGAUUUGAACGGCAUGCACAGGUAACAGCUCAAUCGAAAGAUUCUGAACCUCUUGCCUGCACACAUCACAUAUUCUGUUACCUUUAGUGCUAAACCAUUUGGUAGCGCAUUCUUGGUGAGCCAGAGCAAGUUCACCCUUGCAGUUACAUUCCAUCUUGAAAGUCUCCGGACUGUUCCCGAACUCAAUCAAGCAUAUUCGACAAACAGCCUCUUCUGAAAUAUGCUCACCAGUGUCUAUAUUUUCAUCUGAAUCAUGAAAAUAAAGCAUGUAUUGAUAAAUUAAGUUCAAAGAAAACAGAGGAAUAUCUAAUUUCUAAACAUGCUUCCCCCCAAUUAAAAUUCCCAACUGAACAGAGUUAUUGGAACAAUUACACAGUAACCAAGAGUGAAGAAAACAUGAUUUCCAUGGCACUUAAAGAAUGGAGAAUGAAUCUUGUUGAUGCGAAAAAACCAAACACAAACCAUCUAAGAAAUUUACCAUUAUGAUAUGUUGGUGAUUUAAAUGGGGUCAAAUGAAUCUCUUUGCCAAUUUGUGGAGAGAUUGGAAUCAGACGAACAAUAUUACCACGUAACAAUACACUUCCAUCUUUUCUGAUCAAAGGUACUGAAUGGGAUCGAUGCAUUGACCUUUGAGCCAAUUCUCUCUGUAAUGUGAGGAAUUCUGUAAGAACCAAAUAGAAAAACAGUUGGAAGAAAAAAAAAAACGUUGAGCAAAAGGAGGUAAACCAUCAAAUUGCAAUGAUCUUAAGAGAGUAGCUUCAGAAUGCAUUGCAAAUAAAAGGUUACAUUGAUGUCAACUCAACCAGAAAAACUAAGUCCUGUCCGGAAAAUGUCAAUGGUAACGAUCGGAAGACAAAAAGAAUACAAAACUUUAAUUCAAAACAUGAAACCCUGCCUUCACUAUCUUCUGACACAUGAGAGCUUUUCUCUAAAGUCGCUGCAAAGUGUAAGCAUUAAGGCAGAAACAAAUGGACAAGCAAAGAAUAAAGACCAAAAAAAGGACCACACAGAUUUACGUGGUUCAGUAACAGUGUGUAGCUAUGUACAUCAGAAGAGGGAGAGACCAGAUUUAUUAUUAGAGGUCAAAAUACAGAUACAGAAGUGUCAACGCGAAUACAUGGUUUAUAAAUGAUAGCCCUAUAUACCCUGAGCCAAGAAAGACUUUGUGCUUGGUCAUUCGUAGGACUAGAUAAUAGAUUAUUCAAAACAUCCCAUCAAUAAGAUUGAAUGCGGGUGAAAAUAGUGCUAUAAAAGAUAACCAUAUCUAUAAUACACGAUGUUGCCGCAGUAUCCAGUAGUCAAUAAACAGUACUAAAUCUUAAAAGUGAUGGCGUACAUACAAUUGGGAUGGGAGGUUCACUUAUGGCCCCUUCAUAUGAGGAUCCUGGAUCUGCUGCUCUUUUCAAUUUUGGGUUGAAAAUUUUUGUAAGCGAUGAUGACCUCGAUAUUCUCGGUCUCUGCGAUGCAACUACAUGAGAAACUUCGCAGGGUAUGGUUGGAGACAUUUCAACAUCUGGCCUUAAAUUUGCAUGUUGGGAAUUCAUGUUUGUUCCUUCUGCAUUUGAUUUGCUUUCAGACGGUGAAGUGCCUGGGGACACUGCAGCAAUAGAAAAAGUUGGGGAAGAUAGAGGGGAGAAAGCCAGUCUUUUUGAAGAACGGGUUGGAAUCUGGGGAAAUUUUGAUAUCUCAGAAUAUUCCUCAGAGUUCAUAUCUGCAAGUGGCGGAGCUUCCAUAGGAUGAUUAUCAAAUUUCUGGUGCAAAUUAGGGCACUUGUCUUCAGUUGAAUCUCCUCCAGCCUUCAGUUUGAAGCAGAAAAUCAGAAUGAAACUAUUUUGACUUUGAGAAAUAUACACAUAACUCAGAAUUUUAUGAGCCUGAACUCAAAGAAGAAUCAAAGUAACUAAUUCUCUCAUUCAAAAAGAGCACAAGAUAACCAGGCACCAUCAAUUUCAUUGGUUUGAUUCAACUUUUUAAGUAUGAACCUACAAUCACCGAUUGCUGUUUCCAUGAAUUUCUUUACGAUAACUCUAAACAAAAUUCCAAAACUUACCAAAUGUAACUAAAACUAACUGUAAUCAGCAUUCAAUCCUACCAAACACUCAACAAAAGUGAACUCCUAAGAAAACCCGGAUAAAUUUUGUAAAUACCUUGAGAUUUGGUCCACCAAACCUGUUCUUCAAAGGGUCUCCACCAUCAUCUUCAGCUAGAUUUUGCUUCCCAGUAGCCAUUUUGCAUUGAAGAACUUACCUCACGCCAAUGGCAGCAACUAGACCAGGAUUGCUGAAAACAAAAAAGUGAUGGGGUUUCAAGUUUUCUUUGAAACCCUUCAAUCUGAUAAAACAAUAACCCGAAAACAUGGAAAAGACAGAGAGAAAGAGAAUCAAAAUAGGGGUUUUGGUCUAUUCCAUUGACAUUCAUAUGAAUGUUUGCGAAAGCUGGUUUUUUGAGCUAUUACAGGUAUUUGAUAUGGUUACAUUAUCCAUUUUCCAUUCUUGACGCGGAAAAUUAAGCUAAUUCAAAAAAAAAAAAAAGAGAGAAGAAAGUGACAUGACAACAAACAAAACUAAUUACUGGAUAUAAAGCUUUAAUUAACAGAAUUAUGAAAACCACUUAUCUAAUCCGUGACGUUUUCUUUAAUUAGAUAACAAUUGACUUUACAACAAAGAUGAUAAUCAAGCAGAUAAUGUGAUACUACCUAGCGAAGGGGUUAUACGCUUCUACUCUCUCCAACCUCAUCUUCUACGUUGGACUUUGACAUUUAAAAGUCAUUAUACAUUUUGAAACGAUUGAAAGUGAGGGUAAGCAUAUCAAAGGUUUUAACGAUAAGGUAAUCUUUGUGGACAAAAUAUUUUUUUAUUCAUUUCUAUUCCCUAAAAUGUCAGUAUAUUUAAUAAUCUUAUGUGUAUGUUUUAUAUAUAUAUAUAAAAAAUGUGACACUGAAGGUUGAUGACGAACAAUAUAUAUAUAUAUGGUAGAGAUAGUGUAUGUGCAAAGUAGGUGAAAUACAUACUGUCUGUAACCACAAAUAUGUGUUCACAUACCUUAGUUAUGCUACACAAAAAUACAGUGUACAACUAUAAACUACACAAAACACUAUCAUAACCAAUAUAUAUCAUCAAUUUUUAUUUUAAAUAUUAUGUAUAUAAAAGAUGAAUUUUAUUUUUCAGAAAUAGAAAUUGAUACGAACAAAAAUAAAAAAUUAUUAAACUAUGGAAGGAAGGAAACCUAACAAUAAGGAGAAAACGAUAUUAAGAAAAUAUAAUUUGUUACAUUUGAGAGUAUUUUGGUUUUAUGGUUUUUUUUAAGAUAUACCUAUAAUCAACCAAUACUAAAUAUUAGGGAGAAUUACCUAAUUAGUCCAUUUAGACCAGGAUUCGGCCCAUUUCUUCAGAUAUUAUUUGGGCUUUUAUAACUGAUAAAAGCCCAAUCCUUCCCAAAGUAUUGGGCUUUGUUGCUAAGCUCUCGUCCCAUACACUUGUUUAUCCACUUCUUUAAAAGCUUUUAUAGUAGUAAUAAUAAUUAUUAUUAUUAAUUGUACAAAGUAUUUGUAGUUUGGUUUAGGUUUUAAUUGUGCACUCAAACUAUGAAAUUUCUCACUUUAAUUCGAAUUCAAUAUUGCUGGGAGUUUAACCGUGUUUGAACCAUAAUUAAAUAACAUUUGAACUUGAGGGACCAAAAAGACACAAAUAUCAAACAUGAACCAAAAGUGCAUUUUGUUUAUUUUUUAUAGAUAAGUAAAUAUAAUUUUAAAAGAUAAACAAGAAUGUAGAUUAAAUUAAAGAUAGCACAAGAAAUAAAUCUAUUUACCAUACAUAACCAAACAAGUUUAACUAACAAAAGAGAUUUGAUAAAUUUAGCUAUAUUUUAUAAAUAGUUUAAAAAUUAUGAAAAAUGACUUUUAAAAAAUAAAACGAAGAUAUUUACUAAAACAAUUUGAAAAAGAAAAAAAAAAAGGUCACAUCACCACCCUAAAAAAUACCACCAUUGGACCUAAUAUAUUUGGUGAUGGUUUAGAUCUACCCAUUUAACUAGAACUAAAUUUAAGCAGGAUCUACCAAUAUGAAAACUAAGAUUAGAUAGUAAAAUUGAAUAAUUAAAGAUAUGAAGUAUUUAAAAUGUUGUAAGUAAAAGAAAGUAGUUUUAAAUGAAGUAAAAAGGUUGCAGUAAUUGUUAGAAAAGAAAAGGUGAUAAUAUUGAGUACAAUAAUUGAUUGUUUAAUGUGAUGAGAGCUACUUUGUACUGUGUGUCUCCCAACAAAGCUUUUGCAUCCCAAUAAUUUAGGUCCCACCCUCUUCUAAUCUCAAAAUCCAUCCGUUCAUUUAUUGACACGUGUACUAUUACUUCUACAUCUUAGAAUAUCUCCUCCUGCCACGUAAUACCCAGAGUGGCACACCAUUCCGUUAUUUCACACUAUUAAUACCACCACUCGAUUUAGAUCUACUUCCAUUCUUCUUCUUCUCCUUCUUCUUCACUCUCGAAGCCCUACGACUGAGUAUUGAUUUUCAAAUUCGAUCUCGAUCUUCAGUUUCUUUGCUCUGGGAAGUCGAUUUUUUAACAAUGUGAUGUAGUUUUCUUUCUCAAUCAUGGUUUGAUUUUCGUUCUUCAACGAUGGUGAUUUGGGACGGGAAAAUGAUUCGGAGGAUGAGGAUUCCGAUGAGGGUUUGGUUAAUUUUUCAAAAAUCUAUGGGGCUCCUCGUGGGUGGAAAUCACACAUCUUCCAGGUUUUGUACUCGCUAAUUCUUUCCUUCAAUCUGGUUUUUGAUUCUCUCUGUUAUUGUUAUUUUGAGGAAUUGUUUCCUAUUUGCUACGUCUUUCACGACGUUGAACGUUGAACGAACUCUGAGCGGGGAUUGGGAGUGGACAUUGAAGAAAUGAAUUUGAAGGCUGUGAAAUGGCAGAUCAUUCAUGGGGCAUUGGCCAGGCGUAUUGUUGUUCGAAUUUUCCUUCUCGCCUUGGCUGUUUCGGCUGUUCCUUUGUUGCAUAUUUUUAUGGGGGCUGAUUUUGGAGUGAUUCCGUCGGUGAUCUUUCGCGAUUGUGCUGUGAAGUAUGGUGAUGUGGAAGCGAAAGUUUCUCGAGGAUCGUAUAUGUUUCAAGGUCAUUUUCUGAAUUCAAUUUGGGUGCCAUUUGUAGCGAUGCACUGUGAGGAGUAUAAGAAUCUGACGACUAAUGUCGUUGCGGAGUUAAUGGAGAAGAAACUUUUGAAUCAUACUGCUAAAUCUCUGUGCGUUGGAGAGGGAUCGGGAUCUGCCGUUUUGGCACUGAGGGACAUAGGAUUCAGUGAUGUUAUCGGUGUUGGUCAACACCGAUUUUUCUCUCUAAGGAGAAAACAAUUCGUUUACGAACUGGACUUUAAGAGUGGAUACUUUGAUUUUGUUUUCUCUAGAGAUCUAGACAGGUAUUCAGUCCCUGCACUUUUGGUGCUCGAGAUCGAGCGUGUGCUUCGGCCUGGUGGAAUUGGGGCCGUUAUUGUGUCCACGAGUGAGUCAAUGCCAAAUAAUUUGAUUAGAGCUGCGACCCCAGUUUCAUCUUUGCUGAAAACUUCCACUGUGAUGCAUGUUGGCCAUGUUAACAACUUAACUCUGGUUGUAUUUAAGAAGAAAUUCGAAGAAUAUCGCCAUUUGGAGGAGCCUCGCCUAUCGUCUGAAUGUCGCUCUCUGACAAGGAACAAGCCUUUGAUUCCAAAACUGGAGCCUCUUGUGAAGGAAAGACCUGUGGGAUUUGACAAAAAGUUGUCUUAUUUACCAAAGUUUGUUGAUGUUUCCAGUGGGAAAAGGUUGAUAUACGUUAAUAUUGGAACAGGGAAACGCUUGAAUCACACAAACACAGACUGGUUUCCACCUUCCUAUCCUGUGGCACGCAGAGAUUUUAAUGUUUAUUUUGUUGAUCAUGACAUGUCUUCUCUCGCCACCCAUAUUCAUAACCCCGGAGUCACGUUUGUUUAUCAUCCCGCCCUAGCAGGAACUGAUCAGACAACAGAUAGCGACGAUGCUGCCGAUGACGAAGAUGAAGAACCUUACAUUGACGACGAGUUUGAUUUUCUGUCUUGGUUCAAGGAAACUGUGCAGCAUUCCGAUUUCGUCGUCUUGAAGAUGGAUGCAGGGAAGGAAGAACUGAAGUUUCUGUCAGAUUUAUUCGAAAGUGGGGUUAUUUGUUGGGUGGAUGAGGUGUUUCUGAGCUGCAGAGAUGGAGUUGAUGAAGAAGAUGGUGAUCUGAAGAAAAGAGAAUGUACGGAUUUGUACAAGGAUUUGAGGAACAGUGGUGUUUAUGUCCAUCAAUGGUUUCUCGAUGCUGUUCCUUCAUCCAUGAAAAUCUGAAGUUGUUUACUUUGGUUCAUGGUUGGUAAGUAAAAAUGCUGAUGAGUUGCUAUGUGGUUGAGCGCUCAAUUAGACUUAUAAUAACCAACCACUUCGUUUACUAUUUUCUGCUUUUGACUUUUUUCAAGUAUUGAAGCAAUGAACUGAAUCUGCAUGGUUUUUGUUUAGAAUAAAGAACUCUUGUAUGAGUUUGCUUUAUGAUGGUUGGUGGUGUUGUUGAUGCAUUCAAUAUUUUAAUAUGAUUAUAUGAGUUGAUGAAUUUCUUAGGUCUCCUACUUUUGAUUUAUAUUAUAUUGUUAAUCAUAGUCAUGAUGUGUUUGCACCGACAAUGGGGAGUUUUAUUAGUGCCUCUAAUGUAUGAUGUGACAUGAAUUAUACAUUAUUAAUAUUAGGUGUAUGAUAUACUUCCAAAUCCAAUAAUGAGUGACCGAUUUAAUUGGUUUGAUAGGAAAUCACAUUCUCUAUCAUUGCCGGAGAUGUCGAAUAUUAUUUCUAGUACUAUGGUUUCUUCAAUUGUUGUUGAUUAGUAGUGCGAGUUAAAGUAAUACUCCACUCAUCUUUCCAUUUAGUUGAAUAAAACAAAAGUUUAACAUGAUUAAGAGUUGAGAGUAGAAAAUUUUAAAUAGAAACCAAUCAACUCUUGACAUGGCCUUUCUCUUGAUAAUCAUCACUGCAUCAAAACAGAAAUAUUAUUACCUUUUAAUUUGUAUUUGAUAUAUGCUUUGUUCUCACGUAAGUUUGUUUUAAAUUUUGAUUUUAAAAUUCAAAGCUUUAUUUAAAAAUGAUGAAGAAUAAAGCAAAAUGAAAAAGUGGAUGUGGAAGUUUAAUUUUUGAUUAAAUUAUAAGUUUAGUAUCUGAUCUUAUAUCUACUUAAUUACUACCCUUUAAAAGAAAGUUUUUUUUAAAAAAAUACAAAAAAAAAAAAAAAUCAUCAAAAUAUUUAUAAAAUAUUAAAGAAAAAAGUUUAGUUCUAUCAAUCAUAUGACAAAUGCACUUAUAGACACUUAUAAGUCUUCGGAUUGAUUGAGAAAUUUUGCAUAUUUUAUAGACACUUAUAAGUGUUCGGAUUGAUUGAAAAUUUUUGCAUAUUUUGUAAAUAUUCACGAGUUUUCAUCGUUUGAUGUUGGAAGAAACUUCAGGAGUUGCCACCAACUGUUGCACGUUACCAAAGGAAGAAGAGAACAACACAACUUUGUUUGUUGUCUUUGUUGCCUGCUUGGAAGUAAAAUACAUCAAAGAGAGUGAUAUCAUUGCAAAGACAAAAUACAAUGAAUAGAUCUAAAGAAAGACGGCAAGAGAGGAGGAAGAAGACGAUAAGAAAAGAAGAGUCCCGAGAUCACAAAGGAAGAAAAAUAUAUUUUAAAAGGUUCGAUAAACAGUGACAUUAUUUCAUUUAUUCUUUUUGUAACGCAUCAUUAUGAGUGACAUUGAGGAAAGAACCUCAACCAUUGAAAAGGCAUAAUGAAUGUGGCGUUGAUUGUACAAGUUGACUUGCCAGUGCGGGUAGAGAUGGUAAGUACAUUAAUCAAGUCCAAUUAGCUUAGCAUAUCGUAUACAACGUCCACAAUUGUCGAGUUAACUUUGAUGUUGGAAUAGAAAUCUUAGACACUUCGAAGGUGUAAAGACGAGAAUGGACAUACUAAUAUACAUAUACCAAUACCAAUACCAAUACCAAUACCAAGAUGCUAGAAGUGAUUAAACAAAAAGAAAAAAUGGCAAAGGAUUUGAAGUCAAACAAAACGUGGCUCAGCUCAAGUAUAUAUAGUAGAGAUAAAUUCUAGAGACACUUCCGAUGAUGAGAAUACAGGCACAACUGUUUACAAUUUCCUUCUUUCUUUUUCUUCUUCCAUUGCACAAUCUCACAAUGUGCUGACAAUAAGCUUAGAGCUUUCCUUUCUUGAUUAUUUAGAACAUGUAGAAAAUUCGGGGGAAAUAAAAUCAAUUCAGAUGAUGCAAAAAAAAAAAGAAAUGCAAUAAACACAGUGCUGUACAGAGUUUGCUUCAAUGGCGGUAUAACAAUAGUACCAUUUUUAACUUUCUUCUGGCCCAUUGCUGACCCUUAUCUCUAAGAGCCUAUCCACAGGUUGUCUGCAAAUCGGGCAUCGAUUCGUCUGGAACCUCAGUACCUUAGCACAACCACUACACAUACACUGCCAACAAAAAGAGAACAAGUUAAUCAUCCUGAAGAUGUGAUUGUAGUGAGCUCAGAUGCAUCCUGGACAGAUUAAACUAUGAAAGAGAACGUUGUUGUUACCAUGUGUCGGCAGGGAAGGACAGUCGUGUCCCGUGGCUCUGACAAGCAAAUGACACAUUCCUUUCCAGGGUCAUUUCCAUCAACAUCUCCCUCAACUGAAUUGCCAAUGCCAUAUAUCUCCUGUAGUUCAUAUCUCAUACCAUUGACCCACAGGAUUUGUUUCAACACUCUUACCUGAUAUUCACCUUUAUCUUUCUCAAACACUGCUUGUGUUAUCUGAGAAUUCAUGGGAUCAGGUACCGGGGUACCAUCUGGGCCAGUUUGGGUGUCUGUGGAAGCUUCAGCUUUUACGACUAGUGGAUAGACAUCGGUGUCAUUCACUUUCAAAAACUCAGACUCUUCAAACUUUGAGAAAUCUAUUCCUGUUCCAGAAGGUUGUCUGAACUUCUGUCCAAGCCCUUGCUCGAAAUGAACGGUUAUUGGUUGAAAAAUGUCUUCUUUUACAGGGGUCAAGUUACAAUCUUCACCUUCUUUCGCAAAGAAGAAGAUGGUGAUACUGUUUCAAGAUAAGAGAGACUCAGAUUCUCAUGCUAGCAGAUCUCAAAUAAAAGAAACAAGAAAUUUAAUUGUAAAAACAUCAUGACAACCACAGGAAAAGUACCCCAUCGUGAAGGAUCAAGUAAAUAACUAAAUAGAAUAAAAUUGAACAAUUGACAGCACUAAGAUGACAGAUGCUAAAAAAAAGAAAGAAAAACAGAAAAGCGAUCUAAAGAAUGUUUUCAAAUGCUCUUAAGGCUUAUCCCCUAAGGUUUGUCUCAAGGAUCUUUGGUUCAGAGACUUGAGCUACCUCUAAUUCAUAAGAUGCUCAGACUAAUGCCUUCAUGAAAAUCGAGAAUGCAUCAAGAAUUGGAAGACUUAUGGACUAUAACAAUAGUUAAAAUAAUAACACCAGUUUAUUGUCCUAUUUAUAAGUCAACUUACAUGUGUGUCAUACUAAUACAACAUGGGCUUGGAAUACAUUUCAUUAUAUUACUUUCACUAAGACUUGAAGGAGCCCCAUGAAAAUGAAAGGUUAAGGAAAGACCAAACACUCGACCCCUUCAGAAUAGUGAUAGUGAUAGUAGGAAGGAGUAAGAACCUUUGCUUUAAAAAGUGAUGAUGAACGUAAAAUCUUUUAUGUGGCCAUGAUUCACGGUUUACAAACAUAUGAUUUCAUUUAUGAUUCUGUGUAUGAACUUCAGCCUCGCCACUGAAAACAAGACCUUAAGACUACUAAAUAAGCCUUAUAAAAAAUUGCCUCUAAUCAAACUCAUAAGCAAGCGAAAGGAAAGGACUGUCCACAUUUUCCAUCUUUUGAUUUUUGGUGAGUUGAGGAGGGAGCGGGAUGGCAAUCAAUAAGUUAAGGUUUAAUAAACGAUUGUAGGUGAAUACAACCUAUAAUAGCAGCAUAAUCAACAAAUUCCUAUAAGUCAACUUGAACAUAGCUCAGAUAAUCACAAGGCCGCAGGUUCAAAUCCCCUUCCCUGAUGCACAGAGAUUUAAAAGAAAAAACCAACAACAAACACCUACAGUCUUGAUUAAGGUGUGUUAAAAUUCAAGCCCAAAAGCUAGCAUUCACAACAAUAUACACCUGAAGUUGAGUCAGUUUAGUUCCAAGGAGUUAAACAUCUCAAUCGUCUCUAACCGUAGGGAAAAUUCUCCUUUUCACCACCUCAGAGAACUGCUGCUUCACAAUUUUAAUCAUUAAACAUCUAUGAAAAACAAGAGAACACGACUUGUUCCAAUCAUUUUUAACAAGCAUGGAAGGUUUCUUGAAAUCUACAUCAAAACACACAAGGCUAUAAUUCUUUAAGCAAAAUAAACCAUGCAAGACUUGUUCAACCACUUUGCUCCUCAGUAUCAGAAAAACAAAAAACAAAUAAAAUCAGACCGAACAAUUCUAAAAACCCAUCAAAUACCUUCAAUUAACAAUCACAGAUACAAAAAAAUAAUAAUAAUAAAUAUAAAAAAAAAAGCUCCCAAGAUUAGAACAAAACACAAACCUCCCAGCAACGGUGGCAUCGAACGUGAACGAUACAAGGAAUUGCCCCGGAUUUUCUUCAUCAGGUUCAACCUUAAGAGUUUCCUUCUUGAGAUUAACAUCAUUCCGUAUAGUAACCGCCUUCUGAUGCUCUACAUAGGGCGUUUGAGGCGGCAUAGGAGGGCCAUAAGGGUAUCUCCCACCGACCCAAUGAGCAGGAUCCAUCUGGGGAUGACCUCCACGAUGGUGAUGAUCGUAAGGCGCCGGUAGAGGCAUCGGCAUGGAUGGGGGUGGACCAGGUGGCGGUGGAAAGUAGCCAGGAUACUGGUAAUACGGCGGGGGAUGAUUGGGAUGGUUGGGGUAUUGAGUUGGGUAAGGCGUAGCGGCAGCGAAAACGUAUCGAUUACUUGUAAUUUCGGGUUGGGGUGGUGGAGGAGGUGGGGGAGUAGGGUGAUUCCGGCGAGUACCGUGUCUUCUACGGGCAUUGGAACCGGAGCUGCCAAUGUUACCCAUGGGGGUGAAUAUGUGGUAAAAGGGAAGGGGAAUCUGAGAAGAGAAAGGAAAGGGAGAAGAAGGGGAAUGAAAAGAGGAGGAAGAAGAAGAAGAAGAAGAAGAUAUAGAAGGGAAGGGUGAAAUUGGGAGGAAAUGACAGAGGAAAGGGGUAAGGAAAAUGGGAAAAGAACAGAGAAGAGAGAGAAAGGGGGAGGGGAAUGGAGGUUGGGUGGCGACUAUAAUGGGGAUUGCGUAAAGCUCCACCCAGAAAAACCAUCCAUUUCAGGAUGGGAAGGUCAUGACUCUCUUAAACUGAGCUGUUCUUUCUCUCUCUUUUCCUUUUCCUUUUCCUUUUCCUUUUUCUUUUUUUAAAUAAUCAAAUCAAAGCUAACCCAAAAUAUGCUUUUUUUAUAUUUAUAUAUUUAUCUCAAUUAACUAUUUACAUUUUAUGCUAAAUAUUUUGCAUAUUUCGUCCAUUUUUUCAAUUUUCCUUUGUUUUAUGAUUUCUUUUUUUGUAAAGGAUAAUUUGUCAAAUUAGUGAUAUUAUCUAAUUAUUAUUUAUAAUUAGAAGGUAGGAGAGUUAAUCGGUUAACUUUUAACAUCGUUAGUAUAAGUAUUAUGGUAAUUGAGUUGUGGUCGUAAAAUAAGUUAAUUUUUAUUGCAUUGGUGACAUGGUUUCCUAUAAGAGUGUAACAAAAGCUUAAAAAGAUUGAAACAACCUGAGUUGAUUUACUGAUUUGCUUCAAUUGUUUUAGUAUAGACUUAAAACAAUUUUGGUUUGUAUUUGGACCAAAACAAUCACCUAGAUAAAUGAAGGUGAGGUAAUUAUCCAUAGUGGUUUUUCAAGAAGUAAAAACAAUAACAAAAUAGUUAUCAAAUGCCGAUGAUAAAUUUAAAUUCAUAUUUAUUAUAUCGAACAAUAUACAAAUUAUUAUAAAUCAUUAUAUAUAUUUAUAAGUCCUUGUAAAUAUUUUAUUCCUUUAUUAAUUUAAGAUUUCAUGAAUGAUGAUGUAAACUAUCUUGAUUGAUUUGUACUUAUUUUUGACACCGUCUUCUAAAAUAAUCCAAAAUGAAUACAAAGACUUUAAUAUUUCAAAAAAUUAAUUUUGAUGUUAAAAAUUUUCAUUAGAUUUUUACAAUAUCUUACCCCUAAAUAUAAUAUUAAACAUAAAAGUAUUGUAAAUGUAAAUUAGGACUAACCUUGCUUUUUGACUACAAAUCUCACUUUCUCUGCCAUCUUUCUUAAAUAUUUUAUCACUAAUAUUUUAUUGUUCUUAUUUUUCAAUUCAUACUUUUACUACAUAUAUAUAUAAGGAAUUCUAGUGGAAACAAAUCGAAUUAGGUUAAAUUGAGGAGUAUUUUAAAAUCAACCCGAACUUUCGAGUUAGUAGAGUUGACAACCCAAAUGACCUUAGAAAUAUUUGCAAUCUAGUCCAACCCUAAAAUUGUAGAUUGAGUUUGGUUAUCAAGUUGUAUAAUUUUUUUUCAUUUCUAAUAUUUGUUAAAUUAAAAAAACAUGAUAACAUCACGUCCAUAAAUCUACAUAUCAAAAAAACAUCCCUAGAAUACAAUAUUAAUCCAAUAAUACUUAACGAAAAGUUUGAGAACGUCUAGUAUUACUUAAAGAAGAGUCAAAUAUGAACCAAAUUUCUAAUCUAUUUUUAAAAAAAACAUUCUAAACAUCAUAGUGUAAAACUUAAUAUAAAUGUAUAUAAUAUCAUUAAUUCAUAUUAGAUCUGGGAUAAACUAAAAUUUUCAAACCUCAAUCCUAGACUCAACCCGACCCUAAAAAACUUUCAACUUAAUCAAAAUUUUAAAAUAACUCAAUUAAACUUUUAUAAUAUGAAUAGAAAAGUGUAGGUUAUUCAAGUUAUUGUAAGGGUAAAUUUAAAAUGAAAAUGAUAGUAUGAUAUGGAUUAGAAUGAUAGAGAAUUUAAAAAGAAAAAAAAAAGGGAAAGUGGGAAGAAAAAAAGAGUGGUAAUAAGAAAAAGGAAAUUAUGCGUUUUUCCACUAAUGAAAUUAUGUCUGUUCAAAAUAAAGAAACAAAUUUGUUAUACCCUACCAACCCAUACCCAUUUUUCUUUUUUAAAUAAACAAAAUUAUUGUCUUUAUGCACCACACUAACCCCAUUAUAUAUAUAUAUAUAUAUAUAUAUAUGAAGGAUAGUUUGCUUCUACUAUAUUCAUAUAUCAAUCAUUCUCUCCUUUCUCUAUUUAAUAAAUAAAAAAGAAAUAACUCUUUUUCCUCUUUAAUCCCACCAAACAAAUUUUUAUAUUUUCUUUUUAAUACCACGAAUCUACACAUGUGAAAAAAAUUUAAUAGAAUGUGUAAAUAAAUUGGACCCAUUCAGUAUUUGUAAAUAGAAAUAUAAUGUGUUUUUAAUUAAUCUCACAUAGUACAAAUUGAAUAUAUAUGUAAGUAUUUGGUACUUACACUUAGUUUUAAUCGUAAGAAAUAUAUAUAUACAUCAUACUGAUUUUUAAAAUUUUAUUUUAAUGGCGAUAAAAAAAUUACUAAAUAUAAUUUAAUUUUUUAAAAGUAAUUAGUAGAUAUCUAUAUUAAGAAUUGAUUAAUAUGGACAUAACACAAAAUUGACACAAAAACUUUGUUGAAGUUGGAGUAAAAAAGGAGGUCAAAAUUAGAAAAAUGUUAAAAUAAUACGAGUUUAGAUUAAGAAAAUACCCCUACACUAAACACUAAAACACAAUAAAAGUAAUUAAUCUUCCGACUCCUAAUUUUAAAUCUAAUAUAUUCUAAGCAUGUUUGAAACAGAACUAAUUAAUAAUUUGUGUUAAAUUAAAAAUACUAAAUAAACAGAAACUUAAAAAUCCUAUGGACUAAUUUUUUAAUAGAACAAUAGGAUAACAGAACGAGACCAUGACUCAUGAAAAUUUGAAAUAUUUUAAGAGUAAAUUUUGAAGUCACGAUGAAUAAUUAAUAAGUAAUUUUUUAUAUAAAAAAAAAGUUUAAAUUUAGUGAUAGUAUAUAUAUUAGAUUAGAUUAUAAAAAAAUGGGAAUGGAAUGAUGGAAACGUGUAGGGAAUGUGGAGUAGGGUAACUGUGCUUUAUUCGGCGAAUAAAUAUGAUUUCACGCAACACCGAUUAGCUUCUCCAUUUUGGACGGAUCCAUUUUUCAUUUUAAAUUCACUUUUAUAUUCAUACUUAUCUCUUCAUAUAUAUAUACACACACACACAUUAUUUAUUUUAUGAGUCUUUGGUCCAAAGAAUGUAACCUUAAACAUAUAGUCGGAAUAAAAACAGUUCAAGAACAAAAUGAAGAGAAGUCAACAAAAGAAGAAACUAAUAUAUACAUGCAUAUUGGUUUUGAGCUUGGUCUCCUAGACUUUUACUGAUUGCACCAAAUUUCAAUUUGAACUUUACGAAAUUCCUACUCAUUUUUAUAGUUAACCCAUGUUUGAAUUCCUAUGUUCACAAUUUUUUAAAACAAAUAAAAUGACCAUCAUUGUUUUCAAAAAUGGUCUACUUCAUGAGUUUUUCAAAAUUGUUUCUAAAACGAGAAUACCAAACACAUUUUAAUUAUUUUUUUCUUUUUUUUCUUUAUGAAAAUCAAGAACCAAACGGUGUCUAAUAUUUAGUUAGUUUUCAGAAUUUAAAUUGAUUUUGAAAACAUUCAUAACACAAACAAAGAAAUUUAUAGGUAAGAAGGGGCGUUUAUAACUUAAAAUUUAAAAGACUUAGAGAAAAAAAAAAUCAAAGGGUUAUGAAAAAAUUAAAACCAACAACAUACAAAUAAAGGUAUGCUGUAUACUUUAUUUAAUUUCAAUUUGACCUCUCCACCUCGAUAAUUCAAUUCAAUCUUCCCCCAAUUUUACAAUGAAAAUUGGUAAUGUCAAAUUUUCAUUUUUGCAAAACUAAAAAGCAGAUGGAAAUUUUUUGAAACUUUCAACACAUGGAAGACAAAAUUGAAACAAAUUGAAUGAAGGGUGUGUAAUUAAUUUAGUCUAAAAUUACCAUAAACUUCAACUAAAAUCUGAGUCCAAAUGAGGUUGGACCCAACAGUUCUCCUCCAAUCUAUUCAUCUUCUGAUAUUUAUUCCUGGAUGCCUAAAAUAAUCACCAAGCAAAUCAAUCAAGACAACAACAUAAAUUGAGCAUUUCAUAAACAUUGAAUAUAAAAAAGCCAAGCUCAAUAGACAAGCCGACAAGAUAUUAAUUAACAUUUCAAAGAUGGAUUUGUUCAAUCCCCCACCCUAUAAUUAUUAGAGUUGAAAAGGAAAUUAAUUAAUUAGCACUAAACAUUGAAUGGAAUCAUAUAUUAUUCAAAAGAGUGCAAAUCUGCAAAAUACUGACUGAUCCAUACAAAGGAAAGGAUUCAUCUCCAUAAUACACAUGCAGUUUAAGCCGUUUCCAGGCACCACAAAAAGAAUAACAUAAUUUAGAGGUUCUUACGGCAAACCUUUAUGAUCAAGAAGCUCAAUUUUUCACGGAUGUCACAUGCUUCAGGAGCAUGUUCACAACAUCUGGUGAAAUUCUAGCAGACUCUUCUUUCAGGUGAUAAAUCUUUUCAUCUGUCUCGAUUUCAAGCCGCUUAACAUUAGCUCCUGAGUCUCCGCUACUCUAUAUGAUCAAGGAGGGGGCAGAGUUAGCAGAUAUAUUCCAAAAUCUCUGGAUGAUUUUUCCAUAAAAAGGACAAAGUGUGCAUGUUUGUAAUAGUUCCUAUACUAACCUCAGCAAGUUUUCUUUGGAAAUCAGACUCGACUUGGGCACGAUAUGCAGCAAUUUCCUUUUCAGCCUCUUCUUUGGCUUGUUUCAGUCUAGCCAAUUUUGCUAAAAGGAAAGGAAAAUCAAGUCGUUGAGUUAUAAAUUAUGUUUAACUUUACAGAUUCGUAAUGUAAUGAGGAACAGGUAGAUCAAUAGAAGGAAAAUAGGAUUUGAUAAUGAUCCAUCUUGAUAUUUCAUAAAGUCAGUGUCAAGCAAAUUAUGAACUGAACUCUGGAACUACAUGCCAUUCGAGGAAAUCAACAUAUUUGGACCAAAUUAAGACUUUACAUGCCUGUGAAUGUUAAAAAAAUAACAAAACCAAAAAUAAAGGGUAAGCUUACCAUUUCUGGCAGCAUUGACAAUGUGUUGAGCUUCUUGCUCCGCAGCAAGCAAUUGUUGGAUACCACCUUGACUCCUAGUUGCCAUAUUCUCCCCUACAAAAGAAAAUGAUUUUUGUGAAGAAAUUAAGUAAAAGAAGGUAGUGGAAACUCAGCAAAAUGACAUCCUGAUCAGAAACUGCGAUGCUAAAUGUGAUUAAUUUAUCUCUGAUGUGAUCAUGAAUCAUGAUUUGUUAAAUCAAGCCAAUUUCUUAACCAAAGUGUUAGUAGCAGCAAUCGUAAUGGAGCGUGUUUUUUUUAGUACAACAGAUUGAGGGGCGAUGGGAGAUUGAGCCUCCCACCACUAAGAUGCAAAGUCAUGACAAUUACCGUCAACUAUGCUCACUUCAACAUCAUGUCAUGUUUUAAUAUUCAAGGCUUCGAUACCUAUGGCUAAGAUUCCAACUUCCAUAAAACCCACGAGGCUUGUACCUUAGGCUAAUGGAGCCUUACUCAACUUAGAAAUGAAAACAAUUCAUAAAUCUUAACGCUUUAAGUGGGUGGUACUUCAAAAGGUAGUUGGCUCAAGAGUCUUUCCAAACAUCGUUAAGACUAUUUUAGUUUCGUCUCAUUUUAAUUUAGUGAAACCUAAAACUAGUCUAUAAAAUUUAAAUUAUAGUUUAUCACCUAAUCAACACACUAAUUUUAGUCCGACCUCUUAUUCCUUAAUCAUGGUCAUAUCAUUAACCAUAACAACCGAAGAUAAAAGCACAUGAAAAUGAUUGAAUUUUUCCUCACCUUAGGUUUCAAAACCAAGUCAACUUAGAAAUUUGAUGCACCGGAAUACAAAACAACCUCUAUCCAUAAACUCAACCCAAACCUAGUUCACCAAAAGAUUACUCUACAACAAAUCUUUUAAAAUCGUAAAUAGAUUGUGUACAUCAGAAGUAAGACUGAACUUAAAAACUUCAGAAAAAUCAAAUAAAUCUCAAGUUUGAAAUUCCCAAAUCCAACACUUAAUUACACUAUCCAGAUGCAGCUUCCUUGACCUGGCGGAAGCGGAUGCAGAUCGAAUAAGUGUCGAUUCGUCAAACUGCAAAUCUAAUAAAACAAAGAGAUCACCCUAAAAGAAACUUCUGAUAUCAAUCAAUCCAAAGAGAACAGGAAACACAAAACAAAAGGAUGCGGAAACACAGAUCUCAUCAGUGACCAGGCGUACACCAAUAUCGGAGAAACAAAACAGAGAGAAAGAAAUCGGCAAUCAAAGAAGUAGAAGAAUCAAUCACACGGAAGAGAAAAGCAAAGCGAUGAAGAAGAUGAAACGAGCAUAGAUUCAGAUUCCAACAGAGGAGAUCAUGACAAGGAUUAGUUAGGGGGAGAGUGAGGAAAUAGAAGUUAGAGAGAUGGUUACCUGAAGAUCGGAGAAUUUGCGGGUGCGAAGAAAUUGGAAGAUUCAGAGGAAAUCGGGAUCGGAGUGAUGAAGAAAAAAAGAGGGAGGAAGAGGAGUUAUGUGGUGAGGUGGAUUUUUGGUUUUAUCUUUUUUUAAGGGAGCAAAAACGACGUGGUCGCGAGGAACACGAUUCUUCUUUUGUUGUAGUGGGAAUUUACUGUUUUCCCAAUAAAGUUUUUAAUCCCAUCAGGAAUAUCUUAAAUUAUAAAUUUAUUUCUUAUAACUUUUAAUUAAACUGAAUUUUCAAAUAUUAAUUUCAUACAAAGUCCUCACAAACUUUUUAAGGUUGAUUGUAUUAUUGAAUUUGUACUUUCAAUGGUAUAGUUAAAUAAUUAUAAAAAAAACUCUAGAGUUAUUUUGGACCAUUAAAUCUUACUAUUUGUUCUACAUGAAUGACAGAAUUUUAGAUAUUAUCAUUGAAUUUGUUUGAUAACCAAGUAUCUUUAAACUAUAUAUAUAUAUAAGUGAUGGUUCCCAAAAUUUAUAAUAAGAGAGUUACCAAACAAAAGAGAAAUUGUUUUGAGGAGAAAGUUAUUUACAUUUCUCAAUAAGAAAAAGAAAUUUGUAACUCCAAUUUGUGAAUUAUUAUAUCAUUACCCUGAUUUGUUUAGGGAUUUCUACUUACUCACAAUGUGAAUUACAUAACAUCUAUAUUGAAUACAAAGAAAGCCGUGAAAUAUCAAACAACAGAUACAAAUGGUUAAGUUGGUGAGAAACCAUGUCUUUGAAAACUAAAAUUAUUCAUCCAUUGGUACAACAAUUUAUCUAGCAAUUCACUACCCAAAAUUACAAAAUCAUAUGUUUAUACAAAGAAUUCACUUACAAUUCUUUGAACACUUCUGUUCUACCUUUCUACUUGGGGAGGGAAAAAGAUUAUAUAAUUUAUAAAAGAAAAAAAAAAUACUCUUCUUACAAUUUGUAUUCUUCUCUACUACUCAAAAAAGAGAUAAUAGCGUGAUUUAAAAAAAUGUAAGUUAUGUCUAUGAUUUUAGAAGCGAGUUGGCGGUGAGCUUCUAAAAGAUCCGAUUGCUUUCACGGCGGAGGCUCGAAGAACAUAUUGAUAAUACAUUGCAGCAAUUGUUGAUCCAAUUAGUGGCCCAACCCAAAAAAUCCACUGCAAUAUUAUCAAACACAACCUAUUUUUAAGUUCAUAUAUAUUCAUAAUCAACCAUCCUAAUAUACGCUAAAAAACAAUCUUCCAUCCUAAACUUUCAUGAAAAAUAACAAUCUAGUUCAUAAAUGUUAACCGAUAACAAUUUAGUUCAUAUAUCAAAGGGAAGAAAGAAGAAAGAGAGUGUGGAUACAUACAUGAUCUUUCCAAACUUUAUGAUUGUUGAUGAUGACGGCAGGACCGAAGCUUCGAGCAGGGUUAAUGCCAGUGCCGGUGACGGGAAUGGUGGCGAGGUGAACAAUGAAGACAGCAAAGCCAAUGGGGAGUGGAGCCAAGACAGGAACAUGGGAAUCUCUAGCAUUGCGUUUGGGAUCAGUGGCGGAGAAGACAGUAUACAGAAGAAUAAAGGUGCCCAUAAUCUCAACAGCAAGGCCAGUGCCUCGGCUAUAACCAUCAACGAGCUGGUUAGCGCCACCGCCAUAGUGGUUGUAAUGAUCUCGCUGCAAUGUCUUGACUAAGGCGCACCCGCACAGGGCCCCUAUGCACUGAGCUAUGAUGUAGAGCAAGGCUCGGACCAACGAUAUCUUUCUUGUUAAAAACAUUCCGAAUGUCACUGCUGGAUUUAUGUGCCCUCCUGCCAUUUUUUACCCAUCCAUCAACCAAUUUCAUCCUUCUAAAUAAAUUCUACACUAAAUUACCCAUUCCUUUUACUUCAAAUGUAAUUUUGUAUUUGUUGAUGAAAGAUCAAACUAAUACAUAUAACUUUAAACGUUACAACAAUGAAAGAUCAAAGACCUAUAAAAUAUUUUUAAUGAAGUUUACAAAAAAUAUAUAAAGUUCGAAUACCUUUUGAACACAGAAUUGAAAAAUGUUUAGUUUGAGCUUCAACAAAUUCCAUAAAUUUUAGCUCUAAACUUGAAAAAUAAGUUGUGGUGACUAAUAAUUAGUUUGCUUAAUUAUUUUAAAUCUUAAUAAUUUCCAAUGUAAUCAUAUUAAAUGGUGUAAUUUUCAGAUGAAGAACUUUACCAGAGAUACCGGCGGUGCAGUAGACGAGGACGAAGAUCAUACCCCCGAAGACCCACGAGAUUCCGACGGGACCAACUCCGGCGCAUACAUUCCCGCCGUUGAUCGGGUCCAUCUGGCUAUUGUUUCCGAUCACCGUCAAAACGACGACGUACAGAAACAACAGAGUCGCCACAAACUCAGCGAUGAUAGCUCUGUAAAACGACCAUUUCCCGAGCUCCUCCAUGUCGAUCAUCGGCGCCGGCAGCGGAUCAAAAUAGUCUUUCCUCGACGCCGCCCCCCGACCUCCGAUUUCGAUGUCGCUGGUCGCCAUUGCUGCAGGAUCUCAGUGAAUGUGAAUGUGAAGUGAGUGAAAUUUUUGUAAGGGGUUGGAUUGUGAGUUUGGGAAUGGGGAAAUUUGGAGAUGGAUAUUUGAAUGAUAGAUGAGAUAUAAGUGAUUUUGUUGACAUCCAAACACUUCUUUGGUUUCGUCUGUGUUAAUCCGCAUCUCUCUAUGAAGGAAUUUGUGGUUCGUUCGUUUGAAUUGAAAUUUGAAAAUUUCCGCCACAAGAUGAUUUCUCUCCAAAUUUAGUCUUAGGAUUAGAAUGAGAGCGAUUACCAGAGAACCAUUUGUCCAUCCCCUUUCUCUCAAUUAUUAUUACAUUACUCCUAUUUUAUUUAUUUUUUAUUUAAUACAUAUUAAAUUUAAGAUUUAUUAAAAAUUUAGACACUAAAGUUAAAAUAAGAAUUAAAGUUUGAGUAAAUUUAUAGUAUAGGAACUAUUCAAUUUGUUUUAAAAAAUAUACUUCACAACCAAACCAAACUUUUUUUAAAAAAUUGAACAUAAAUUGUUACUUUAAAUCAUAUUAUACGAUCCGGACCAAAAAUUAUAUGGUAACUUUUAGGAAUAUUUAAAAGAAAAAAAUUGUUACAGCUUAACAUUUUUCAAAGUUAUGAUUAAGUGUUAUAUUUAUUUGUUAUUGAAAACAACUUUUCCUAAAGAAAUUAUUUCUUAUACUCUCUAAAAUCAUUUGCUUUGUUACCCACCAUUCAUAAAAAAAGAGUGUAUUGUAUUAUAUUGAAAUCCAAAUAAAAAACAAUAAACAAUGUAAAUUAGCAAGAGAAAAUUCAUAAAUAAAACACUAAAUUGCUUGCUUCCCAUCUCAUCAUAUGUUAUUGCACCCUUUCAUACCAUUUUGAACUAAGUAAACUUACUUAAUUUUAUCAUAUUUUAAAUUACUAAAUCAAAUACCAUAUGCAAAAAGACCAUAUUAUUUCCCAAAUAAACUCUACACUCUACCUUAUUGAUCUUAAUAUGUUGAAAUUUAACUUCUUGUUUCUUUUGUUUGAUUAACUUUUGAAAAUUGUUAAUACAAUGAGUUGAUUUCUUUUAUUUGAUCGACCUUUUAAAAUUUGUUAAUAACAUUGUAUGUUGACUUAUUCAUUUUGUACGUUGAAUUGAUCAUUGGCUUUUGAAUUGAUCAUUGGCUUUUUGAUUGACCUUUUAAAAUUUGUUAAUAACAUUGUAUGUUAACUUAUUCAUUUUGUACGUUGAAUUAAUCAUUGACUUUAUCGAUCUUUCAUCAAGCUAUUGCUGUUUAGUAUUAGUGUUAAUAACUUUAGGGUUUAUUAGUAUUAAUUUUAAUAACUUUAGGGUUUAGGGUUUAUACAAUGUAUAGUUAUCCAUAAUUUAGCUGGAUUGGAUCUAGCUAAUGACCAAAAAUAUAAAUAAAAUUAAAGUAUAGUAUGUUAAGUAAUGAGUAGUAAUCAACCGACACAAUUUUAAAAGACAAAUUAAAAUCAUGCAUAACACGUGCACUGCACGCUGCACCACAAUAAAAUAAUUUUUUAAAAAAUGGGAUUAAGGCAAAUAAAAAAUAGAUGGUUGAGUGGAGUGGGCCGCACGGCCCAAUGGAUAUUGAGAAGCCACGUCACCGCUUAACCACACACCAAUUAUUCAUACCCUUACACGUAAACCAUACUCGCCCACUCAAUCAUUACGGUGACACGUAGUGCCGGCACUCGCUACGUUUCGCAAGCCAUAAUGCUAAUUCUUUUCACACUUCUAAUUACAAAAUUUGGUAACUAAAUUAAUUUAUAAUCUGUUGCCUAUUGCGAUAAAUAUUUAUUGAGGAAUUGAAUUCAUUAGCACAAAAUUUUGGAACGUAUAUAUACCUAUUGAACAGAAGAAUUAAUUAGUACGCAAUCACUUUAAGACGAAGAAGAAGAAGAAGAAGAAGAAAUCCCAUUAUCGUAGUUUGAAGGAUAUGGAGAUUGAAUUUGAAUGUUUAGGGAGUUAAAACGAUAGACGACACAUGAGUGGAAGUGUUGAAGUUUAAACAUUUGUGUAAAUAAGAAGGAAUAUUUCGUCAUCGCUGAAACUGGUAAUACAAAUCAACUGCGACGCAAUAUAACAUGUAUACAAUGUAAAUUCAAGUAAGGAAGAAAAAGGGAAAAUCAAAAUUGAAAGCCGUAAACAAUUACAAUGGAGACUCCAUAUUCCGGCAUUCAAUAUAGUCGGAGAUCCAAAAGAAGAAUUGGAGACAUAUAAAUAUAAUGAGAUAGAAGAGAGCAGAAAAAUUGCUAAUCAGAAUUGUUAUCUUCGGAAUCGUGUUCAGGAAUAGUAUCCAAGGAAGGAGAAUUGGAGGAUUUGGAAGGAGAAAUAAGAGGGGGAGGAGCGACCUCGAUCCAGGAGGUAAAAUUAGAGAGGGCCGGCUUUGCCAUGGAAGAGAGGGAUGUGGGUUUAGUAAUAGUGGAAAUGAGAGGAAGAAUGUUUGAGGAGAAAGAGGGAGUGAAGGUGGAUAUUUAUAGAGAGAGGAAUAGGAAAGAGCGGAGGAAGAAGAGGGUAAUGACUCCAAACACGCACACGAGAGAAAGAGAAUUCUUGUAUUUUAUUCUUUUAAUUUUGGGAGGGAAACGCGGAGAAAUUGUUUAGGAGCAUGUGAAAAAAAUCAAACAAAUAACUUGAAUAAUUGAGAGCCACCUAACACCUUCCUUCCUCGAACCUACCUUCACUCUUUGGAUUUUAUGUCACCUUCAUCACCCUUUUUCUUUUCCUAUUUUCUUUUAGAGUUAUUUGGGUUAAUGAGAUUGGGAUAUGGAACAAAAUGUUCAACAACUUCACGUGACACUCAUGGUGAAGACAUCCCACACACAUUUGGACGCUUGGGUGAGAGAAUGAAAGAACGUGAUAGUGACUCAGUUUUCUUCCACUUUUGGCUUAAUUUUCCCACGUUCGUAUUUGAUAACAUUUACAAGGAGAUACCUCUUGAUUUACACUUUAAAGAAAUAUAAUAAUACCAUUAACUUCUUAUUUUGCAGGUUUCAAUUUAAAAGGCAUCAUAAUUAUCCUAAAGAAACAUACUAAUUUUCCCUAAUUUUUUUAUCUCGGAAAGAGGAGAGAUGUAUUGCAAUUCAAGGAAAGUGAAAAUACAACGGGAAGUGCUGGAAAUUGUUACAUAUCCUUGAUAUUUAACCUCUGGUUAAACAUUAAAGUUACAUUUCUUUCCACAUGAAAUAUUAUUUGAUUAUACAAGAGCAUUUAGGUUUACAUCUUUAAACCGACAUUGAACAUUAUAAACAUAGAAAUUUAAGAACAUUCAAUUUGUUUGAGAUUAAUUCAAAUAUAUUUAUUGAGAACAGUUAGAGCGAUUUCAACAAUAAAUCCGAACGAGAAUGGGAUGUGUUGCUACAUGAAUAUUCCUAAUUUAGUAGGAGAGCAGUUCCUUGGUUCAUAACACUCGGGCUUAGUAUUGGUUCCUAACAUAGAUAAGACUACAAGCAUCAACUGAAACAACAGCUUCCAAAUUCAAAUGCAGUUCCUUGAACUAGAGAAUUCAGAUCCUUGAGGGUAUUUGAACCAAAUAAUUAGCUAUUAUAAUCAAUCCUGUGCUAUUAUAGUUUAAAUCUAAUAGUGAGUUUAAAAAGUGUAAACUAUUUUAGUUUGAAAAUAAAAUAGUAAACCUUAAAGAAGAUAAUAAUAACAAAUAGUUAAUGUAAAAUAGUAAAAACAAUAACAAACGUGGAUUUUGAAAUAAUGUUAGAAUACAAAAUCGCAUCAUCUAUUUGUAACAAGAGGCUAUUAUAGUCUAGGACAAUCCUUUCCCAAAAGACAUCCCAUUUGGGAAGACAAACUAUACAUGGUCAGUGUCUUCCUAAAAUACUACCAUGUAUAAUCAGUUUGAAACUAUGUCCAUUUUCCACCAAAUGACAAACCAAUCAAGUUAGUAGAAUUGUGUAACACAAUCAUGUACCCGAAAGUGGAAUCAACUUAUUGGGAAGGCACAUCAAAAUUUUAGUUUGGUGGUGGGUAACUUCAAAGUUAGUGUAAUCCAAAAGAUCACUUCCCUUACCCUUUUCGUUCAUGGCACUUUGUACAACUUUAUCAACAAAGAUAACAACCAAACAUCAGAGGCCACAUAAAGUACAGGAUUCAAGCAUCAAGCACAGCAAAAUAAUAGCUCCGUACUUCAGUAUAUAUCAAGAAGAAAUAAACCGGUUCAAAAUGGAUUUACCCACGAGGCUACUUUAUCAUCUUCGUGUUUGAGUUAUUUAAAUCUUCUAGUGUCAGGGCUUGAGGAAAAGAUAGUGUUUUCGCCCCCAAGGAUAUCUGAUGUACGGUUUGUUAGGACUUUUUUCGCAUCCUAGCUUUGAAAUUUUAUUUGAUUAGUUAUGUUCUUAGCCAGCUACUAUAUAAGCAACCAUCUUCAUUAGCUAAACCUAUACUUAGAGGCUAAGGCUCCCCUCUUUGGCUUCUAAACAACUUUAGAUCACUACUAAAAUAACGGGCCUAACAUCCAUGAGCUACAAGCAAUUUGAGAAUCUUAAUCAAUACAUUAUAUAUCAAUUUUUAGAGAUGUAUUUAGGGGAACUUUUAAAGGACAAUAAUUGGGCAGGGGAACAAAAGCUAUCCCAUGAACACUAAUUUGAGAAUCUUAAUCAAUACCUAAUAUCAAUUUUUUAUAUAAGAAUCUUCUUCAAUACCUAAAAUCAUAUCAAAUCACCAAUCCUAGAUAAAAAAAACAAACACUUUUUGUAUACACCCAUGAUACCAUUAUAAAAUUCAAGUUAGCAGAGUAGAAUAGAUAAGAUGACCCCAAAAGGGCCAAAACCCAGUUCUUACUUAACUAUUGAACAUCACAUAAUUUCAAGGCAAAGGUUGCAAAAGACCUGAUAUGCAGCCUAACACAGCCAAUAACAGAAAAACCGAAGUGAACAAAUAUGAUUCCAUGAAAUACAAGUUCAUGAUACGUCAUUGAAAUACCCCAUAAAGAUAAGUGCAAGCUAUUGUAGGCAAGUGAUAGAUAAAAAAAAUAAAUAAAUAAAAAAAAAACCUAACCAGAUAAUCUUCAUACAUUCCUUAAACCAAUGAUAGAGAAGAAAUAAAGCUUUGAUAUUCAUUGCAAUAAUCCAAUUCAGGCUUCUUUUAAAAAAAAACGACAAAAAACGCAGAUAAACAAGAGAGAAAUAGAGAAAAACCACCCUAAAACUUACGUUAAAUAGCAAAACUGAUAAAACAAGGAUGUAGAAGUAAAUUCAAUAUCCCUCAUUCUAAAGGAGUGGCCAAAGAAAGUUUUACUCUCAAUCUUGGGGGAUUUCAACAUCGCCAUCAGAAAUCUCCUGUUGAAGAUCCUUCGGGUCCUUGCCAUCGACAGUACAGCCAACAGACACACAAGUACCAAGAAUCUCCUUGACGGAGCCAGAGAGAUCCUUAGCCAUCGACCUGGGCCGCAUAACCCUAGCAAUCUCAAUCACAUCAUCAAGAGAAAUAUUCCCAUUAUGCUUGAUGUUCUUAGUUUUCUUCCUGUCACGUUCCGGCUCCUUCAAAGCCUUAAUUACCAAAGCCGCCGCAGAAGGAACAACGGAGACCUUCGCCUGACGAUUUUGGACGGUGAGCUUUACAGUAACCCUAAGACCUUUCCAUUCCUUGGCGGUCUCUUUAGCAAUGUCUUCUCCAAUCUUCUUAGGGGAAAGACCGAGAGGACCGAUCUUGGGAGCGAGAGAACUAGCGGCUCCGACCUCACCUCCGGUGACGCGAACGAAGACUUCAACGACCUGACUAGGGUCCAACUUCGGAGGCAUGAUUGGGCGGCGGGAAGGGAAGUGGAUUCGAGAGAUUCCACAGAAGGAAGAACAACCACAGCCACUAAUGAACUAAAAGAGAGCGGCGAAGAGAAAAUGAAGAGGCUUUCGGUUGAUUUAUGCUAGGGUUUUUCACAUGCCUUCGAGCUUCCACAACCGACGAUGUCUCGUCGGCCCAUUCUCUACUGGAAAUUAAAAACCCUAAUCCGUUUCUUUUGGACUUUUCCCACCAUGUCUCGGCCCAUUCAAAAUGGGCCUAAAUAGAUUUCUAAAAACAUUUUUGUGACUAAAAUUAUAUUUUUACCUUUUGUAAAAAGUAAAUAAGAACAAAGUUAAUUUACAUAAUUGUAAUCAAAUCCAAAAAUAUUUACGUUAGUGGUUAGUGUAGUAAUGAAAAAUUCCAUCAACGCAAUAAAAUAUUUUUAUAAUUUUCAAAUUUUCGAUUUACUCAUAUUUAAAAUUUAUGCAUCUUCUAUUCCAUAUUUUCAUUCUUAUAUUUUUAAAUGAUUUAUUUUACUGUUUAAAUCUCGUAUCUCAUGUUCACCAUAUACAGCAACAAAAUUUAUGAAGCUACUUCAUCUUUCUCGUAUUUGAGAAUAUCAAAAUCGUUUAAAUAACAUUUUGACUUGAUCUAAACAAUCGUUUACCAUAGUUAACUCGAUCUUUAGCAUGAUCAUCAUGAUCAUUUGAUUUGAUGUUUUUAACUAUCAUUUAUGUUAGACUAUAUGGUUGCUUACUAUAAUCAACACAAUCGUUUUUCAUUAUAAACUCGUUCAAAUUCAAAGCUUUUUUUCAAUUGUUAAAAAGAACUACACACAAUCGUGUAUGACCUAAACAAUAGUAGAUAUGAGUACACGAUCAUUUGGACGAAAUUUACUCUCACGCGUUGGCUGAUUAAUCGUGUGUUGACUAAAACAAUUUUUGUAUUUUUUAGUGUGACCCUUGUGGCGUUUUCCGUCCUCAAAAUUGUUUUAGUAUAAAUAUUUUGCCCGUUUUAAAAAAAAAAAAUCCACCAAAAGUUAUUAAUUCAAAUUUCAACUUUCACAUGCCGUGAGAAAACAUAAUUAUUUUGUAAGGAAAAGACAACCAGUAAUCUUUAUUUUAUAUAUAAUAUAUAUAAUUGUAACAAUCAUAAUUUAGAUUUAGAUGCAUUUUUAAUAUGUAAACUAAUUACUUAAUUUAGCUUAUUGUUUUUGUCAAUUGGGUUGAGACUUGAGAUAUUUUAAUGGGAAAAAAAAUAUAUGAACUAACACUCAUAGAUUGCUAUUGCUAUUGCUAUCCCAAUUAUUAUAUAGACAAUUUAAAUAAAUAAAAAAAAUCAAACUUUCUUAUAUUUAGCAAAUUUAAUUGGUCCGUCAUGAGAUUUAUGUAUAAUGAUAAGAAAUCAAACGUCACUAAUUAUCAAAUUAUCUCUCUUAAUCAUUGGUGAAGAGUUGACGCAAACCACAUAAUCCUUGAAAGAAAUAGCAAACUUGAAAAAACUUGAAAGUGACUUUAUUCAAUUUAAUCAUAAAAUAAUCUCUAAUCCACAAUUUUAUUACAUUUAUGUUGAUAAUUGAAGCUUCUCGAAAUGUCUUUCAUGUCCUUGUUAACGAGUAACAAAUAUUUUAUAUAUCAAAUUUCAUGUAUAGUUGACAUAAAAUAUAUACCAAUAAUUUUAAUUAAAGAUUCAUGAGUUUUGAUAUUCAUAAGUUCCAAACAUUUAAACAACAAUGGGACUUUAAUGAAAGUCUAAAGGCAACAAAGAUAUCAAAUUGGUGUUUGUGACGAAAAUUUACUUUAAAUAUGAAAACAAUACCAAAGUCGUAUAGAAAUAUCCAAAAAAAUGUAGAAGAUAUACUUUAAGUUCCUAAGACUUCAGGUUUGAACUUAAUGUGUACCUAUUUAGUACGUGCAAGUUUUAAAAUUUGAAUUAGGUUAGAAAUUUGGUUUUGUCUUGACCUAACUCACACCGUGUUACCAUUAGUUGACUAAUGAAAUGGAUGAUGUGGCAUGAUUGAAAUUGCAUUUUUUUUUUUUUAAUGAUGUAGCCCUUUUUUUAAUUAAUUUUAUAGUAGCAUUUGUAAUCAUUCUAAAUAAUAUAAAAUUGUAAAGUAAUUAAAAAUGAUACCGUAAGAAAGACAAGCUUACAAAUAAUUAAUCAUAAUAGUUUAUGAAUAAUUGAACGCAAUUUUCUAUUAGUUAAUAAAUACACUAACAAACAGAUAUAUAACAUAAUAUUUAAAAUAACAUUUGUUGCAAAAUAUAUAUAUUCAACAUGAAAAUCUCUUUUUUUUUUAUUUUUAAUUUCUCACAUCACUAUAAACACACUCAAAAAUAACCAAUAAACAACAAAAUAAGAGGAAGAGUUUCAAUUCUAUUUGGUAACUAUCUUUUUUUUUUUUUCUUUUCAAAGUUAAAAUUUAAAAUCUACCGGUUGACAAAUAAUUUUCUAAGUUUUUUUUUUUUCCAAACUUUGACUAAACUCCAGAAGCAUACUAAUAACUUAAAAAAAGACUAUAUAUAUGUGUAGAUAAGAGAUCAAAUUUGUAGUGUAUGUCAAUUACAUGGGUACAGAAAAAGUUUAAAAAUAUAUAUUAAGUAGAUGAUAGCUUGAUUGAGAUUAGACAAGAGUACAAGAAACAAACACUUGCCUUUUAGACGUUCAUAUAUAUCCAAAGUGUAAAGAGAAAGGUGAGUAUUACUAUUACAUCAAAUAGUAUUGCAUUGCAAAAUAGGUCAAAUCGGAGAAAAAUAAAAAGUCAUGUUUUUUUUUUAAAAAAGCAUUGAUUUAUUAUGAAGAUUUCACCACAAUUAUAUCUAUCACACAUGGUUUGUUCCUAUAUGAUUGCAACCAUCCCUAAUUUUAAAAGAUAAUGUAGGCUUUUAAAAAAAAUGAUGCAUGAAGAAUCUUAUCAUAAUAAAAUAUUUCUUCUUGUUUGCAUCAAAAGUAGGAAAGUGUAACAGUUAUGGACAAUAAUUGUGCAUGGAGUUAUAUAUAUAUACAUAUAUAUUACAAUGUCUAUAUUAGAUGUUUUUGUUUUAAUCUUAAAGGCUUGUGAAAUUUGGUGGGAAGAUAAUGAUGCAUUUAUGUUGUUUGAAUUUUGAAAUUUAUUUAUUUAUUAUAAACAAAAUUGUGGCCUAAAGUUUUAUUCAGUCCACAUAUGUUACAAUUUUACCUUGGAAAGAAAGAAAAUUAAAUUAUAUAUAUAAUGAUCAAUCCUUUUCCUAUUUAACGCUAAAACCAAAAUCAUAAUUGUCAUUAAAUAAGUUGUUUAUUAUCUUCCCUUCAUUUAUUUAAAUAAUGGGAACAUGUUAUGUUAGUACUUAGUCCCCAUUUAUAAUUUCAAAGUACUCUUAAGGUCUUCUAAUCAAACAAUAAUAAUUUAAAACUAUAGAUAAACAUUACAAAUAUUGAAAAAGUAAAUAUGUCAAAGAUAUAUAUAUUUACCAAAAAUAAAAAUCUACAUACAAUGUUGGACUAUUGUUUUUAGAUGAAUAAUCGAAUAAAUAUAUUUUGUUACUUACUUUAUUAUAUUUGGUUAAUUUCAAAUCAACUGUCCCUCUUAAACUAAAACUGCCGAAUUCGUAUAAGAAAUUUUAAAAGGACAGAGACAAAUUAAAAGCACUUCUGCAACACAGACUUCUAAAGUAAUUUAAAUAUAGGAAAAUUACAUUAUGAAAAUGGUCCCUAAAAUUAUUAAAUUUUUAGUAAAAGAAUUUGAACCUUAUCAAGUUAUCCAUUCCGCAUGAUAGUUGGAAGUUGUGAAAGAAAAAUACCAUAAAUAAAAUAUAAAUUUUGUUUAAAUAAACAAAUAAAAUACUUCUAAAAUUGGUUAUCAAAAACAAAAAUAUUUAGUGUCCAUGUCACAAAUGAAAGAAUUUGAUAGAAUUUACCGUUUAAAAAAGUUUUCAGUUUUGUAUUUCCUUAACCUCUCUUAAGCGAUCCUUUUUUUAUUGUGCGCUGAUUUUAAAGAUUUUAAAAACAAUAAUUCAAAUCUAAAUGAUUGUAUAUGAAAUAAUAGUGAAAGAAAAAUUUAUUUUUGAAACCACUCCAUUAAUCAUAUAACAUUUUUAAAAUUUUCACUCUACACUUGUAGACUUUUUUUAUACUAUUUAAAUAUUUUGAGAAUUUGUUUUAAUUUUUUUUAAAAGGCCCCCUAAAAUUAAUAAAUUAUCCAACCUUGAAAAUGUCACAUUUUACACAUAAAAGGAAAGCUCAAUGAAAUAGAUAAAAUGGCAGUAAAAGUACGGUACUGUUCUAUUUCUUCACGUAUAUUACUUUUUGGUACACCUGUGCUCUCUCCCUUCACCACCGCCGUCAGAUGUUUGAAUUAAAUUCAACUAAACUAAGUUUGAAUGUACUGGAUCUGAACACGUCAUCCAUUGUAUGAAUCUUUUGUGGACGGCAGUGAGUCACGAUGAAAACGCGCUCGUCCUUGUUUGUUGUAGAUUUUUCAUACGCUACUUGUCAUGUCCACAAUUUUUUGGUUACGUAAACAUAUAGUUUUGUUUUUGUUUAUUUUUGGAGCCUAAACUUUAGAGUUUAUAAAAUUCAUGUAUAUUAAAAUGUAGUGUGUUAUGUUAAUCAUUAACAAAAAAAUUCAGUAAUUGUAGUAUCAUCAUUUUUUUAAUGGAACAAAGUGUGAGUUUUAAUUAAAAGUGAAAUUAUAAUCGAAUCGACUUGAAUUUCUUUUUAAAAAGAAAUUGUGUAUUUAGUAUCACACUCCUUAAGUUAUAAGAUUAUAAUGUUUAUAUAUAUAUAUAUAUAUAUAUAUAUAUAUAACUAUAAAUAUAAAUAGUAUUUACAAGCCUAAUUUCCUAGAACCCAUUGUACAAAAUCAUCUUGUGUCAAAUUGGCCCUAAAGUAUUAUUUAGAGACCUACUAUUCCCACAAGCUAAACUCCAAUACCAUUUUGACAAAUUUGUAGGGAUAAAGCGUCAUUUUUGUAUCUAUAUUUACAAAAAUGAUUUUAAAUCAAACAAAAUUAUUCAUAAAAUAAAAAUUGACAAAAUAUUUGCACUUAUUAAUUUUUUAGUAGUUUUCUAUGAAAGGUAGAUAGCACUCUUAUAUUUUUAAUAAAAUUUAAAUUUAAUCUUCUAAAAUCAAUUAAAGAAUAAUAAUAAACUGUACCAAUUAAAUCAACAUUACAUCUUUCUAGGUUUAUAGAUUAAAUAUAUGUUAGGUUUUUUUUCAAAAUAAUAAAAUAACAUAUGAAUAAUUUUUUAAAAUAAAAAAACUUAUAAACUAUUCACAACCCAUAACGAAAGUAAAUUUUCUUUUAUUUAUGUAAAAUUUUCAAAGUACAAACUAUUUAAAAUUCAUUAAUUUUAUUUUGUCCUAUGUAUAAAUAGUUUGUUCAAUUUUUUAGAAUUUCUGUUGAAGGGAAGAAAUUUGGAAGUAAUGUAACAAAUAUUUCUAAUAAAAAAAAUCAUAACGUGUGGGAUCCCACAAAUUGUAGUGGUUGUAGGGAGAGAGAGUUUGUAGAGGAUAAUAUCCUUUAAUAUUUUUGUUUAUUUUAUAUUUUCUCAACCAUUUUAUUAGAAUCCGAAAUGAUUGGUACACGUGUUGACAUAUUAUUAAUUGCAUUUCAAAAUUCGUCGUUAUCUUCUAUUACACCAAUCAUGCGAUGCAGGAGAGCGAUGGCAUUCAAAUUACUAAAAUAUAUGUAUUUUCUUAUAAUAUUGUCCGACGUGUCGGACCCUAACCUCUUCUUCUAAACUUCCACAGGAUAUUGCUCUUCUGUCGUAUCGGAUCGUACGUGUCGUCUGCUGUAAAUUCGGGAUUUUACUACCAUUACUUCUCACGUGCACUUCCCAUUUUCUAUUCAAACAUAAUUCAAUUACUUUCUCUUUUUUCAAACAUCAUAAACAAUUAACCAAUAUUCUUUUUAUAAGUUUACUUCACUCUAAAUUUUACAGAUAUAUAAUACCUUCAAAGUUACUUGUUCCACUUCACUUACUAAAUUAGCUUCAUUCAAUUAAUCAUGACAACUACAUGAUGCACACUUUUUUGUUUCAAAAAGUAAACGGACAACAACUACAGAAAAAAACGACAAACGUAUUUAAUCGCGACAAAAAGAACUAUUGACUCUAUCUAAACUACAUAAUAUAUAAUAUUGAACAUGUGUAAUUGAUUUAAAUCAAAAUUUAUUAUUUUUUAAAUUUGUUAUUUUUGUAAUUUUGAAAAAAUAGUGAGCGGUAGAGUAGAUUGAAAAUGAGAGGAAAGGAAAGGAAGGAGAGACAUUGUAGGGAUAAAUUUGUAAUUUGAAGAUAUUAGACGACAAAAGUUAUUAAAGAAAGCUAAGAAAAUGGUAAAAGGGGUUAAAGGGAAAUGGGUGUGAGAAUCAAACGGCGAGUGCACGGUAAAACCGUGGGGGAGUUGUGUAUUAUAGAAUUGUCUCAUUGUAUUUUUGUUAUAAUUAUUUUAUUUGAAUAUAAUUGAACUUUAAAAUGUUCGUACGCCGGGCGAAGAGAGAACGGGGGGGAGAAGCGUGAACUUAUCCAUUAAAACCAUUAUAAAAAUGGUGGGCCAAAACUCUAAAUAAUUUCACACUUUGAUUCCUUCAGAGCAGUUGAAAUUCAAUUCCAUUCAAUCACAAACAACAACAACAACAACAAGAUCUGAACCUCCAAAUCAUCCAUCGAUUUUUCAAUGGCGUCAAGGAGAGGCGGCUUAGGAUUCGGCUUCGGUUUUCACUCCAAACCCAACUACAUCUAUCCGGCGUCGGACUCACUUCGCUGUUCUGAAUCAUCUACCGAUAAUAACCUCUUUGAAUUCGACGAAUCGGAUAUUUGGACAUCCGCUACUACUACUGCUCCAACUCCCCCGAUGGAAUCGAGAAAGAUCUUUCCGAUCUCCAAGAAACUUCCCAAGAGGAGUGGCUCUGCUGCCACAGCGGUGGAGAAGGCGGUGAAGGCGUCUUCGUCAUUGCCGGUCAACAUUCCGGAUUGGUCGAAGAUUCUGCAGAAGGAUCAGAACAAGCACGGGCGGAGAGCGGUGGCGGACGAGGAUUUUGAUGAUAGUGACGACGGGGAUGACGACGACAUUCGACGGGCACCGCCGCAUGAGUAUUUGGCCAGACGGCGAGGUGAUUCGUUUUCGGUUCAUGAAGGGAUCGGAAGAACGCUGAAGGGAAGGGAUUUGAGAAUGGUGAGAAAUGCAAUUUGGAAAAAAACUGGGUUCGAAGAUUAAUUUUAAAUUAAUUUUUAGCUAGCCAAAAAAAAAAAUUACCAUAUAAUCAGUUCCGGAAACCAUACUUAGAAUAAUGAUUAGAGAAUUUUGAUGAAGUAAAUUAAUGUAAUUUCCCCUAAAUUUUCCCAAUUUUCUUCUCUCUCUCUUUUUGAUUCAAAAUGUUAUUGUGAUCAUUAUCUGUAUCAGAAACAGUGAUUUUUUGUAAUUAAUUUUAAUUCUGUAAACUUCAAUUAAAUAACAUUUUUUUCUGAUUAGUGCUUAAAUUCCCUAAACUUAACGAUUAAGCAACCGCCCAAAUCAAACAUAGUUCAAGAACAGAUAAUCACGUUAGGUUAAAUUCUUCAUUUUCAUUAUAAUAAUUAAGAAAAACAACUCGUUUGGCAUGAAAUUAUAAAUAUUAAAGCAAUUAAAAUGGUUAGCAUUUCUUGAGUCUAUAAAAAAAUAAAAGUAGAGUGAUUAAAAUUAAAAAUAAUAAUUGAAAGAAAAAAGAAAAGGAAAAAACUGAUUGAAAUGGUAGUAGGUGAAGAAAGCUAUAGACAAGCUAGAGCAAUCUUUGGAAAAAAGAAUUCAUAUGUUUACUUGCUUCCCCAAUCAAGCUAUCAUUUACCAUUAAAAAAAAAGAUCUAUACUUUUUUUAAAAAAUUAAAAAUGGAUUACCAUUAGAAUAUAUAUAUAUAUAUAAUGGUUUUUUUUUCUCAGUAUAUACAUCAAAUUAGACAAUAACCUAUUAAAUAUUUUAAAUUAAAAUUUGUUAUCUUCAAGUGAUAAUAACUCUAUUAUUAUUUUUUUUAUUUUAUUUUUUUUGCUAGCAAACCGUUCUCAAUUAUAAUGGAUUUAUUUAUAGGGUUAAUAUAAAGGUAGUAUUUUUAUAAAUAAUAAUUAAGUAUAUAACAAUAUUUAAAAAAUAAUUAUAAAUAUAACAAAAUUUAUCAUUCAUAUAGAUUUAUCGGUGGUAAAUUUAUAUUAAACUUUGACAGAUUUUGUUAUAUUCAUAAUUUGUUUAAAUUAUUGUCAUAUAAGUUAAUAUGUUGGGUUUAAUUGGUGUAGUUGUAACGAACAGUGACAUAGUGAUAUUUUAAUGAUAAAAGAAAAAAGAAAAUUAUAAAUAUGUUUUUAUUAAAAAUCAAACUAAAAUUUGAAAAGUGGCGAACAUGUAUUGGUGAAAGGAAAAAGGAGCGGGUGUUUUUGGGAAGUUCUUGAGUUGAUUUACUUUUGGUUAUAAUGCUCUAAAAUUCUAUGUGGCUUAUCCACCUUACCUUGAUAGGGACGUUAUGGCAAUAUUUUUCUCUCUAUCUUCUGCUUCUUUUGUUCAUUAAUAUUAAUUAAUUCAAAUAUACUUAUUUAUUUAUUUUGCUUUCAAUUGUCAUUAUCAAGGAAGAGAUGGAAAAAGAAAAAGGAAAAAAAACAACAUUAGAUUUUUUUUGAGGUCCAAAUUAAAAUUUUAGAUUUAUGUGUGAGUUGAUCAUGAUGUUAACAAUCUUUCUUUAAUUGAGUUAAAAAAAAGUGUUAAAGUUUAAUGCUUCUAUUUAACUUUAUUUAUUUUUCCACAGAAUAAUAUGCUUUUUUUUUUAAUCUUUUGAAAAGCAUUUUUUAUUUCUAAUAAUAAGUUGUUUAGUUCAUAAAGUAUUAGAUGACUAUAGUUAUACAAACAAAUAUGCUCAUCAUCUUUUUUUAUGAAGUAUGUGUAAAUAAAAUGUUUGAAAUAUAAGUUAUUAACGGUUUUCUUUCAACGUUGCUCAUGGUUUUAUAAAUAAAUUAACUAAUAGUAGUUUAACACAACAAUGUAAAACUCGAACUUGAGUUUAAAGGGGAGGGUUAUCAUUGUAACUCAGUUAUCUUCUAAGAAGUUUGUAAUUUUAAUCUUGUAUCUUUAUUAGAUUGGAGUGUAAUUAAAAUAAGUGAGAUUUUUGUUUUUAUUUUUAAUAAUGAUAAAGAUAAAAUUAUUAGAGAGUAAUUGAAUUAGAAUUAUUUAAUGGUCAUUAAAGAUUAGAAGUAGGUGUUUUUAAUGUUAACAAAUGGGAAGAAGGGGAAGGAAAGAAAAAAAACUAAUUAUAGAAAGAGGAAUUUAUAUUAUCCAACGGCGCUGCUUGGUUUCUUCCAACCUUCUCCCUACUUCCCCAACUACCUUCUAUUUCGUAACGGGAUAAUGUCAACAUUUUUAAUUUAACUUCAUUUCAUAUUUAUUGUACAGUGUCUAAAUUGGAUAAGAUCAUUUAUAUAUUAAUAUACAUUGUUAUAAUUUAUAUAUUUCAUUUUUUGAUUCUCUAAUUCUUCUUGGUAUGAAAUUGAAUUGUUGUGAUGAUAUUGAUGUUAAUGACGAUGAUGCGUUAACAAUUGUAAAAUCCACGAUAGAUAAAUAUUAAACAAACAAACAUACUAUAAAUUAAAUGGGAUGACAUUCAAUAAAUUAAUAUAAUUUUUUAAAAAACAAGGACAAAGAAAUUAAUUUUCUUAAAAAUAAUAAUAUUAAUAAAAAGUUGAGUUAUAAUUUAUGUAAAGGGUAGUUAACGAAAGUUUAAAAUUGAUGAAAUCAAACCAUUUAGUAAAUGGGUAAACAUUAUCAAAUUUGUGACGGUUUCAUCAAUUAACUUUAUUUUGACAUUUUAAAUAAAAAAAAUCAAAUUUUAUUUCUUAGGCUAAGUUUUAAUUUUAUUUUUUACUUUUUUGUAUGCAAGUAAAAAAAAAAUGUUAGCCACCAAAUAAUAAUAUAAGUUGGACCGAUUUUAUCCUUUCAAUCUUCUAAUUACAUGGUUUUGUUUAAUUGGUAAUAAAUUUGUAAUUAAUUUUGAGGGAUAAUCACUCCCACCUUUAAGUAAAAAUAAAAGAGAAAUAAAAGUCAAAAGCUAAAAAGUCAUUUUCAUAUCUAGCAUGGAAAAUAGAAAAAGUGGUUUGGAAGAUAACAAAAAGUAAAUUAUCAUUUUGGUUCAUUUUCUUUAGCUAUCUUUUAACCCAAUUUAAAUUGACGUGCGAUUUUCGAUCAGGUGAAUUUCAUCUUUAACUGGUAUUGGUGUGUAACAUAGGGUUACGUAACUCUGUGAAAUUAUUUUCUAUCAAAGUUUAAAUGUACAUACAAAAUUUAAAAGUUUAAGUUGUUACACUAAUACUAAUACACACCAGUAGUUCUAAAUAAUAGAAUCUUAAGGUUUAGAAGUGUAACAUUUUUUCUAUUACGUGUCAAACUAACUGGUAACAUUAACCCUUUUUUUUCACUAUUUUUGUCGUUAUUUAUUAAAACAAUACAUUUCUUUUAUAUUUUACUAACAUAUGUGUAUUUCCUUUUUAACACAUACAUAUAUAUAUAUAUAUAUAUAUAUAUAUAUUUUUGCAUUUACAUAGCAAUUCCUUUUUCAUUCAAUUUAAAUAUUGUGUUUCAUAUUUAAUAAAAUAAAUGUUUUUUUUUUAGAAAAAAACUAUUUUCUAAUUUAUUAAAUACACUAGUAAAAAAAACCAUCUUUAAAAAUAUUACACAUUCAAGGAUUCUCAUUUUUCUUUUUGAAUCUAAUUUUUUUUAGUUAUUUUCCCACUUGCAUCUUGAUAAAUUUUUAUAUUCAAUAUAGGCUUAAAUCAACAAUUUCACCCUUAUCUUGCCAAUUUUCUAAAAUAAAAAAAAAAUCAAUUUCAAAGGUUCAUUUAAACGUUUAAAAUGUUGGUUUAAUUCUUAGAAUUUCCAUAUUUGUUUGUUUUGUUUUUAUUUAAUGAUUACUUGAUAUGAAUUUUUUAAGGAAGAUGAUUAAAAAGUCAUAGAUUAAAGUGAUUAAUUUUGUUUGGAAAGUUGGGUAAAAAUAAGAUUAAAUAUGGAUGGAGGGCGUGACUUUGAAACCUAAUAAUUAUGUUGAACAUAUUUGCAUAAUGUAAAGAGAGUUGAGCGAUGAGGUUGAUUCAAUUGUUCUUACUGUCGUGUGUGUCCGUGAAAUUAGGCACAAAAGUGAUCCAUGAUUGGUAGCAGGCAGAAUAUUAGUCUUGUAGUGGAAUAACAUAUUCUUCUCCCGAAUAACAAUCCACAUUGAGAUUUGGAAAUGUGAAAGAAAAAGGCAUCCAAACACUCCAAAACCAAAAAGUGGAAAAUAAAGAAGGGAUCAUUCCAAUGGUGGGAUUGUGAAUACUAUCCAAAUAAAAAGAAAGAAUAAAUAUGGAUUCCAUAAAUCCACAUUUUUUUAUUAAAACCCCUCCUCACAUCUUCACUGCAUCUUACUCAGUUUGUAUUCUGAGAGAGUAUUGGAUCAAAGUUACCAUUGAUGGAACGGAGUCCAUUUUUUCUUUUAACAAAAUCAAUCUUAGUUGAUUUGAUAAAAUGUCAAACCAACCUCGAUAUCGAUGAGUAAAAGUUGCUAAUCGGUUUAAUACUUAAAAUUGCUUUUUGAAACUAAUCCUGACCCCUCUCGUUUUUCGAGUGAGUUGGUUGAUUUAACAGUUGAAAAUACUUUUUGAAAAAUUCUCGAUUUGAAGCUUUUUGAAACUGACCCUUAUUGAAUUCUCUCGUUUUUCGAUUGAUCGACUUCAGUUUGUCUAUCAUGCUAAUUUCUACAUGUAUGCAUACCAAUUGAGUUAUGUCCGUCUUGUCUACUGCAUGUGAGUUAAGGCUUUAUAAAUAUUUUUAAAAAAUGUAAAAAGAUAAAGAUUACUAAUCGAUAAUAUCAUUAAUUGAAAAAAAAUUAAUGUGAACAUAACUCAAUUGAAAUUAACUUGUACAUAUUAUCAAUUUUCAAAUAUAAGGUGAUUCAAUCUCCUAUCUUGUAUAUUGCCAAACAAAAUAUUGACAAAAAAAUGAUGAAGUUAAAUUCGUUGCAUUCCACGAUUACAUUUUAUUACGAGAUAAUAUAUUGACAAACACAUCGCUAUAAUGUAGUUAUAUUUAUGUAAAUAAAAUCGUUGUAAAAAGCACGUUAAAUCAAUAAUUGAGUUGUUUUUACUUCAAAUACCAAACCAAACAAUAUAUUUUGUUACUUGGGAUUUAGAUUGUGGGUGCAUUUUUUUAUUCUUCAUGUUUUAUGUGUAUUUAUAAAUUUAAGAUAUUGAUGUCGAACAUUUCGAUUCAUAGAUAUAGUGGAAGAUAUUUUAAUUUGUGAACCUACAUAGUAAUACAAGAGGUAGUGAGCAAAGAUUGACGAGUGAAUAGGACAUUUCACUGUUGUCUUUGAUAAUUUUCACAUGUGAAUACAAAGACACCUAGUCAUAUUCCUCACAUGUUUUUUAAAUAGUUUAUUAAUUAAGUUUCGUGUAUUUUAAGUGGUUGUCAAAAAUUGAAAUUGGAAGUAUGUUAUAAGUCACAUCAUGAGACAUAAACUUUAUGAAUAAGAAGAUAAAGUUAAAUUAGUCGGUUGGAGAUAAUUUAGUACUUACAUUUACUUCAUAUAUGUUCCGUAGUUUUCAAAAAAUGAAAUUGGAUGUAUAUUACAAGUCACAUAAUCAUAUAAAAUUUACGAGUACGAAAGUACAAAUGAAUUAAUCGGUUCAAAUAUUAUACGUACAUACAUGACAUUUUUUAUAAGAAUUCACUCUCAUAUGUUUAUAGUAAAUCACACACGGAUGGUUUUAGUUUUGUGUCACAUUAGUCUUUAGAUUUAAAAAUUGAACAAUUAAUUAAGUCUGGAAAAGAAUUGGUUUUAGUAAUUCGAUCAAGGUUUUAGUAAUUCGAUCAAUGUAACUUGUUAAGUAGUUAACGUUGUACCAACCAAUUAAGUAAGUCUUCAAUAUUUUAUUUUAGCAAGUCUUAUAUGUAUUGAAGGACAAGAGGUCUCUACCACCGAUCCUUUAUACCUAAUAGGAUUAUUUGAAAAUUGGAUGAUUAAAAAAUGUGUAGACGGUUACAAUAUUGAGAUUAUUUGGGCCAAAUGGGCCGAGAAAAAUUGUCUGGUGCAGAGAUAUUGGGCCCAAUUAAUCGCAACGGGCUAACCGCGCUAGAGUUGUUGUCAACAGUGAGAAGUUUCUUCCGACCUCCAACCUCGAGAUUGUCGCCGUCGAUUUCAUCGGCCAUUGACUAACAGGGAAAUAUGGGCAGUGAUCGGAAGCGAAUCUUGAUAGGUUUGACGGUGGCGAUGUUCUUAGGAUUGGUGGUGUACAUGAAGCUUUGGACCAUCGACUAUUCCAUGUCUGCCGAUGAAGCCGAACUUCUCAGGUUUGGAUUUUCCAUUUUUUGUUCGUUUUUCUCGUUUUGUUGCGAAAAUUUGUCUGAAAUUUUAGGAAAUGGUACCGUCUUCUCUUAAUUCGUGUUGUCGGAACUUCGUAAUGUAAAAUUCACUGAGAUUAUCGGUUAGCUUUAAUUUAAUCGUUUAUGGAUCAUUCAGACGGCAGUUCGAUCUUGCAAACCGGGAGGCAAUGGAUGAAUCUGCGGAAUGGCGUCGUAUGUACGAUAACGAACUAGAUAGAGCUAAUAGAUGUAAAAGUGAACUAAACCAGGUCAGUACUUUAGGGUUAAGUUGCCAAGAAAAUUGAUGAAUUCAAUAGAGUUUCUUUCUCAUUGCAUUGAUUCAGCGGAAUGGUUUUAUUAAAAUUGAUGCAAUUACUUCUCUGAAACCGGUUGUUUAAUGGGCGCAUGCUUGAAUUUUGUUCAUCUUGUUGCUGCUCCUAUGAUUUACGGCUUUCCAAUCAAACAAUUCAUAACGUCUUGCAUUGUCAACCGGAAAAAAAAAAAACUUGUUUGACGCUGAAUAUGAGAAAUGCUUGUGUAUUGAACAAGAGCCCAGUUCUUGGCAGCAUGAACUUUGAAAUAUUUCUCACAUAGUUGAUCUCUUAUCAGUAGUAAGAUGCUGUUUUGAAAGUAACUGGUUUAAUUUUAGCUUAUGCUUUUGGGUUUGAGAUAAUUUAACAUGAUAUUAGAUCAUUUAGUAUUCAAACAUGGCAAUGUGAUUUCCUUUUCAAUUACUAUUGACAUCACUUGUUUGAUCAACAUAAUCUUGAAAUCUACAAGUGAGAGGAAUAUUAGGAAGACAUAAAGCUUCGUGCGGUAACUAUUUAAUUUUGGAUUUUAGUCUUUGAAAAUUAAGUGUAUAAACAUUCAUUCCACCUCUAAAUUACUUUCUUAUUUACUUUAUACCUAUGAAAAUUUUUGAAGACUAAAGUAAAGAACUAUGGUAGGAAAUUGAGAGGAAAUAAGAUUGAUUUCCAAAAACUAAACAAAAAGCCAAAUUCAAAUGGUUAUUAAAGGGGUCAAAACACUUGAAUUUAACACCAUGAGGCUGUAAGUUGCUUGUACAUUUUUGUAUUUGACCAAUGAUUGUGUACAAUUCUACUUAGCAGCUUAAGGUAUCGUUUGAGAAGGUGGGGGAUGCUGCUAAAAUCAAUGAGAAGCUAACAAAGACGCAAGAGGUAAUCCCUUUGAUGUUAACUAAUUAAUGAGUUGUUCCAAAAAAUUUUGAAAAUGAUUUCAGAACUAAAAUUUUGUCCCACAUCUUUUAUCUCUCAAACAUGUCUAAAAAUUUCAGGAAAACUUUGCUCUCCGCACACAAGUGGAUGCUUUACAGCGAAGGCUAGAGGCCGAGAAGUCAAGAUGUGGCUCUCAAUAAAGCUAAUCAACAGACACAGAAGCGAAAAGGGUACAUACUAACAUUGUUUUUGAAUUGUAAAACGUCUAUCACAGAGGUUGCUUGGCUAUGGCUGGUGAUGGGAAGUACUAAACCAAAUUGAUAAAACUAAUGAAGGUCGGUCACUCCAGGUUGUGGUUUUUAUAGGUUUCUCUAUUCUCUUUGUCGUCUGGAGUUUGUAGGAAAAGAGAUUGUUGUGGAAUCGUCGCGAGAUCAUCAACUCGACUUUCGCUUCUGAGGAUUCUACUGGCAUCGGAAUGACAAAUGUGGAUAGCUACAAUCAAAGCAGUAACUAAAAGGCAAAAGCACCAUGGGGGAGCUUCUCCUUCAUGAAUCCAGAGUAUGUAAAAGUUUAGGUGUAGAAAAAUUUUAGAAUUUGGAACCUAGGGUUUUACUCUUUUCUUCUCCCCUUGCAAUUCAUACGAUUCAAAGAGUUAAUUUGAAUUGGUGUUGUGGCCUCAAAAUUGAUAGUAUAAAAUUACAAAUACUACAUUAGUUUAGUUUAGUUGAGUUACUCAUUAAAUAUAUUAAUUAAUUAAUUGGUUCUAAGCAUCAUUUAUUUUCCAAAAUGUAUAAAAAACUUAAACGAAAUGAUUCUUAUUUGUUAAACCAUUCAAUGACAUAUCAUUGUUAAAAAGGGUUUCGCAAGAUCAUAGAAGUUUAAUUUGUGUUUGAACUUAUAUAAGAUUUCUACGUUCAAUUUCAAUGCAAGGAGUAAAUCUAUAUAUUCAUUUUAUCGUAGAAAAAUUCACAAAAUAAACAUAAAAGGUAGCUAACAUAUUUAUAAUAUAAAUUAUAGAUACAUUUACUUAUUUGAAAAUUUUAAAAAAAUGUUUAUUUACUAACUUUCUAAAAGAAAUUUGUAAAAAACAAAACACUUGACCAGUAAUAAAUUUGGUGUUAAUAAUUUGUCCAAUUUUUCUAUUUUGAAAAAUCCUCUAAUUUAAACUUAUUUUUUAAAUUAAUUUUUGUUCAGACGUAUACCUAAUAGAUAUAAUUUUUUUCAGAAAUAUCUAUAGAAUAUAUUUUAUAGAAAAUUUCUUUAAAAUUAAGACAUCAAGCUAUAGAACUAAAUGAGUGAGAUUAAUUACAAAAUUGCAUAUUGAAAUAUAAACAUAGGAAGAAGUGGUUGAAUAAUAAUAUUUAAGAUAGUUAUGGAUAUUAAUCUAAAAAUAGUAUGUUUAGAACAAGAAAAAGACAUUAACCAACAAUUGUAUUGUACUACUUCCUUCCAAUCGUUUCUCCCUCGUUUUCUUAUAUGCUUACAAACUUUGAAACAGAAUGGAGGGAGAGUCGGUGUUUUAUUUACAAACUUUGCUUGUUAUCUAAAUAAAAUAUCCACAAAAAUUACAUCAUUACUUUUCACCUUUGGACAGAAUUUGGAAUUUGAAAGGGUGUAUCAACCAUCUAAAAUGAAAACUUGAAUAUCCACUUCGUUUCAGUUCACCUCGCAUUGAAACAUGAAGAAUAAUGAAUAUUAUAUCAACAAAAGAAAUGAGAUGCACAAAAUGAUAGAUAAAUGUUACUCGAUCUAUGUAGUAUUUUGUUUCACUUUUUUUUUUAUAAAGGACAAAAGGGACCUAUUUUACAUUUGAAGAAACAACAAAAUGGCAAUAUGAUUUGAUAUAAUAAAAAUAAAUAAAAAGAAUAAAGAAAAAUAUUUUAGUUGAUUGUUCAUGAUGAUGAUGUGUUGUAAAUGUGAAUGAAAGUGAAGUUCGCCAUUGGAAGCGCUCUCCAUUUUUACACUUGACAUCUUGCUUUAGACUCGCUAAAUUAAAUCUUCUAUUCACACAUUCUUACGAUCAUCUAGGAAUUAUGAUAUUUUUUCUAAAUCUCUGUCAUUUUCUUACGAUUUCCUCCCUUUCCCUUCAUAAUCUCUUCUUGCAUUGCCCAUUUCUCUUCAUGUUUUGAUCUUUCUCUUCCCCUUCUUCUUCCCAUUCUUCUUCCCAUCACCAUCCAUGGCAACCAUGAAAUUAGGCAUUAAACCCGAAGCAUUUCAUCGCGAGGGCCAAACUUGGUACCCCAUUUUGUUAUUUUGAUUAUAAAUGAUGUUUCUCUUGUUUGCAUUGAUUGAUUCUGUAAUGCCAAUUCAUACGAUUCUGUUUUUUGUUUUGAUCCAUUUGAUUUGAUCUCAUUAAUCUUUUUGGUUUUCUUCAUUCCUAUUAGGCUUUGCUCAAGUGGAUUACCCAGCGAUGUUACAAUUGAAGUUGGAGAUAUGUCUUUUCAUCUACACAAGGUCUGUUUGUUUUGGAUUUUCUAUCAGUUUUUGCCAGCGAGUGAAUAGAUGGAUGAAUUUCAUUGCCAUGCACUUACUCUGGUUUUUCCAUCUCUGUUUUGUUUACUGCAGUUUCCUUUGCUUUCUAAAAGUGGGUUUCUAGAGAAGCUUAUAGAACAGCUUCCUAACGAGGAUGAAUCUGGCUGCGUUCUGAAACUUCGUGAUAUUCCUGGUGGCGCCAAAGCAUUUGAACUUGUUGCUAAAUUUUGCUAUGAUGUUAAAAUAGAGCUCACUUCUUUGAAUAUAGUUAGCCUUAGAUGUGCAGCUGAAUACCUCCAAAUGACUGAAGAGCAUGGAGAAGGGAAUUUGAUUUCUCAAACAGAGGUUUUCCUCAAUGAGGUCUUUGGUAAUUGGACAGAUACAAUUAAAGCUCUUGAAACUUGUGAAGAAGUUGGAUCAUACGCAGAAGAGGUUCACAUUGUUUCACGAUGUAUUGAUUCAUUGGCUAUCAAAGCUUGUGCUGACCCACAGUUGUUCAAUUGGCCAGUGAAGGGGCAGGAAAAUGUCCGAAGCCCCAAUGGGACUGUUCUAUGGAAUGGGAUUUCUUCAACCACAAAGCCCCAACCAACCGGCGAAGAUUGGUGGUAUGAGGAUGUGUCAUUUCUUAGAUUUCCCUUGUACAAGCUUUUGAUUUUGUCUGUUGAAGCUAAAGGAUUGAAAUCUGAGAGUAUAGCUGCAUCAUUAAUACAUUAUACUAAGAAGAAUAUCCCCUUAAUCAACAAUCAAUUGAGUUUCAAUGAUAUGAAUCAUGUUGGGUCAGGAAUCACAGCUUCUACAAAUUCUGAGGUAGAUCAAAGAUUCCUACUUGAGGAGCUUGUGGGCUUACUACCAAGUGUAAAGGGUGUCACCACAACCAACUUUCUACUUAGGCUUCUUAGAACUGCUAUGAUUUUGCAUGCUAGUCCAUCAUGUAGGGAAAUUUUGGAGAAAAAAAUAGGCAGUCAAUUGGAUCAAGCUUUGCUCGUUGAUCUGCUCAUACCUAACAUGGGAUAUACAGUGGAAACUCUUUAUGAUAUCGAUUGCAUUCAGAGAAUUCUUGACCAUUUUAUGUCGAUAUACCAUGUUCCAAUUGCAUCUUCUCCUUGCAUAGUUGAGGAGGGGAAGAUGGUUAGCGGAACGGAUACACUGACCCCGAUGACAAUGGUGGCCAAUCUGGUGGAUGGAUAUCUUGCAGAGGUAGCUCCCGAUGUGAACCUGAAGUUGCCAAAAUUUCAGUCCCUUGCUGCUGCGAUCCCUGAUUAUGCCAGGCCAUUAGAUGAUGGAAUUUAUCAUGCCAUUGAUGUGUACCUAAAAGUAAGAUCUAUUUCCCCCUACCUUUUACAUCAAGUUCAUGUUCUUCACCUUGCAUAUAACUCAAUUCCUAGAACUGAGAGUAAUCAUCUACUUUAGCCUGUAGAUACUGACAUCUUGUAAUCUGGUUAAAUUUUAAACCUUUGUGGAGUAAUCAUUCAUUAUAUUUGUAAAAGAAGAAUGAAUAAUAACAAUAUAGAUCUUACUAAAUUAGCCAUUCAUCUAAUCUCAGGUCAUCGGGUUAGAUAUACCAUGGUGUUUGGUUGUGAAUCUUUAAUGGCUGAUGGUAGUUUACAACUUGUUCAGGCCCAUCCUUGGCUUUCAGAUUCAGAAAGGGAGCAACUAUGUAGAUUGAUGAAUUGCCAAAAGCUAUCAUUAGAAGCCAGUACACACGCGGCGCAAAACGAGAGGCUACCUCUUCGAGUAAUCGUCCAAGUUCUUUUCUUCGAGCAGCUUCGACUACGAACAUCAAUAUCAGGUUGGUUUUUUGUUUCUGAGAAUCUGGAGAACUCGCAACAUCCGAACGGAAACCUUGAACUUCCAAAGAAUGAUUGUUCAAAGGCAAUGGAGGAGGGUGGUGGUGGAAAGGAUGUAAAAGAGAGAGUUUCAGAGCUUGAAAGAGAGUGUUUAGAAAUGAAAAUGGAGCUUGAGAAGGUGGUUAAGACGAAGAAAAGUUGGAGUCUUAUUCCAAAAAAGCUUGGUUUUGGAAGAAAAUCACAGCCAUGCAUCCCAAAGCCAGAUGAUAUAAUGGAGCAAACAACCUCUGUCAGUGCUCCACAGAAUAAUGAAGAUGGGGAUUUGGGUCAGCGAGUAGUUGCAUAGAUGGAUCCAAUUUAAUGAGUCUUCAGUGUACAAUACUUUUGGUACAACUUUUAUUAUCAUCAAUAUUUUUUUAAGAUAUCUGUUUGAUUGUAAAUUUUUUUGAUUUAAAGUGUUUUAAAAUGUAAUAAUCUGAUUAUAUAAAUCAUAAAAUGAAUGAUAGUUAAGUUAGUGACUAAAUACUAAAUGGAACAUAAACAUUAUGAACUAAUUUAACAAAAAUAUAACAAGUUUGUAUAUACCAAAAUACUAUAAUUAUUUAAAAUUCUAUUUUACUUUUUAAAUAAUUAAUUUUGAAUUUGAAGUUUUUUUUUUUUAUAUAUAUAAAAACAUUAUAAUUUCAAAUCCAAAUUCUUGAUACACCUAAAAACAUAUAAAUAUUAUAUUCAAAAUUUCACCAUUGAGAUGACAAAAUUAAAAAAUAGUUUUCAAAAUACACAUCGUUUAUCACAACGCUGUUAUUUAUUGAAUUCAGUAAAUAGAAAAACUAAAGACCAAACUCAAAUUGCUUAUAAAGAGAAAAAAUAAUGAUACCAAAACAAGGCACAAAAUAUAUAUAUAUAAGUUGCCACAGAAGAUGGUGAAUUUUCAUCAGAGAAUCCUAUACUUACAACUUUUCAAGGAUAUGAGAAGUUUCAACAAUUAAAUGUAGAGGCUAUUUCAUAAAUUGACAUUGAAAUGGAGUAAUUUACAAAAAAAAAAAAAAAAAAAAAAAACAAAGAGGAAAAAAAUUCCUCCACAAAAUAGGAAAUAAUAGCUAUAGAAUUUCGUAGUAGCCUCCUCCAUUUGCAAAAAUUCCUUCACCCAUUAUCUCCAGAAAUAAUAAUCACCUGGAGAUAUCACAAUUUUGAGGGUAACCAAGCUGCUCUAUCUCCCAACUCAGCUGUGAAGCAACUCUUUCAUGGCAAGGCACAUACUCCUACAACACAAACAGUCCCCACACAAAAGUGAACAAAGACACAUAGGAUUGGUUUAAAUUCUCUAAUUGACCAGUAAACUUCAAGAACAAGAUGUAUGUAUAUAUGCUAUAUUUUAUAGUUUUGGUAUAUCAUAAUACCUCUAACUUCUUCAUUAACUCCUUCGCCGUUGGCGCUGAUACGAUAAUUUGGCGUGCACUUGGACUGACAAAUCCUUCCUCGACAGCUUUAUCAAUAAAUGACAGUAGUGAAUUGUAAUAUCCAUCAACAUUCAACAGUCCCACCUACAGAUUUCAGUGUUCAUUUUGAUCAUAUUCAGUAACUAUCAAAGCUAACCGAAUCACAGCACAUACAAAGUAAGGCGAAUUUUUUUUUUUGAAUAACAAAAAGAAGGAACACAGACUGGCUUGUCAUGAAUUCCCAGUUGAGCCCAGGUUAUGACUUCAAGUAGUUCUUCUAGAGUCCCAUAGCCACCUGCAAGCAUUCAUAUGGUUGGAAGAAGAAUUUCAGCUGAUUAAUAUCCAUCUCCUUUCUAUGCUUCUAUAGCUACCUAUGUUGCAGGUACAAAAUGAUUCAGAUGAUCCAUUUCCUGUAAUUAUAUUUAAUGGACUACUACCCUUCAGCUGUGAUGACAUGUGACUUCUUAAAUUCUGAGAUGUGGUUCCAUGUAAUAUUUAACUUAAACAUCAACAUAAUUGAUUAGAAUAUGAUUCAAAGCCUCAGAGAUUUAGAUUUGCAGUUGAAGUAGAGAAGGGGGAAUAUUUUGAUAACACAUCAGUGAACGUUUAGAUGACAGGACAUCAAAAUAUUUUGAAAUUCUAAAAAGAAGCAAUUAAGGACAGAGAGUUUUAAAAAAGGGUACGUAAUAAUUCCCUAUAGUUAGUAAGGACCAUCGAGCAAAGUGAGUCAAAGUAGCCUUUUUUUAAAAACCGUACAUGGAAGAUACAGAACUAGUGAAGCUAUGGAUCGGAUUUUAGAAGAAAAACAUAGCUGCCCACAGCUCAAACUAUUUAAGAAACUAUCUUUUUCAGUGUCUGAUAUUGAUAGGUCAAUGAUGGUUUCUUAAAAACAUGGCUGCCACAGGUGCUAUAAAUGCACAAUGCCAUCAAUACAGAUAGUGACAUAAUUUGUUUGGAAGAAAUGGAAAAAAAAAAGUUAAAGGUCUGAGAUAUUUGGAAUUGAAUUUUGCUUGAUCAGUGAAACUAAGAAGGGUAUAGAAAGACAGGCACCGAAAGCAGAAGCACAAGGGUCAAAUUAUGGAAAAAAGAUAAUAAGAUGACGAUUGCGUGUUUUGGUUUAGAGGAGGGAACAAAAGGAGGAUAAAGAGGAAGAAGGCUUUUAAGAGCUUUUGACUGACUGUCAGACAACAUAGCCUAAUUGUUUUGUUUGUUUCUGAGAUGCUAUGAUAGUAACUUAACAGUCAAGUAAAAAGAAAGGAAAAGAGAGAGAGAGAGAGAGAGAAGGGUGGGGGUGGGGGAAGAGAGGGGAAGUUUUGAAAGAUAAGUUAAUGAUGGGUUUUUGGUCAAUGUUGAAUGCCAAAAUGAGUAAAAGCAAAAGAAGGUGAUGAGCACUUUUGGUUUGAUUGAGAGAGUAAACUUAAGAAGUUAAUAGUGCAAGUGGAAAAUGUUAAAGUGCAGGCUUUAUAUACUCACCUGGCAAGGCAAUAAAAGCAUCUGAAUGCUUUGCCAUCUCUGCCUUCCUUUGAUGCAUAUCUGCCACUGCCUUCACCUCCCCUACAGUUUCACCAGUCAACUGCAAAAGGAAACCGUGUAAUAGAAUAGGUUAGAGAGAAAAGGAACGAGAGAGAGGAGUUUAGAAGAGAGAAAAAAUGAUGGGUUUCGUAGGAAAAAGGAGAUCAAAUCUAAAUAGUUUUGAUCCAGAGAUAAAAUCUCCAAUUUCUAUAGUUAAUUUGACUGUUAUCAUGACAUGGGCUGAAUGCAAAAUGAAGCUCUGUAAAGUAAGAAAAAAAAUUAAAAUCUUUAUGAAUCAGUGUAAGGUUUGAGAUGGUUUAGAAAGGAUCAGAGAGCUACAAGUUCUAACUAUAGUGAUGGCAGUAUCAUGGAAAAUGCCCCCAAGCAUAAGAAAAACACAGAUCUUGAGCCACACAGAAGAACGUACUGGUAAAAGAAGUAAUAAAUGAGAGAGAGAGAGAGAGAGAGAGAGAAGUAAAGAUGGGAAAAAAAAGAAGAUAACAAAAAAGCUAAUAAAAAACUAAAAAGCAGAAGUCAGUGGGAAAAGUAUCAUAAAGAAGAAAGGGUAGGAAUAAAUAAAUGCAAAAUCGGAUUAAUGAACAAGAAAGAAGAAGAGUCCUUCAUUUUAAUAUAACUAAAUAAGUAGAGAAAAAAGGUUGAAAACUUUACGAGACUGAUAGGUUAACGGACAUACCUCUCGAGGCAUGAGUGUCUUGGGUAUAACUCUGGACCAGAACAGUACCACGACAAAAGUCAGUACAGUAGAAAACUUGUAAUGGUGAAGAAACCCAAAAAUAGAAUCAUAAAAACAACCUUAAAGGGACCAAUGGAAGUAAUUAAAAAAAAAUGUGGGCAUACCCAAUGACAUGCCGACCGCCAUCAUGAACAGCUUGUGAAACUAAACCCAUCAGGCCAAUGCUGCCCCCACCGUAGACCAGAUCAAUGUUCCUUGAAACCUUAAAAACAACAUCAAAAACCAAACUCAUCAUCUCAAAUGACUCGAGAGUUUCAUUUAUGAAAUGGGAUUCUUUCCUUUUACUUUGAAUGUAUGUAUGAGAAGCCUAUGUGGAUAAAAUUUCAAAAGAAACAAACUGUCACCCAACUGAGAUAUUCAUGCAUUUUCUUUGCAAUUUAAGUUUCUGAUGGGAAAUGGGAGAGGAAAUAUCAAAGUUGAAGAAGAUAAGUAAAGGGUCAUGAUCAAGCAUAAUCACAAACACGUUGUGGACACAAUCACAACACAUCCCAAUUGAACGUCAAUGGAAAACAAAGAAAACAAAGGACUUAUUAAUUCCAAACAAACAAUAUACACAUAAAGUUCACCAAAACAUUUAAAAAGAAAUGCAGAACAAUCUCUAGCAACAUGAAAAACAAAACACCCCCAAUAAUCAUUUGAACAGAGAAAAAGGAAAUGGAUCGAAAAUAGUGUAAAAAAAGAACAGAAGAAGUUUAUCUUUCUUUUUUUUUACCAAUUCCUUGCCAAGUUCAAUGGCGGAAUCCUGGUAGCUUCUCUUCUUGCCUUGACUACUACCACAGAACACACAAAUCCUCCUGAACUUAGAUAGCGGCUUCAUUUCAUGAUUCAUAAUCAAACCCUCCAUUUGUUUUCUUGAUAUGAAUUGAGUUAAAGAAAGUUUUAGGAGUGGAAACAGAAACAGAGCAUGUAAUAGGUUGAUUUUGGAAGUGGGUAUUUGUGUGAAUGCUCCCUGAACAGAACAGAAAUGAAGUGAGAGUGGAAGCAAAGGAGGAAGAAAAAGGGUAAAAAGAAAAAGAAAAAGAAGAACAGAGAGAAGAAAAGUGAGGAACUCUGUCUUUCUCUUUUCACUUUUAUGUAAGGUCGGAAGUUUUGUGUGUGGGAGCAGCCCUUUCCUCUGUUCUCUCCCUUCCCUUCUCCCUUUUUUUUUUCUUAAUAUUUUUUUAAAAAAAAAUAUUUCAUAAAAAGAAAAAGAAAAAAAAUACUCCUCGCACGUGCGUACCUCACGCACGCUUUUGCGUCAUCUUCACACAAACAAACUCUCAUGCCUUCAAACCUUCUCUUGUUCUUCUUCCCACGCUUCUUAAUUUUCAUUUAUGACUAAUUUAAUUGCAAUAAUACCUUCUCCUCUCCCCCGUCAUUUUCAAAUUAUUUACAAAAUCACUCAAAAUUUCAUACCCAUUAUUCAUACACAUUAAUAAACUUCAAAAACUUUACUACAUUUUUUAAAUAUUUUCAUCAAAUAUUGUAAUUUGCAAGAUUUAAUUCAAAUAUAUUUAAAUUGUCUUGAAAUUAAAAAAAACCCAUUAUUGAAUUUAAGGUGAAUAGAGUAAAUGUAUUGACUUAAAAAGAUACAUUUACUCAACAAGAUUACAAGAGGAUUAUUUAAACUCUUUAAUUUAAGAGAUAUAACUUUUUUCUUAAGAUAUGAUUUUAGUUUAGCGAAAUUAAGUAUUAGGAUAUAAAAGUUAGUAUAUUAGAGAGUGUUUUUAUGUUAAAUGUUGUAAUUUUUUCAAUUUAAUUUGUUAGUCAUUUGUGAUAUUCAUAUAACAACCAUUAAUACAAAUCUUGAUAUUAAGAAAUUUUGUAUCUUCCUUUUUUAAAAAAUAAAUUUAAUUUAAAAAUAUGUUUUCAUGAUAUCUUAUUAUUUUGUUAAAAAAAAAAGAUAUGUUUGAUUAAUUAUAUAUUAAUCAUGAUAUUUCUCUACUAAUUCCCCAAUGCAAGUAUAUAAUAAAUUUUAAACAUAAUGUUUUUCGAAAUAUUAAUUAUCACUUGUUGUUUCUAAUAUCUAUUAAUAACGAACUACAUCAUUCUCUCUAUAUUUUCAUUUCUUUAAUAAACAACAAUUGAUUAAAUUGAGUUACCAUACGUCCUCCAAUCAUUUAUGCAUCUUUCAAGCAAUUAAUACAAGAAAUUGCAACUAUUGUACUACUCCCACUAUUACUGUGUAUAUACAUAAAUUAUUGUUUAUACUAAUAUAUCAAUUCAAUAAUUUUAAGUCGACAGUAAUUUGAUAGUUUUUAUUUAUUAUACGCUAUAAAUCAUGAUUUGAAAUAAUUAGAACUACACAAUUACAUAUGUAUUGGACGUAUUUCUUGACGAAUACAGAUUGGGUACGGGUGUUUUAAAUUCACAAGUACAGUUUAGAUUAUUAGCCAAAGAAAUUAAGGCUAUGUACUGAUAUCUAUUUAUUAUAUGCUAAAAAAUCUUCAUUUCCAUGUAUUUUUGCAUAAAAGAAGUUGGACAAGCAUAGGAAUGAGAAUAAUCACGUAACUGUUGAGACUUGACUUUAAAAUAACGAGUCAAAACAGGCUGAAUUUCUUACUUUUUAAAACAUCAACAACAAAUAUAAUUCAAUCAUAUCCCUCAACUUUGGUCCUAUAAUUUUAAUCCUCAAUUUUUAGAUUUUUACCUAUCUUUUUAAACCUUAAAUUAAUAUAUAUAUCAAUUUAAACUCUCCACUUUUAUAACUUUAUUUAAAUAAAUAAUAACAAAAUGUUUAAAUUAAUACAUUUGUAAAACUCUAUAUUUUAUUUCAUUUUGGACCUCUAAACGUAAAUGUUGGUUUUAGUUAAAUUUUAAAAAAUUACUUUCAUUUUAGAUUUUUUGUUAAUUAAACAUUUAACGAAAUGAUGUUAUGACUUUUAUAUUUGGAUGACUAGACACUCUAUAUGCAUUAUAUUCAUUAAAUUAAUUAAUCAAGAAAAUAUUUAUCUACAAUUUCUUAGAGUUUAUUUUCUACCUUAGUUGUUCUUAAUUAAUCUCAUUUUCAUCUUAACACCAAUAUACGAGCUUUAUGAUUUUUUAUUCUACUCGAUGUUCUUAUAAUUUGCUUCGUGAAAAAGUUGAGUCUUAGUGAAAAAAAGACGGAACAAAAAUAGUUUUUUAGUUUAUUUGAUUGGUGUGCGCAUUCAUUGAUUUUUGUGUUGAUAUAUAAAAUAUUUGUAGAUUAAAUUAGGUAGUUAUUUAUCAUUUCAAUUUAAUUAAUAUUAAGAAUUAGAGUUUAGUCAUCUAAAUAUUAAAAAAAAGUUACUUCAUCUUUUCGGUAAAUGAUUAAUAAAAUUUUUCUGACGUUUAAAAUUUAAAGACGAAGAUAGAAAAACUGCAAUUUAAAAAGAAAAAGAGAGAGAGAGAGAAGAAGAAAAUAGGGAGUUCGAGUAAAACAUUAGGAUAUGGGUUUACUCAUUGAUGCUUGGUGGUUGGGCUUUGCUUUGACUAAUUGUUUAUGACUUUAUUAAUUAAUUACUAUCCUUUAUAAUCACUUGCCACAAAAGUAUGGACUAAUUAUAAUCAUUAAAUAUUUUGUAAUUAUGCACAACAUUCAUUUUCUAAAAAAUAAAUUGAAAAUAAAGCUUGCUUAUCAACAACCAUUCUUAACUUUGUAACUUACUUUGAUAUGUUCACAAUUAUUUUAUUUUUGUUUUUUAAUCCUUUUUCUUUUCAGUUUUCCAUUUUUGAAAUAUAAAGUUUUCAACUAAUGAUUUACGUUCUCAUUAUUCUUCUUUUUAAAAAAUAUUGGUUUCUUUUUUGUUUCUUUGAACUCUUUUAAAAGAGUAAAGAUUAUUGGUACCGAAACUGUUUUUUUUAUAAUCCUUAUCUACAUAUAAUGUAUUUUAACAUAUGUUUAUUUUAAUAUAUUCAAUAUAAAUCUUUUAUUUUGAAAGUUAUUUUUAUUCGUUUUUUUUUCUAACUUGUAAAACAAAACAUAAAGGUAAUUAAAUUGGUAUUUAUAGUAACUUCUUACCGUAAUUUUUAUCUUUAUCAAUUAAAAAAAAAGUUGAAAGUAGAUCUAAAUUAUAAAAAAUAAAACUACUUUUCUUUUUUAGUUUUAAAAUUUUGAUUUGGAGUUGUCGAAAAUAAAAUAACAAAACAAGAGAUUUAAUUAAACUUAAUUUAUUUUAGAAAAAAAAUAAUAGUAAUUAAUCCAACAAGACUUUUAGUUGUUUGUUUGUUGAAGUGCAUGUAGUUUUAAUUUUAAUAAAUGUAAUAGAAACAAUAAAGUAUCAUCAUAAAUUAUAGGCAUUGCAUAUAUAUGGAAUUUUAGUAUUAUUAAAAAUAAGGUUAUUUUUAAAUACAUAUAUAACAUAAAUAUUUAGAAAAUAUCCAAAUUUAUCAUUGUCUAAAUAUUUUAUUGUCAAAGUGAGGUCUUAAAGUGGUUUAUUAUUUGGUCCCUUUUGUCAUCAUAAUUGCAACAAAAUCCCUAUGUCCAGUGGGAGGAACCCUUAACUUUAAGAUUCUUAGAAACUAUAUAGUUUUCAUUAUUGGGGUUUUUUUCUUUUUUCUUUCUUCUCCAAUUCCAUGCAUGCCGUGUUGGAACUUGGAAACUAUAGAUCUCACCUUUGGAGGCAAAAGCCAAACAAGAUGAGGAGAAAAAGAAGAUCUUUUCAGCAAAAGACAUGAAAUUCUUAGAAAAAAUUAUAAUCAAAAUGUCAUCUAAUUAUUUUUUCAAUCAAAAUCUAAUCAUAAUUAUGUAUGAUAAAUAAACCAUCUCAUCCUCUUAAUCCUAAUGUAUUAUGACUAUGUAUGUAAGAUAUUUAAUCGAGAUCUCUAAUACUUAAACAGUCUUGUUCUUUAAUUUUUCUCCACUUUACUGUUUUUCAUUUGAGAUAGGCAUUGACAUCUACAACUUCUUCUUCUUUUUCGAAAACAUCACUCGAUCAGUAGGUUGAAAAUAAACAUAUAUAUAUCAUAAUUAUUUAAAAUCAAAAUUUUAGUUAAUUUAUAAUCCAUAUAUAUAUUAUCCCACAACUAAAAAAGAACGUUAAUUUUUUUAUAAUAAAAAAAAUGUAAGAGUUGGGGAACAAAAAGGUAGAUGAGUAAUUAAUAUUCUUUGGAUAUUACUAAAAUAAUGUGUGUUAUUUCUGUGGGAAGAUUAAUUUCCUCAAUGUGUUAUAAUUAAUUUCCAUGAAAGAAAGAAACACCCAGAGAGUGUCAGAACUAUUUUCUGAUAUCUCAUCUUAUUUAUAAACAUCACUGAAUUCCUGCUUUGUAUUAUAUUCAAAAUAAUACAUGUUUGCCUUUAUGGUGAGUUGUUUCAGAAUUUAGUUUCUGUCUCUAGGAAACUUAAUAAUUCAAACAAAUAAUCAUUAAAUCAAAAAAUAUAUAUAUAUACAUACAUUUUGUGUAUUUUAGUCUAGUUUCUAUACUUGGUACAUAAAUUAAUUCAAAACCUAAACUAACUAUUGGUUUUUAGAAAAAUGCAAUUUGUUCAAAGAGCUUACCUCAACCACAUGACACACAUGUAUUAUCUCCAAUAAGAACAUGAAUACAUGGGUUUUAGACGGCAAACCUCACACUUUGAUAAACAAACCCUAGCUAACUUUGACAAAACAAGAAGGUAUACAUAGUGUGAUUUUUCAGUUAAUAUGAUUUGCAUUUUCAUUAGUGCUUAAUUAAUAGGACUUCAGAUAUAUAAGAUAGUAAUAUUGCAUCAACUAAGGUAGGGACACCGUGACUUUUAUUAUUUGGUUUAAUAAAGAAUUAAUAGGCUUGAUCAAUAAGUGAGAAGAUGGUGACCACUUAGAAUUAAUUAAUUUAGAAAGAAAUAAAUAAUGUUAUAUGUAUAUGUAUAUAGAUUAAAUUAAAACGGCUGACAGUUUGAAGAAGACCUAAUUUUGGAAGCAUAUUUUAAGGAUUUUCAGGACCAUUCUACUUUUGGACAUAGUUCAUAUUUCCAAAUUUAUUUAAUGGACUUUAUAACAUUUAUUUGAUUCCUUCAGGGUCAAUUACCCAACGUACAUCUACUGCAUGUCAGCAUCUUCAUUGUACCAAAAAAUUCAAGCUACUUUCAUAGAGUAUUUUCAAUCAUUCUUAGGGUUUCCUUCCUUCCUUCCCUUUUUUCAUUUUUUCAUUUCUUUAAACCGAUGCUUCCUCGGUGUUUUCUUUUUCUUUUGUCAAUCAUCUAAAAAUAAAAUGUUGAAAAUUAUAAGUCAAUAGAAAAUUAAGUUAUAUUUUGAGCUAUAUUUUUGUGUGUUUUUUGGAUAUAUACGUGUGUGUUUGGGUAUCAAAUUUGAAUCUUAGUUUAACCACCCUCAAUUAGGUUAAAUCUCAAAUAUAAUGUUAUUUUUAUUAAUUUAUGAACAUCUGUGGUUUUAUGCUAUAAAUUCUAUAUAUUUAUAAUAUCAUAUAGCUUAUAGUAUACUAAUUGCACAUGUUCAUUUAUUAUUAUAAUAUUUAUAACAUGAAAAUUUACAAUUAAUUUUUAAUAGUAAUGUAUCAUGAAACUUAAUUAAUUAUAAUUAUAGGCAUUAACACUCAAAACUUAGAAGAAAAAUGUAAAUCUUCAAACUUAUAAACUAAACUAUGAAACAAAAUUCAAGCUUCAAAAGGUAAAAAUUAUAACAUUUGAAACUAAGGGACAAAAUGAAAUUAAAGUUUAUAUAUGUGAAUUUUUCCUAUAAAUCACCAACAAAGUCCAAAAAGAAAUGUUUGGCUCGUCUUUAUAAUUAGGCGGAGAUCUAGGGUGUGUUUAGUUGAGAUUCAAGUGUUUAAUUUUGUCAAAAAAAUUAUUUUUAAAAAAAUGGUGUUUGACAAAUUAAUUUAUAAAAUAAAGUAUUUUGGAGAAAUCUUUAAAAACAAAAUUCACGUAUACACACUUAUAAAAACGAUACUAAUACAAAAAUGAGGUGUAAUAAAUUUUAUUAUCUUAAUAGUUUGCCAAUUUUUCUCUAUUUGAAUAAUUACUUUCAACCCUAAACCCUAACAAAAAUUGUGAUCACUACAUUAUCAACACCUUGUUACGAACACAAUUAGAAGUUAAAAAGGCUCCUUUUGAUCCAUUUUUAUUUGAUUUUACUUAUAAACACUACAUAAGUUACCAUAUUUUACGAUCUAUUUUUCUAAAAUAAUAUUUUCAAAUACCAAAUUAAGUUUUCAAAAAUUAAGAAAGAGUAGUUUUCAAAAUUACCAAAAAGAUUUUUAUAUAAAAUAUAACAAAACUUAAUUUUUUUGCUUUGUAUUUAUUAUUAAUUACUUAUUGCAAAAAUUUCAGUUGAUCAAAACACGGCCGUCGAUCAGAGUCAAUGGACAGUUUCUGCUCUUAAAAUGACGAUAUUUUCAAUUUAUUCAUUACGAGGAAAAGUAAGUUUAAACGAUAUUUAGUUAAGUGAUGAUCAAAGUCAUAAACAAGCCUAAAGGAAAAUUUUUUUUGUAAUGUGGCCAUUAUUGAUUACAAUUUUUUUGGGUUGUUAUGGAAUUAGAUGACUUGAACAUGUAUUCACGUGUCCUGAAAAAGACUUUAUGCUAUAUAUUUUUAGAUCAAAUAUAGGAAUAGACAAGGUAGAUAAGGGAUUAAUAGAAAGGACAUAACAAUUAUAUAUCGUUAAUAUAUUCAAUAAGGGUUAGCUUCCCAUAAUAAUAACUAUCAAAUAUAAAUUUAAAUAUCAAUUUUUUUUUAAUUUCUCUUUCGUACCUCCAAUCGUUAAAAGCCGACUUUCACGUCAAGUAAUCUAUUCAAUUUUGAAAAAAAAUUAAAAUACAUCUAAUUAUUUGAAUAUGAUGACAAACUGAGCCACAUAUUCUGGUGACCACAAUAAUAAAUGUGACGAUAUAUUUAUUUUUGUGAACACAUGUAUGAAUAUAUGUUUUUGCUUAACUAUAUUGAUGUUCAUAGAAGGACAAUAUAUCAUAUUUGCGUAUGUUAAAAUCAAAUUUUUUAUCAAAAUUUUCAUUUAGAAGUUGUAAAGUUUAAUCUUUAUAUUAAUUAUUUUAAAGAAUUAAAAGAGUGUUUUCUUUUUUAAUAAUUUUAAAUAUGAUAAAAGUGAUUUUAAUUAUUUUAAAAUAAAUUAUAUAAAAAUAAAUAUAGGCAAUGUCGGUAGUACAGUGCUUUUCAAUAGUCAUUCCAACCUUAAUUAUAUGUUUGUUUUAUUAUGUUUAAAAGGGUCACAAAAUUUUAAGAAGUUCUAAUAAAUUAAAAAAAUAUAUUUUUUAUAUCUAUUAUCUAAAGUAAACUACUUUUUUAAUAAACUAAAAUUCUAUUUGUAAAAUAUAUGAAACCAGAAAUAAAAUGAGUAACAAAGAUAUUCAUUUUUUAUACUUCUAAAUUAAAUGGUAUUGGUUUAAAUUGUGCAUUUUAUGAAGUACAAUAAUCUAUCCUUAUAUUUAGACUCUAAAUUAGGAUUUUUUUGGUAUAAAUUUAUAUCUUAAACUGUUUAAAGUUUAAAUUUAUAUAAUUUACUAUCUUAAAUUAAAUCAAUACUAUUUUAAGUUAAAAAGUUUUAUCAAUCUCAUCUUAUAUAAGUUUUCCAAAUUCUUUACAAUUACGCCCUUAAAUUAAAUGGUUGCCCUUUACAAUCAAAUUAUCUUAAUACUUUUAUUUCAAUUUUUUCAAUUAAAAACUUGAAAACAAUAGUACGUACUAACCAUUUAAACAUUAAUUUUUCAAAUCAAUUUUGUCGUUUAUUAUUCAUGCAAGCUAAAAUUAAAUCUCUACAUUUGAUGAUCUCUAUAACGUUCAAUAUAUAUAUAUAUAUACACACGUUCGUAAUGAAUUUUGUAUAAUAGAAAACUGAAAUGAUCGAACAUGGUUAGCUAAGUCGUACAUAAUAGAAUUACAUUGACGAUCGAGCCAAAUGAAGGCAUGAAUAGAACUACAAAGAUGAAGAUCGUGAAUGACAUCAACAAAACCUUAUACUUAUAUCACAUAGCGGUAAUUUUCAGUCGAAAGAAUUAUAGAAUCAAAUUCGACUUAAGGAGGACAAUGCCAACCUCAUUUGAGAUAUAACAAUGUCUCAUGCGACCUCCACAAAUUAAAAAAAUAGCAAAGUAACCAUGGAAAAAGUUAGUAAAAACAAUAUUAAGUCAUAUCAGGAAGAAAAUAAUAUGUUUACUAAAUCAAAAAAUAUAUAUAGAUUUAAACAAAAUAAAGAGUAUAUGAUUUGAAAAGGUUAUUUGUGUAUAAUUGGGAGGAGGAGAGGAUUUGGUGGGAUAUUUGUUGACAAAUUUUAUCCUUUGAGAUAAAAAAGAGAAAUGACACUUUGAGUCACAUUCUUCAUUCAUUUGUGUGUUUAUUUGUUUAUUUGUGGGUUUCAUUUAAUUUCCUCUUCGUGUUUCAUUAUGGUCUACCAAAGGGAAGGCAAACCCAUGCAUCCCUCUUCUUCUUUUCUAAUUUUGUCUCAACAAAAACUUUUUUUCUUUAUAUAUAUAUUUAUUAUUUUCUUGUUUAAUUUGUUUUGUUUUCUAGUAAUAUAUUUUUCUUUUAUUUGUGGCAAUUUAUAACAUUGAAGAAAUUGUAUAUAUAUCUAUUUUUUCAUUCAAUUUAUAUUAUUAUAAGAACAUUUACUACAAAGUUUCCACCAUGUUGGCCUAACUAGUUGCACAAUUAUUAGUUCAAUUAUUUAAAUGCUUAGAUCAAUCCACAUAUUACUUAGUACAAAACACAUAAAUUAGUUUUAAAUAAUAUAUAAAUGGUUGAACUCUCAACCUCAUGAUUUUUAAUUUAAAAAAGAGUAGAGAGAUCUAAAAUGCAAUUAGCUUGAAAAAUUAAGAGCAAAUUAAAAAACUAAAAUCAAAUCGUCUAAAUUUACUAGUUUUUAACUUUUCAUUAAAUAUAAUUAACCUUUAUUAUUAUUUCUAGUUAACAACGAAUCAAAUUGUUUGGUUGCUUCUUGUUCUCUUAACUAAUAUAGUAUAAACUAAAUCAAAUUUACUUAGAGAAAAUGUCAACAAUCAUUUAAUCAAUGUGAAUAUUGUUUCAUUUAUAUAUAUAUAAAAUCAAUUUACACAUUAUAUAUAUAAGGAGGAAAACCCUAAUUAAUUUUGCAUACUAUAUUAUGAUUGCAUUUUUUCAAAAAUCAACCAUAUGAUGGACCAAAUAAAACACAUAGAUCAUGUACUUGAGUUAAGCUCGUAUUAAGUAGAAAAAUUAAAAUGUAAAAUAUACUUUCAAUUAAUGGAUGGAUUUUUUGUAUAUAUAAAUUUUUCUUGCCCAGUUUUUUGUUUAUUAAAAAGAAUUAAAGAAAAAGCAGUUGGGACAUUUUUAAAAAUUAAAAUACUUACCCACUAUCCUAAUUUUUUAUUUUAUGAAUGAUAGUGAGUCAUAUUCUUCUAUCAAUAGAAGUGUAUCAUUAGCUACCAAAUAUUUGUUAUUGAUAAAAUUUAAAAGUAAAUAUUUUAUCAAAUUUAUUAUUUUUGACAAUCAAUUAUAAGUGUAAUUUCUAAAUCGUUCUUAUAAGAAAUGGAUAGUUCCAAAUUUAGCAAUUAGAUUCAGAAUAAUUAAUUAUAUAGCAACAUUUUAAAAAAUGUAUAAAUAUAGCAAAAUUUAUGAAAUUUUAUCAAUGAUAUAAGUCUAUCAUCGAUAUAUCAAGUUGCAAAUAUUAAUUUAUCAUUGAUAUACUAUACGAAGUCUAUAUGCAAUACAAGUUUAUGAAUGAUAGUUUUUUUAUAUUUACAUUUUUUUCAAAUAUUACUAUAUUCUUAAUUAUUAUUCAUAAAAUAGUCAUACUUUAAUUUCUCUUAUAAUUUCACUAUUGUGUUGUCAAUCCACUGAUAUGAACCCAUAUUAAAAAGGUAAUAUUUUUUUAAAUUAAAAUAAUAAUAAAAAAUAAAAAAUAAAAAAAUUAAGGUCUGACAUAAAUAAAUAAAUAAAUAUAUAUAUAUAUAUAUUAAAAUUUUUUGUUUGUGUCCUGAUAAAUAAAACCAACUUAUAGGAGAAGAUAUUGGAAAUGGGCUGUCACGUUUUGUCCCCUAAAAAUAGGCUAAUUAGGGCUUGUAGGGGUUUAGGGUUUAUAUAAUUUAAUUUCAUAUUUUUAUUAAAGAAAAAUAAUUUAUUUAAUAAUUUAUUCUUUUCAAUCUUAUAGGAACCACAAGUACUUGUCCCUAAACCCUUUUUUUUUUCUACGUGUUUGCUUUUCUAUUUAUUUCCCCCAUUACAUUUCUUAAACUUUUCCCUUCAAAAUUAAUAUAACCCAUAUUUUGUAAAUAAAGCUACACAGUUAAACUACUAAACAAGUAUCAUUAAUUAUUCAAACAUAAAUAUAAAGGUAAUCGUCCAUUUAUUUAGCACGGUCUAAGUUAAUUGAACUUGAUAUUUUAAAUUAUAUAAAAAUAUAAAAAUAUUAAUUUAAAGUUAGACGACAAAAUUAUGUUCCAUGAGUAUGAACUAUAGCAAGUAGUGGAGACAUCGAAAAAUAUAGGACUAUAAAUAAAGAAAUUACAUAGAAAAUACUUCAAACUUUUUUUUUUCUUGUAUAAAAGUGAAUUAUUAUUGAGAGAAAAAAUCAAACUCGUAAUCGAUUAAAUAAGAUAAGUGAAUGAUAGAUGUUGGGAUAUUUGAUGAUAAGACUUGUCUAUCCAUAUAUAGAAAUGGCCUCAAAGUAUCAAAUUGAAUUUAGUGGAUAUAAUAAUAAUACUAAUAAUAAUAAUAAUAAUGAAAAGAGAAAACAAAGAAACAAGAAAAUACCAUAACUUUUUGUUAUGGUUGGGAAAAAGAGGACAAAAUAUAAGCACUAAUGAAAGAGAGUUGAAAUUAUUUUGAUUUCAUUUCAGAAAAUAUAUAUAUAUAUACCAUUUAAUUUCAUUUACACCUUAUUGGUGGAAAAGCCAAAACCCUUCCCCUAAAUAAUCCAUCAAUGGGGUAAUUCCACGUGUAUAUUCUCCUUUUAUAAUAUAAUUUGACAUUUUGUGUUUGUCACUCUAUCACUCAUUAUUUCAUCCUCUUUUUCAUCAUCAUUCUUUGUGCCAUUUGUUUCUUCUCGUUAAUUAGGAUAUACUUUUCCCAUUUUCAAUUGUAAAUUGUAAUUCAAGCUAUAUGGUUUAAACUUCUAUGAUUUGAUUACCAUAGUGUAAUUAAAGGUAACAUCACAUUAUUGAUAGUGUUUUAAUUACUACUAGUUUAUUUAAGUUUAUUAGGAUUUUCUACUGAUCUUUCGAACCGUGUUUCUAUAAUUGCAAUGAUUUAUCUUCUCUAAGUUAAAACUUAUUUAGCUUGAAGGUAGAGACCGUUCCAAUUCCAAAAAACGAAGUUCAAUUUUUUUUAAUAACAUCUAUUAAGCUUUUAAAUAACGAAGAUUUCAUUCUCUAUUUUUCUUUCAUUACAAUGAAACUAUCGUUUUUGUGUGUUCACACUCAAAACUUUUUCAUUUGUCCUGUGUUUGUCUAGUUGAAAUAUCAUCCCAUUGAUUGAAAAAAACUAUUUGGGGUUUGAUAUUGUAUCAUACUAUGUUAGCAAUUGAAUAACUAACAUUUUAAAUAUAUUUUUUAAAACCCAACUUGCUAAUUAAUAGAAAUAUAAUAACAAGAUUGAGGAACCUUUUUUACACUUUUUUUAAAUACCCUUUUGUUUGUUUGCUGAAAAUGACUAAAUAUGAAAAAGGAAGGUUCAAGUAAAUAGAUCCAAAGAGAAGAGUUGGAACAAUUACCAUGUGGGUAUGUAGUUUAUUUACUAAAUUUUAUUUAUAAAAUUCCAUCACUAAUUCUCUGUCAUGUCUCCAUUAUUUGUUGCUAUGAUACUAAAAUAUUCAUUGCUUUCAUGGUGUUUCAUAAAUAAAUACUAUUUUUUUUUUCUUAGAUAUGAUAGACAGACUAUUGCAAUUUAUAAUUAUUUAACUAAUACUUUAAAAUAGGAUAUCAUAUUUUGUUUGCUCUUCAUUCAUCCUUAAGUAUUAAGGAAAAGUACUUUUUUAUUAUUUAUUUUUUAAGAUCAACUCAUGAAAAAAAAAAUUAUGAAUUAUGAGAGAUUUUGAAAUUGAGAAAAUUAAUUUUGUUGAAAGAUAAAACUAAAAACUAAAAAUUAAAAAUCAGUAAGAAUUAAAUUAAAUGGUAUUUUGAAAAAUAGCAAAAUAUUGAUACAAAGUAUAGCAAAAUUCAUCAAACUAUUUUUAGUCCAUUUAAUUAUUUUUUUAUAUUUUGUAAAUAGUUUUUUUCUUUUUUGGUUUCCUUUAAAUAACUUGUGUUUUAAAAGUGAUUUUAAGUUACUUAACUGCAUUAGGUUUUAGCAACAACAAAAAAUGUUCAAAAAUUUUCCAAAAACUUUUAAAAUCAAUUAAAAACCCACUCUAAAUUUGUUUAUUAAGUAAAUUAAGUGAAAUUCGUUAGAUAUUUUAUGGUUAAGUUCACAUUUGUGUUUUGGUUUUUGUUCGGCGUGAAGGAAUAAGAUCUACAAAUAGUGGGCCUCUAUGUGGCCCAAACACGAAGGGACCUUUUUUGUUUUGUUUGGCGUGAAGGAUUAAGAUCUACCAAUAGUGGGCCUGUAUGUGGCCUAAAUACGAAGGGACCUUUUUUAUUUUGUUUGAAGUGUAGCAUUAAGAUCUACCAAUAGUGGGACUCUAUGUGGCCCAAAUAAUAAUGGGCCUUUCAUGUUUUAUUUUUAAUUUUAUUUGAAGUGAAGGAUGGGCCUCUAUUUAGCCCAGACUCGACUGGGCCUUUUUUAUUUUGUGUGAAGUGAAGGAUUAAGGUCUACCAAUAGUGGGCCUCUAAUUUGUGGUUUUUUUUAAAAGAAAUAUUUUGACAAUUUGUUUUAGUUUUCUAUUUUGGAAACUUAAAGCUCAUAAUACUGCAAUAUUAUGAGUUUAUUGUUUUUGUUAAGGAUUUUAGAUUCUGAAAACUAUAAAAUAAUUAGAAUGAUAAUAAUACUUUAAUUUUAUUUUUCCUUAUAAUUUAUCUAAUAAUCGUAGAUAACAAAAACAAGUUUGUAGGUAAAAGUAGUGCUUAUGCUCUUACUUUGUAAAACUAAAACAAAUAGUUAUUAAAUUAGAACUCCAAGCUCUAUUUGAAUAUUUUCCAAAAAAUAUAGUUCCUGCUCAAAGUGCUUUAGAAAACUAAACAAAAUUAUAGAAACUAAAGUCGUUUUCAAAACUUCAUAGAAUUCGCGUGGAAAUUUCAAUUUAUACCCAAUUUGUUUCAAUUUUAAACAUUAGAGUUUAUCAAUUUUAACAUAAUAAUUAUAUCAAUUUAAACCCUUAACUAUUUUUAUAAAGAAAUCAAAUUGAAAAAUAUAUCCACUUAAACCCUUAACUAUUUUUAUAAAGAAAUUAUAUUGAAUAACUUGAGAGUUUAAAUUAAACUAAGAGAUUAAAUUAAUAAAUGUAUAAAACUUCAGUUUAAAUUGACAAAUUCAUGGUUUUAAUUGAUAUAUCUACUAAUUUAAUUAAUUUAUAAAAGUUCAAUUUAAAUUGAUAAAUUCACGAUUUUAAUUGAUAUAUCUACUAAUUGACAAAACUCCUAAAUUUGAAUCUUAUCGACAAAACUCCUAAAUUUGAAUCUUAUCCACAAUACUCCUAAAUUUGAAUCUUGGAUAUAUCUACUAAUCGACAAAACUCUUAAAGAAAUAUUUGUGAUUUGGUUCCAUUUGCAAAAUACUUAUCGAUUCAACUUCAAACCAAGCCAAACCAACCCAACUACGUUUUGAAUACAAAUAGAUCCGGGGCAUAUAAUCCUCCUAGAGGUGUAAGCACCUGCUUUCACAUGUUGUCUUAAAAACGAUAUUCUGUACCCUCAGCCUUGGGGUACAAUACUAUAGUGUCUUCUAUCUUAAAAACAUUGGAAUUAACUCUCUGCUUCCAAAUGAGUUUGGGCACGACGCAGCAUGAUAUGGUUUUAAUCUUAGUUGAAUGCAAAAUUAGAAGAAAAAAAUAUAUCAAAUAUCAUCGACGAAAGAGAAAAGUACACUAAAUCAUUCGGCACCAUUUACUAUCGGAGAACAUACCAUAGUAAAAUAAGGUUAAUAUAAGAGCUCAAAAACCACGUUAAUUCUUUAUAAAUAAAAGCUGCUGAUACUCAAAACUGGCGCCUCGGCGGCCUUGCUUCGGCUUGUGUUACUCGGAUGGGUCUUCCGUCCAAGUCCUGCAAUGAAUACAUUUUUACUUAGUUAUAUGAAUGACGCUUGAUUCCAAAUCAUACACUUCGGAGCACCAUGCAUGAGAUGAGUUUCGUAAGAAAAGAAAAAUGAUAAACUGAGAUAAAACAUUCCACCACAAGAAAUAUCACAGAUGGGAACAACAAAAGAAAAUAAACGAAGAAAACAAGUGAAGCAAAUCGAAAAAAGUCAUUAAUGCAUGGGAAUAAAUUGAAAAUUAAACAGGGAUAUAUAAGCAAAGAUGCUACAACAAAAUCGUGGUUAACCUGAUUACAUGAAGAGGAUUUCAUUUUUAUAGCAAUUGGUCCUUAAUGCUGUCUAUCUCUUGAGUUCAGUAAGCAAGGUUUUAUUUGAACGUGAGGGCAUAUAUCAAGUUUCAUCAUAAGCAAAUGCAGAACUGACUAAAAAAACGCAUAAAAACGAAGGGUCGGUGUGAACUUACAACUCCAUCCAAGGACUGAAUGGCCUCGUUAACUUCCUCUGCUGAAUUAUAUGUUACGAAACCGAAGCCCCUAGACUUUCCGCUAUCACGAUCAUAAACUACUUUUGCCUCCAAAACAUUUCCCUUUUCCCUAAACAAGUUCUCAAGUGUAAGAUCGUCAACACCCCAAGCAAGGUUACUCACAUGGACCCGGUUGCGGUUAUCAAAUCUUGAAGCAUUUCUAGAACCUCUGAAAGAGGAAUCGUCCCUUUUUGGUGGAGGGGGUCCAUAGUUUACCCUUAGUAAUCUCCCAUCGAGUUCCUGUAAAAAGUUGACCAAGAAUCAUUAACCAGAAGCAAAUCCAAUACUAAGAUUUGACUGAAAAUGAAGGAUAACACUAAGUAAAUGGAGCACAGAGGUGAAACUUUGAAACUACUGGCGUUAAAAUUACACCUCAAAAAACACCAUGGAAGCAGAUAAUCUAUACAUACGUUUUGCCCCAAGAAAUAAGACCGAGCAAGAGAACCAUCACUAGGAUGAGUUCUCUAAAUAAAACGAGUUCGUUGAUAAUUUGAUGUUCAAAACUUGAUAGCUCUAUAACUUCCUACUUUUUUUCAAUUGAGUUGGUACUUGACAGCAAUUGAUUAGGCAAGGAGAAAAUGAAUCAUACCCAAAACCAGUAGUGCAGAGUAUUAAGCUGGCGUAAACAGGGUGUAUGAAGCGACUUACAUAGCCAUUAAAUUGCUGAGCAGCUGCUUCAACCUCACCAACAGUCGACAUUGUAACAAAACCAAAUCCCCUGCUUCUUCCCGUCGUCUUGUCAUAAAUUACCUUCAAGAAAAUUAGGGCAAACCAAAUGGGUCUCUUGAGAAAACAAAAACACGUAAUAACACACUAAUAGAAGGAAAAGUACCUCGACUCUUUCAACUUGCCCGGCGCUUUCGAAUAAGCCGGCGAGUUGAGCACUGUCGACAGUGAAAGGAAGAUUUCCGACGAACAAUUUGAGAUCAGGAGCGUAGCUGGAGUCGUCUCCAUCGACCUCAAGAGUGCCUUCUUCCUGGCCGUAAUCGGAUGAGACGGCGACAUUUCGAACAAAGCGAGAGGAAAAAGGAGGAGAAACCCUAUGAGAAGGAAGAAGAAAAGAAGAGAUGGAAAUGGGAUUUGAGAGAAGGCGAAUGGAAGAAGAAGGAUUGAGAGAGAAGAGUUUGAAUUUAGGGUUAGAAGAAGAUAGAGUUUUGAGGGUUAGGGAUGGGAGCGUGAGAGAAGCCGCAGAGGCAGACAUGGC
rnacentral:lncRNA from 1 species